rnacentral:lncRNA from 1 species
UUUUUUUUUUUUAAACUGAGUGGAAAUGAAAUUUUUUAAAAAAAUUUAGCUUAUAUAGGCAUAAUCAAACGACGUCAUUUUUGGCCAGGUUUUAGAAGUUCCAAAAUGGAGUCGUUUUAGGCUUGACUCGUUGACCCGAUCUGAAUCCCCUGAGAUCCGCAUGUUUUCGUAGAAAUGGUCUAUUUGCUGCCUUAGUCCUUCUGCCUUUGAACCCUUUUUAAUGUGAUCCUAAUUUCGUUUUUUUUUCUUUUUUUAGAUUAUACCAUUUAAUUCAGGCUAUGAAUUAAACCUUUACAAGAAAGACUUUCUUUCCCAACGAGCAUGACCUAAUUCAGGCUAUGAAGUUCAAGGCCAACCACGUAUAUAGCGAUCGUACAUCCUCGAGCGGCACGCUAACGCUAAAAAAUUAAAACCCUACCAUAUGCUGGGACAACCCACAUCACUCAACCAUCUAAUUAUUAUUUUAGCAAGAAUAACGACGGACACCGUACUCAUCGAACCAAGAACAGAAUGCUUCAAAAUCUUGGAGAAAAAUUAAAACACACGCGCUUCUACGAAACAGGGACAAUGUGUAAAAUAUUUUUGUACUUGAAUCAGUUUCUCAUGCAAACUAACAAAACCAACAACAAUUAUACAACCACAAUAUCACAUUUACAGUAUUUUAAUAACCAUACGACCAUUAAUCAAAAAAUGAAAGCUAAAAUGAAGAGGAAAAAACCCAACAACAAUUGUUUUUCCUUGUAGAAAUUGCAUUCUGACUUUGCUUAGAAUUCACUAUUUUGUUCUUACGGGACUAGCUUGAGUGAUUUAGCACCAACUAGUAUGCUUCCGUCCCAAAACAAUAGCUCACUCGGAUGCAACAUAAACCUUUGUUCCAUGCUCCGCCCUAUAGGCACUUGGCCAACUCCACCCGUAAUUAAUGUCUUGCCUAGGUAUUUGUUGCAUUGCUUGCAAAGCACAUUCACUGUAGGGGAAGGAUAGAAACCAUUUGUAGGCCAGCCUGGAGGUUGUCGAAUUGACAACUUAUAGUGAGAAAAAGGCAUUGCUGGGAGUUGACCACGCACAUUACUGGUUCGCGGCACAAGAUUCGCAACGUCCCAGGUGUAACUAUGACGUUAAGGAAGUUGUUCGACGACAAGAUGUGGUUUUCGCAAUAACGGCACAAGAAGACACGGGAGUAGGAGUUCAGAUCGUAUCUAAUGGCGUUUGAACCACUAGAUGACGCCAUUACAGUCUUGACGUCACUGGAGUACAUUGGAGGAACUUUGGUCUUAAAUUGACCCUUAAAAAUUUUGUUAGAUCACUUUAGUUUCUGAGGUUGACAUUCGUUUCACAAAUUAAUUCUUAUGAUUAAAGCUAUUAAUUUUUUAACAUUUCGGUAAUUUGAUCAAAUUAGGAUGCGACAUGUGGAUAAACAAGGAAAUAAUAUUUGCAUCCCUCUUUAAUAAUUCUAAAAAUUAUAAAAACAAAGCUUUAAAAAUAAAUAAAAAAAGAGUACACAUUAAAAAAGUAAUUUUUUAAAGAAAAAUAUGAGAAAAAUAUAUAAAUUAUAAUUUUUUAAAAAAGUUAAUAUAUAGUUCAAAACAUAAAAAUUUGUUAAAUUUUCAAAAAUUACAAAAAAAAAUCAAAAUGCAUUUGGAACAAUUCAAUAAAAAUAAAAAAUAUUGUUAAAUUUUUAAUAUUACAAAAAAUUGAAAAACGUUAGAAAUUUUAAAAAAAAACUGACUCGUCAAUAUCGGCAAAUUUUUGAAUUUUUGUUUUUUCUAAACUCUUUUUGUAAUUUUAUAAAAUUUUAACUAUAUUUUUAGUAACAAUAAAUAGUUUUUCUAUGUAGGGAAAAGAAAAAUAUUAUUAAAUAGCUAUCUGCAUUCUGCAUUAUGAGGAUAUAAAUAACUAUGUAGGUGAAAUCAUGUGACCCAUAGGCAAGGAAACGACAAACGUUGACAUCACAUCAACCACAUGAUUACCCUCUAUAUAUGUACGGACAAAUUGCACCUCUCAAUCUUGGUUAAACAAUCUACAAAUAUUUUGGAUUAUGCCAUCAGAGUACGUACCAACUUUAUUUCCGUUAAGGGAACUAAUUCAAGAUUACACGUCAUAGCUCGAAAAUCCAAGCUUGGUUAAGUUCCUCUAAUGCACCCCAAGUUGAAGCUAGCAAAACCCCUUGCCCAUGUUCAUUAUGAUCAUAGAUCACUCCACCAACCAUGACCAACUUUGAAUCUUGGCUCGAAGCUCCAUCAGUAUUAAGUUUAAACCAAUUUUCCAGUGGAAAGACCAUGCAACUAUGGUACAUGAGCAGUCAACAGAUAUAAAAAUUUGGAAAAUUGCAUUUUCUUUAUCUUUUAAAAUUAUAAAGUUAUAAAUUAGUAAUAAUAAAAUUGUACUUGACUCCUAAAAAUGAUAAAAUUUUAAAUUUAUUUUAUUAAAAAUUAUAAAGACAUUAGCAAAUUCAAUAGUAAAAAUAUAUUUUAACUCUUAUUAAAAUUAAUUUAUAACUUAAUUCUCUCCCCAAACCUUCUAACUUUGUCUUUGGACUAAAGUCAUUUUAUUUUACAAAAUAAAAAUAUAGGCUUUGAUCAUAUUUAUUUUUUAAUACAAUAUUUAAAAUUAUUUAUAGUAGUUUUUCAACUUAUAAAUAAGAGAAUAAUGCGUUUCAGCGUACUCGAACCUAUAUUCUCUUACAUUGACAAUAUUAAAGUAAGACUCAAUUAACUUAUAUUUUUUUCUUUUUUUUAACUAUUAAUUAUUACAUGGAUUUUGGAUUUUUUUUUAAAAAAAAAUCAACCGUUUUCAUUUAACAAAUCACAAACUAAUUUAGAAAAAGAAUGGAGGCUAAAUAUGGAUUAAUAUUAAAAUUAAACCAAAGAAAGCAAAGGCUUUGGUGGAUUUAAAAGGAAGUAAGAGAUAUCCCGUAUUAUUAAUUUCUGAAGAAGCAAAUUAAUAGCAUAUUCUACUUCCAAAUUGACAGUAAUUUAGAAAAGUUUCCACACAAACCCAAAUUAUGAAUGAUUUGAAGUUUAUUUAGUAGUCUGACUACAGCUAUACCCCUUGAUCUAUAUUGAUAUAUUAUUUAUUACGGUACAAGUUUUCUUUCCUAUUGAUACAAGUCUGGAAACAAACUUGGAAUGCUCACCGACUUGCAUCAAUACAAGUAUGCACUUGCGUUGGUACAAGUCACCUAAUUUUAUAAAUCUGAUUUUGAGUUGAGAUUUUUUAAAGCAUUUGAAAAUAAUUUUAUAAGAUUUUAUCAUUUGAAAGCAAAUUUGACCAAGUAAGAGUUUAUAUUUUUAUUUUGUUAUAUCAAAACAUAAAAUUUCCCCCUUUGAAUAUAACAAAACCAUUGAAAAUUUUGCUAACUCCCUCUAAUUCAAAUAUUAUUUUCAAGUUGAGCUACCUCUUUAAAAGGUAAUUAAUGAAGACAUUUUGUACAUAUUUUCAACUUUAUUGAAAGGAUAAUAUUUGUAUAGAUUAAACCUUAUCCUCAAAAGGUUACAGAUGAGUAAAUUUGAAAAAAUUCUUAGUCUAAGGUAGUGGAGAUAGACAAUUGGGGUUGAACUACUAUAAAUCCUUAUGUUUCUCUUGUUUGUCAUAUUUUCUUAAAUCUUUUAAAACAUCAAUUCAUCCCCAUCUUGGUGUAUAUUGAGCCUAACAUUACACAUAGGUAACUUUUUAGAUAUUCAAUCUUCAGAAAAGAGAGUCACUUCUCUAAAAUAUUUGUUGUAACAUCCUCACUUUUUUUUAAAAAAAAAAAAAGAAAAGAAGAGGAAUAUUUAUGGUAGAAGUCCUUGAAUAAGUGACAUAUAAAUAAAUAUUAGUAUAAAAAAUUGUGAUCGUUUUUAGAGAAAACCGUCAAACAUGAAAACACAUAGAAUUAUUAGUAGGAGUAUGUGGUUAAGUUAAAAAUUUAGUAUCGAGUUUAGGGAUUAAAUUGAAUACUAAAAUGCAAUUAUCUUAUUUUAUUUUGAUUGAAAGGACUUAAUAGCAAUUUUUCUAUUACUUAAAAAAAUCAACGGUUUAAUGAUGACUUUUAAAUGAUUUUUUUAAUUAAGUUAUAAUAUUUUAAUAAGUAAUAAUAUUUUAUUAAUUAAUAUAUAUAUAUAAAAGAGAGAGAAAAAAGAAAGAAAGAUAACAUAUUUCUCAUCUUCUUUCUUUUUCACAUCAAACAAAGGGGGAAUUUUUUUUUCUUCCUUUAUUUCCUUCAAAUUUAAGUGUAAGGUAUGAUUUUUCUUUAAAUUUUUUUUUUUUGGAUUUUGAAUCAUUGAAGCUUGCUUUACAUAUAUAUACGAAAAGUUUUUAAUUUUAUCAAGUAUUUUGAAAGUUGUCAUUAAAGGACAUUGAUGGAAGCUUAGAAAACUUAAGUGAAAUAGAUAUAUUUUUGGAUAGGAAAUUAUUAGAAGAUGAGUUCUAGCUUAUUAGAAGUGUGAAAAAGAAACAAAAAUGAAUGAAAAAUUUAUUUGGUAUAUUUGGCCAUGUUAAGGGGAGGUAGAGAACAUUGGCCACUUUAUGUAAUAUUGGUACUAAAUGAUAGUUUGUGAAUCAGUGAGUACUCUGGUGAAGACGGAAUUGAAAAUGGAUAAUCAAGUCGAAAGAUAUGCAAAUUUCGGACUAGAAAACUUAAGUUGUCAAUAUGGAUAAUCAUGCAUAUUUAAGCUUAUUUUUAAUAGUUUUAGUUUUAGAAUGUAUAAAUGAUGUUUGUUUCUUAUUGAAUUGCUGCUAUUGUAACUAAAAACGAAGCGAACAUCUUGAAGGAGAAAGGUGAAGAAAAGGAGUAAAGUGAUUAAAAUUUUGGCUUGUGCUAAUUUCUUAUUUUCAUUAUAUUAAGCUUUAGAAUAUUUAAUUUAAUAUGACUAGUUGUAUUUAUUUUAUUAUAUUUUUAUGAGUUUUGGAUGAGCUUGAAUAAUUUAGUUAAUAUUUAUAAAAUUAUGUUUCGAGAUGAAUAUUAUGUUUUUCAUAAGACUGAAUUAGUAAAUUCAUUAUUAUGAUCUGGAUUUGAGUAUUAUGAUUUUAGAUGAUUGAGCAAGAAAAUAUUUAAUAUGUUUCAAAUUGGAAGCCUAUUUUACAUUAGAUGAUAUGUGAUUUGAAUAUGAAACAUAAUUGAAAUGAGAAUUAUAUGAAAAUAAAAUUGAAAUGGAUCAUGAAAUUUGAUUUUUACCCCGUUUCACUAAGUUAGACUAAAUCAGAUAUAGUUGGCAUGCCAUAGAGUCUUUAUGUCAGAGAAUUUAGAUCUUCCUAAUUCCCAGAGGGUCGAGGGAGAAAAGGCCAAGUCGGUCAGUUGUUAUUAUUAUUAGCCCCAAUUCCUAGAAGGUCGUGGACAUCGUUGCCGAACAACUUGGGGUGGCAGAUUCGUGUAUCUGGUUAUGAGUCUAAACUUUAGUACGGGGUCUAAAUUGAAAGAAAAGCAAAAACAAAACUUGAAUUUAUUUGAAUUUCCAUAUUAUGCAAAUUAAAUUAAUUACGUGAUUUUGAAUUUAAUUAAAAAUCUUAUUUUCUUUAUUCAAUUUGUCAAUAUCAAAAUAUUAAAGUUUAUUAAUAUUAGAAUUUUCUUUUAUUUUGAUGUUAUUAAUGAUAUUUAUAAUCAUGUUUUAGUUUAUUUCUAUCAAUUAAUUUGUGUCCAAUACUUAUGUAAUAAUUUAUAUGAUAUUAGCACCACUAAGUAUAAAAAUUGCUCAGCGUACGGUUUGUUUAUUUUUCCUUACGCAGGUAGUUAGAUUCGUUAGAUCGUUCCAAUAGCAUCCAAAGAAUCGAAGUUCAGCUCAUGUUGAUGAAGAGUUUACGUUAUAGUUUAUGUAAAUGGCAUGUACCUAGGCUGAUAAAUAUAUAAUAUUAUGUCGUAAACUGAAUUUAAAUUUUUUAUAACUAAUGUUUUGAUAAAAAAUAGUAAAGCAUAGAAAUCUAGUUUAUUAAUAUGUUUUGAGAAAUCAUAGUGCUGAGAAUUGAUUUGGGAGAUAAUUUUAAUGGGGAUAUUUUAUGAAAAUCUAAAUUUCACAGUAGGGUUUUAUGUAAAAUAGGCAGAAAUGUUGCCGAAAUUUUUAUAAAAUAAUUUUACCACUACAUUUUCUUUUCAAAAAAAAAAGAAAAAGAAAAGUGAUUUGCUUCGGUAACGAAAUGUGACAUUUUAUAUUCGGAUCCAACAACUAGGUCGAGUAUAAGGUGUCACACUUGUGCUUUAAUUUGAAAUAUCAAAACCACAAUAAAGGAAAAUUUCAACAUAUCAAUAAAUUUAGGUACACAUUUGCUCUUUUUUUUGUUUGUUUUUAAUGAGUUAACAUAACAAAUCCUGAUAGAUCAGGUUUUAUAUAAAUGUUUUUGGGGUUCUAACAUAAAUUUGUUGUUAAUAGCUAGGUUACUAGUUGCAUGUACAUAUUACACACAUACUUAUACCUAUUUUGCCAUAUAUUUUCAUAUAGACUCUCAAGACAUGCAAUGUUUAUAUAAUUAUAUUUUUUUAUAAAAAAGAGGGAUUAAACCAAAACAAAUUAAAACAAGACCACACAACAUCAGAUAGGUCAUUAUGCAGAGAUUGAAGGACUUCAUUUGGGGGUUGUAGGAAUAUAAACUUGCCCAAAGGCCUUGAGAAUGUCAUUUUUGCCAAACCAUCUGUUACCUUGUUGGCCACUUUGAAAACAUGUAUUAAGUGAAUUGUCCAAUCACGUUGGAGAAGCUCCUCGAUGCUACGGAUCAUCGAAGAACCAUGCUACUCCUUUUUAGCUUAUUGAAUUGCUUGAACAGCUUCUUUACUGUCUGUCUCAAAAAUCACUUUGUUCAGUUUGAGGUUCCACGCUAAUUGGAGACCAUCAAGCAUACCCUAGAGUUCAGCCAUAUGCAUUGAACAAUUUCUAAUAUUUCUUGUGAAUCCUACAAUCCAUACUCUAACCUGAUCACGGAUUAUUCCUCCUACAGUAGCACUCCCUAAAAACUGGCACACAACACCAUCAAUAUUUACCUUUUUCCAUUUAUCAUCUGGUGGUUUCCAUCUUAUGACUUUAUGAGAAUCACCAUUUAUGCUCCUCCAUGUCUGGUCCGAUCCAAUGUUAGCCAUAGGAAAAUUGUCUCUCAUCCAACAACUUUUCACCAGAAUACUAUUGGCUUCCACAAGCUCAGCAUGAAAUAUAUAAUUGUUUCUCCUAGUCCAUAGCUGGUAGCAAAUACUACCAAACAGUGUUAACCACUUGAUAGUUCACAAGCGAAAUAUUUAGGAUUAAAAAGAUUUUUUACAAACCAUUCUUUAAAACUAAUAUUGAAAAAUUCCUAUCUUGUUUCCAUCUUAAUAACAAAAAGCCAUGUUUCCACAAUUGGGGUACGAAACCGUAGCACAUGGUCAGUAUUUUCCAACGAAUUUCCACAAAUCAUGAAGCUUGCAUCAGUGGCCAAUUGUCUUCUCACUCUGUUUUCAUUGGUUAGAAUUCUAUCUAAAAAACCUGGCUAAAUGAAAACACACACCUUUUGAGGAACUAGAAUGUGCCAAAUCAGAUGCCAAAUUCUAUCUCUCAUUCUCAACUCCAUCCCAUAAUUAGUAGCGUAGGUAAAUCACACUGAAAACACGCCCUUUUUUGUCAUGAACACAACCUAUAGAGUCGACAACGUCAUAAUCUAAUAGAGGCUUAUAAGAUGAGAUACUUAGGAUGACUGGGCGUGGCAAAAUUGAGUUAAUGAUAGACUAAUUCCAAUCCCUACUCGGUAAAACAAACUCCUUCACAAGGACAUGCUACUUAAGAAUGCAUUUGGGCUUUGUACAACUGUUAAUCAGGGGGCCCGAUCCUUAAUCGAGUUAUCCCUCUAAAAAUCAAAACUUGCACCAUUCCUAAUAUUCCAUAUUGCACCAUCCUAUACCAUACUCCAAGCUCCACAAACUCCGUUCCACAGACGUGAGGCAUUCCCUUCAUAUUAAGAGAUAGGCAAUUUGCCCUUUCAUCUAUAUUUUGCUCUAAGCACUUGCACCCUGUUAAGAUAAAUGAAUUUGUUAGAAUGCAGUUACAGGAAAGCUGAGUUGUUAGCUAGUCUGUUAAGAGAAGUUGAGCCUAUAAAUACUCUAGAUGAGCCUUAUGUAAAACUAAGUUUGAAAUCAGAAUUUUAGAAUAAGAACUUUCACAUUAAACCUUGCAUUUCUUCAUGGUAUCAGUCGCCAGGUGAGUCGUGUUCAUGGCUAACGUCAAUGAAACUUCUGCUGCCUCGGAGUCACUUGAGUCGCGUGGAGCUGCCUUUGCCAAUGAUCGUGUGGUCAAUUCUUUCCCUCGGCACGAUGUUGUUAAGCUUGAUGAAGGAUCCUUUCUUCAAUGGAAGCAACAGGUUCGGUUUAUCGUUAAUGGAUAUGAACUGUUUGGCUUUCUUGAUGGCUCUGUUACAGCUCCGCCGAAGUUCGUCACUGCACCAGACGGUGCUUUGGUGUUGAAUCCGGCGUCUUAUGCCUUUCAACAGCAAGACAAUCUUCUCACGUCUUGGCUCCUCUCUACUAUAAGUUCGUCGAUUUUGAGUUCGUUCUCGGAGGUUCAAUCGGCCUCGGAUGUGUGGACGACGGCGUUGGAAUUGUUCGUUGCAGAUACGGAUCUCAAGCAGUCGCGCCUACGUCAUGAACUUCAUUCUCUAAAAAAAGGUAACAUGUCGAUCCGUGAGUAUGUUACUAAGUUGAAGGGUAUUUGUGCACUUUUGGCAGCGGCUGGUGAUCCUAUCUCGAUGGCGGAACGCACGGCGGUCUUGCUUACCGGUCUUCCGUCAGAGUUUGAGGGCGUUGUUUCGUCUGCAUCGCUGUCGCCGACUCCUCUACCGUUUCAGCGUUUAGUGGCUGCGCUUGUUGAGUGUGAGAACAGGCAGGCGCAGGCUUCUCAAGACGUUGUGUAUGCGGCAAAUCUUGUGGAGGAGCCUUCGCCGCCGGUUGAGGAUGGCGCGUUGCGUGGAGGCCGUUCGGGAUCUCGUGGCCGUGGUAGGAACUUCCGGCCGCGACUUCAGUGUCAGAUCUGCUCGAGGUUCGGCCAUGUUGCUCAGCGGUGCUAUUAUCGCUAUCACCGGGAUGACACAUCUCAGGCGCCAUGUCCGCUGCAAGUCCUAACUGCCUCUGGUCCUCGGGGAUGGUCUGCACAGCAAAACACAAGGCCUAGGUUCUCUAACCAUGGUCAAAAUUAUUUUGAAAAUGGUCAAAAUUAUAAUGGAAGUGGUCAGAAUUAUUUUGCUGGUCAAAAUUAUGAUUGUGGUCAAAAGUGGUAUGCUGAUGGGACUAAUGCAUUUUGUGAGCAACAGGUGGGGCCGUAUGGUCCGUUUCAUGGUGGGCAAACUUGUUGGCCCAGACCGUAUAGGGAGCCUAAUGAGCGCCAAACAUUUAGGCCUCAAGAGCAUGGGCCGAAUGAUGGUAUUGAUGGUACUAUUGGGCCUAAUAGUGGUGUUGGGCCGAAGAAUGGUAUUGGGCCACAUAUUGGCAAUAAUCCUUUCAUAGCUACUAAUCCAGUUUCGAAUAAUGUGCAGUUGGGUCCAUCAAAGCCAUCGGAUAAUAUAGGUGUUCCAUGGCAGACUAAGCCACGAGAUCGUGGCUCAUCAUCUUGGUAUCCUGACUCGGGAGCCAGCAAUCACGUGUGUCAAGAUCCUUCGGCACUACAUGAUGCUGUUCCAUAUUCAGGUACGUCUUCUCUUUUAAUGGGUGAUGGUUCGCCUGCUAUGAUCUCAUCUAUUGGUCAGGGUGUUUUGGCUACAAAGUCUAGGGUACUUCGAUUAUCCAAUGUACUAUGUGUGCCGGCUAUUCGGAAGAAUUUAUUGUCGGUAUCACAAUUUGCAACUGAUAAUGGUGUUUUCUUUGAGUUUCACUCAAAUUAUUGUGUGAUUAAGGAUAGCGUGACACAGGAGGUUUUGCUGACGGGCCGUAUACAUAAUGGGCUCUAUCAGUUCUCCGUAUCCGAUACUACUAUUCCUGUUUCGUUUCAUCCAUCUACUGCUCAGGUUGAUCUUUCAACUCAGACUGCUGAUAGUGAGUUUUGUUUACUGUGGCACAAGCGUCUUGGACAUCCGUCUUCGAAAGUUGUUAAGAAUGUUCUUGAUAGCUGUCAUUUCAAAUUAAAUAAAGUUGAAAUAAGCGAUGUUUGUACUGCUUGUAAAAAGGGAAAGUUUCAUAAAUUGCCGUUUCCGGUUUCCACUACUGAAUAUACGGACCCUUUUUCUUUGAUUAUUUCGGAUUUGUGGGGCCCUGCCUCAGUUGCCUCUGGGUCAAAUUGGUAUUAUGUCUCGUUUAUUGAUAUGUGUUCUCGCUUCACUUGGGUGUAUUUAAUUCGACAAAAAUCACAAGCUGUGAAGUGCUUUGUUCAGUUUCAGAAACUCGUGCAGAAUCAAUUCGGCAAGUCUAUCAAGCAGUUUCAGAGUGACUGGGGCGGGGAGUAUAGAGCGGUUGCCUCGGUUUUAGCUGAUCAAGGCAUUAUUCAUCGCAUUACCUGUCCUCAUACGUCUGAACAAAAUGGUGUUGCAGAACGUAAACAUAGACAUAUUGUGGAAAUGGGGCUUACUCUGUUAGCUCAAGCAGGGCUUUCAAUGGAGUUUUGGGCCUAUGCGUUUACAUGUGCGGUUCAUUUGAUAAAUCGUCUUCCUACACCAGUACUGGAUGUUAAGACUUCGUAUAGAGUGUUGUAUGGGUGUGAUCCUACCUAUGAGCAUUUGCGGGUAUUUGGUUGUUGUUGCUAUCCAUAUCUGAGGCCGUUUCAACGUCACAAGCUAGAUUUUCGAUCUCAACCGUGUACGUUUUUGGGAUAUAGCUCUUGUCACAAAGGGUAUCAAUGUCUCUUACCUGAUGGUCGAAUCAUUAUAUCUCGUCAUGUAGAGUUUGAUGAGUCACGGUUUCUUUCUCCGGCGUCUUUGUCAUGCUCCUCUUGGGAGGUAAAUACUGUACCUACGUGUUUUCCGGUAGUUCAGACUAAUGUUUCUGAUCAUAGGAACAGAGUUACUGGUUUGGCAUGCCCGGGUGUUUUGAGUGGAUCUUCGGUUCCUCCGGAUGAAGUCAAUACUGAUCCAACGAGUACUACUUCUCCUAGUGUUCCGGUUCUUAAUGAAGAUCCGGAUUCUCCAAAUGAAGUUGGUGUUAAUUCCGAAAGUACUCACUCGUAUCCUAAUGAUCAGUCUCCCACACCAGUUGUUCCAAUUCCAUCUGUUCCUAUAGGACCAGAGAUUUCUGUGCCUGAUACGAAUGUUCAUCCUAUGACUACUCGAUCAAAGGCUGGGAUUUUCAAACCUAAAGUUCUUGCGGUUGAAGUUAGUGAACCUUCAACGAUUGAAGAAGCAUUUGCUAGCCCUGAGUGGCAGACUGCUGCUCAAGCUGAGUAUGAUGCACUUAUCCGAAAUGGUACCUGGGAACUUGUUUCCAUGCCAUCAGGUCGCAAGGUUAUUGGCUGCAAAUGGUUAUUCAAAGUCAAGAAAAAUCCAGACGGUACGAUUGAACGGUGCAAAGCACGUUUAGUUGCGAAAGGUUGUUCUCAGGUUCCGGGAUGUGAUUUUCAAGAAACCUUUAGUCCGGUGGUCAAGCCUGCGACUAUUAGGGUUAUUUUAUCGAUUGCGGUCACUAAAGGGUGGUCACUUCGUCAGGUGGAUGUUAACAAUGCCUUUUUAAAUGGUGAUAUUGAUAGAGAAGUGUUUAUGCAGCAACCUCCGGGAUAUGUACAGCUUGGAGUUGAUGGAAAACCUUUGGUCUGUCGUUUAAAAAAGGCUUUAUAUGGUUUACGUCAGGCUCCUCGCGCAUGGUUUGAGAAGCUAAAGGCUUUUCUUCUAGCAGUUGGGUUUGUUGGUUCCAAAUCUGAUGCUUCGUUGUUUGUUCGGGUUUGCUCUGACUCCAUACUUUAUGUUCUUGUGUAUGUUGAUGACAUAAUCAUAACUGGAGGUGUAUCAUCUUCUAUUGAUUGGUUUGUGAAGCUGCUGAAUGAUGAGUUCUCGCUCAAAGAUAUGGGAAGUCUGCAUUAUUUUCUGGGUCUUGAGGUUACUAGGUCCUCUAAUGGGAGUCUUCAUUUAUGCCAGAGAAAGUACGUUCAGGAUAUGUUAAAACGAAGUGGCUUGUCUAAUGCUAAAAGUGUUCAUACACCUAUGGUUAGUUCGUCUCAUAUUUCCAAGGAUGACGGGGAUUUAUUGUCAGAUCCGACGGAAUAUAGGAGUUUGGCUGGUGCUUUACAAUAUGUGGUUAUUACUAGGCCUGAUAUUGCGUAUGCGGUAAACAGGGUUUGCCAGUUCAUGCAUAAUCCUACCACGGUUCAUAUGGGUGCACUUAAGAGGAUAUUGCGGUAUUUGGCUGGAACACUUGAUUUUGGGAUUAUGUUUCGUCGGUCUGGUUUAUUAUCGUUGGUUGGGUUUUCUGAUGCUAAUUGGGGAUUGGAUUUCGAUGAUCGACGAUCAACUUCAGGAUAUUGUGUAUUUUUUGGGUCAAAUCCUGUUUCGUGGUCGUCUAAGAAACAGCAGGUCGUGUCUCGAUCUACGGCGGAGGCUGAAUAUCGAAGUCUUGCUGCUGUAACUAGUGAUGUUAUGUGGUUACUUUCCUUACUUCAAGAGUUGCAUGUUGAGUCUUCUGCUCCGCCUAAUAUCUGGUGUGACAGUUCCAGUGCCGUUGCUGUUGCUGCCAAUCCUGUGUUACAUUCCAAAUUCAAGCACGUGGAGUUAGAUUUGUUCUUUGUUCGUGAAAAGGUUGCUGAUGGAUCAGUUGUGGUUGGUGAAGUUCCUGCGUCUGAUCAAGUUGCUGAUGUAUUAACUAAACCACUAUCAGUUGGGUCCUUUACUAGGUUUCGGAAUUUUCUUCGGGUUUGUUCGGAGAAGGAGAUGGAUGCAUGUUAAGAUAAAUGAAUUUGUUAGAAUGCAGUUACAGGAGAGCUGAGUUGUUAGCUAGUCUGUUAAGAGAAGUUGAGCCUAUAAAUACUCUAGAUGAGCCUUAUGUAAAACUAAGUUUGAAAUCAGAAUUUUAGAAUAAGAACUUUCACAUUAAACCUUGCAUUUCUUCACACCCAAAGUUGAUCAGGCUUUUUAACAAGAUUAAACCAAAUUUUCAUGAGAAAAACAUUGUUCAGACAAUCAAAUUUCUUGAAUCCAAGUUCACCAUUCUUCAUCUCUUUGCGCAAAUUAUCUCAUUUCACUAGAUUCAAUCCUUUCUUCUCUUCCGUAUUUUCCCAAACAAAGUUACGAAUUAUCUUUUCCAUUUCAUGACACAUACCCUUAGGAAUUUUUGUUGACUGCAUAGCAUAGAUAGGAAUAGCAGCUAAAAUUACUUUAGCCAACGUAAUUCUAUCGGCUAAAGAAAGCAAUUUAUACUUCAAUCUUGCUAGUUUUUUUUCAGAUUAUCUUCAAUAUACUGAAAGGUCUACUUCGUAACUCUCUAGUGCAAUAGUGGAGCCUUAAUAUACUUUCUCAAGUUGUCCACAUGAGAAAAUCUAAGACCACAACUAAUAUUCACCUUCAGAUCAUGGUCAACAUUCUUCAAGAAGAAAAUUUGGGUUUCCUGUGCAUUAACUCUAUGACCCAACCUGGAACAAAAGUUAUUAAUCACCCUUUUCAUAGUUUGUAUCUGCUCCACUAAAGCCUCACUAAGUAAAACUAAAUCGUCCGCAAAGAAAAUAUGUGAGAUAUUAGCCCAUUCUUAGAUAACUUUAUUGGUUUCUACCUCUUAUUUUGAACCUCAAUAUUUAUAAUCUAUACCAAUCUUUCCAUACAAAGAACAAAGAUGUAGGGCGAGAUAGUAUCACUUGUCUUAUUGCUUGCGAUGGAAAACUACAUUAGAGAGGUCCUAUUUCAUAUAAUUUGCAUAGAUGAAUAGUUAACACAGUGCAUAAUAAGCUUAUGUAUGUUACCUAGAAAACCAAUAUCAACUAAUGUAUCGUCAAUAAAGUCCCAGUCUAAUUUGUCAUAUGCUUUUUCUAGAUCAAUUUUCACAGCCAUCCACCAUUUCUUUCCAACCUUUCUACGCAUAGAGUGGAUGAUUUCUUGAGAAACGAUAAUAUUAUCUAUUUUUUUUAACAAUAAACGACCACAAGGGUCAACUCAUUUAUUACGUAACAUCACAAGUUACAGUAUUAUGGAUUUCCACCAGGAAGUCCAUAUAAAAAAACCAAGUUUUAACCUCGUUACACAUUUUCGUACAUAUUAAAUCAGCAAUAGUGUUACAAGACCGUUUGUCCAAAUUAAAUCAGCGAAAUUGAAAUUGUUGAAGGCAUCUUUACACUCCUUAAUUCGCGCACUGAUAAUGGUGACGUUUGUAGCUAGGGUCAUUAGUUUAUUAACAAGGCCAACGUGAUCUGUCUCAAAAAGUACAUGCCCUUUAAUUUUUAACUGACACAUCGAUUUAAUGUAGCCUCAAAUGCAAAGCACUCGGCUUCUUCCACCGACAUCAUUGUUUCUAUAAAGCCUCCACCACCCCCAACACAAAACCUUCAUAAUCCCUAACAAUCGUCUCAUACCCAAUUCUGUUAUCACCUACUGUAGCAUCGAAAUUUAUUUUUACAACCCCUUUAGGAGGUUUAAUCCAUUUCUUAACAACAAUAUUCGGGGAAAGCAAUGACUUCUUCAACAUGUUACAAAUCUGAAAGUCUUUGCUAAGGGUGCUGGCCCUCUCCUACAUGACAUGCGCAUCCUCUUCUUUUCCUCAGAAAUUGUAAUUGUUUCUAUUAUUCCAGAAGUUCCAUAAGGUUGUUAUGAGAUGGGCUAUAGCUUUCUUGUCAAGAACCCGCAUCAUAUCUUCUAGCCAGUCAAUGCAUCGACUAUACUUAUUCGAGAUCGUAUUUUUGUCCCACCCUUCUAUAGAGAGAACCGCUCGAUAUGUGGGGCAAUCUUUAAGUGCAUGCAUUAGGGUCUCAUCCUCAACCCCACAUUUGGGACAACUCUGCUCAAAGUUGUGCUAAAUCAAAGCAAUCUUAACAUUUGUUGGGAGAAUCUCGUACCCCACACGCCAAGUAAGCACCCAAACCUUAGAAAUAGUAUUAAGUUUCCAAAGUUCUUUCCAAAAAAACCUAUGAGGGCCACACCCCAUCUCUUUCAACAAUAACUAGGAAUAACCAAACUUUGACGUGAAACAACCAUAAGGGUUAUGAAACCAUACUAUUUUGUCGCCAUAGCCCUUACUCCCAAUAGGCCAAUUGUAAAAUUUAUCCAGAAGUUCCAUAAGGUUGUUAUGAGAUGGGCUAUAGCUUUCUUGUCAAGAACCCGCAUCAUAUCUUCUAGCCAGUCAAUGCAUCGACUAUACUUAUUCGAGAUCGUAUUUUUGUCCCACCCUUCUAUAGAGAGAACCGCUCGAUAUGUGGGGCAAUCUUUAAGUGCAUGCAUUAGGGUCUCAUCCUCAACCCCACAUUUGGGACAACUCUGCUCAAAGUUGUGCUAAAUCAAAGCAAUCUUAACAUUUGUUGGGAGAAUCUCGUACCCCACACGCCAAGUAAGCACCCAAACCUUAGAAAUAGUAUUAAGUUUCCAAAGUUCUUUCCAAAAAAACCUAUGAGGGCCACACCCCAUCUCUUUCAACAAUAACUAGGAAUAACCAAACUUUGACGUGAAACAACCAUAAGGGUUAUGAAACCAUACUAUUUUGUCGCCAUAGCCCUUACUCCCAAUAGGCCAAUUGUAAAAUUUAUCCCCCCAAUCCUGCUAGUACAACUUGUAGACUUUAUCCAUGUUCCAACGUCUAUACUCCUCAAACCAAAGAUCCCGCACACUAUUAUCAUUAGUGUCGAGCAUAUCAACUUUAAGGACAGCACCAUUUAAGCCUUCUACCCCCCAGUUGUCAACCGUAUGUUAAUCCUAUCACCAAUCCCAACUUGUCAAUCGAAGUCAUCUUUGAGGGCUUCCUCCACAGCCGCAAUACUGGUCCACAUAAAGGAAGCUUUGUCAAUUCUUUUGGAGUGAAAGAUAUUGCCAUCGGGAAAGUAUUUAGAGGAUAACACUUUAAAACAGAGGGUAUCUUUAUUGUUGAUGAGCCUCCACACUUGACACUCAAGAAUAGCCAAAUUGAACAGUCAAAUAUCCCUUAUGCCAAGGCCUCCUAUGCAUUUAAGAUGGCAAAAGGUUUUCCAAGGAAGCAUCAUCCAGAAUCUGCCCUUUUUCUUACCUGACCACCACACUCUACUUAACUUUGUUUGAAUGUCUUCAAUCACACAUUUAAGAGUAAAAAAGAUUGACAACGAAUAUGUUGGAAUAGAUUGGAGGACUACUUUGAUGAAAACUUCUUUGCUACCAUAGGAAAUGAGCCUAUUGGUCUAGCUAUUAAUCCUGUAUGAUAGGCUAUUAAUAAUAUCUUGAAAAGCCCUUUUUUUCUUUUUGUUGAUUGGAAGAGGGGGCCAAGAUAGUUUUCUAGCUUCUCAAUCACCUUCAUACCAAGAAGAUCACCAAAAAUAUAUCUUUGCACCCUAGGAAAAUAUUUGAAAACAAGGGAAAAAAUAGUAGUUUAUACAGGAGAAAGGAACGUUAGAAAUAAGGGAAAAACAGGAAGGAAUAAAGGAAUAAGGAACGUGAUCCAUAGUUUCAAAUACUGAAAGAAAAAACGUGAUCCAUAGUUUCAAAUACUGAAAGAAAUAGACUUUCUCUAAAGCUGAAAAUCAAAAUCUCUGACAAAAUUACACAGUAAACAAACAAAAAGAAUAAAUAGAACGACAUCAAUAGAUUUGUAACACGGAACAAAACAGUGAUGUCUAACCUAUAACAUCUAUCGUUUCUAAUAAGGAACGAAACAGUGAUUCUCUAAAGGUGAAAACCAAAAACCGUGACAAAGACACUCUGAAAAUAGAAGUAAAAAGAAGCAUAUAUCUGAAACUAAAACUAAAACAGGAAUGUAAAGAGCGAUGGCAGAAUUAACAAUAAAAUAGCCAUUGACGAAUGGAAAGACAGGAGACCAGAGACCGAAAGAAAACAUCCAUUUUUCUAAAAAGAAAGUGGAGAUGAAUGAGACGGAAUGAGCCAAUGUUUUCAAAAAUUCCAAUACCAUAAACGGUUUCAACUUCUAUUUAUUAUAGAUUUUGCACCUGCAAAAGAGAUAGAAAGGAAUCCAUGAAUGUGUACUUCUUGCUGCUACAGGGCAAGAAAGAUACAAAUUAAAGACAGUCAUUUCUGGACAGGAAGAGUACUACAUAUUCCAAGGACAGAUCUAUCUCAUUCAAGGAUUUACAAGCACAGACCUCAGACCGAUCGUUUAAACUAAUUAUUGUAGAGUUUCCCAGGGAAUUAUUUAAUUAAAGUCAUUCAUGUGUGCCUAUUUCUGAUGGUUGACUUAGCAAUUGGGAUACUGGUUUUACAGUACUUAAAAUCCAGCCAAUCAGAGAUUUUUCUUAUGCAGGACAUCAGACUAGAAAACAGUUUUUUAUACACGAGUCCAGUAGGCUAUGUGGACAGUCAUAUUAGAAUGAAAGCCAGCCGAGAAAGUUUAAAGCAUUAUCUUAAGUGAGAUAAAAGUGAGAAGAAAGAAGAGACUUUACUUUGGUCAGACCAAAGACUGCAAACCUGAACCAACAACACCCCAAACCCACACAGCUAAACACACCACACUCUAAACCAGAAUAUUAACAAGAGUUUCAAUAUCACUCUUUUUAUUUCUUACAAAAAGAAGGGUGUUGUCAACAAAAAAAGAUGAUUAAUCCUAGGGUCGUUUAUACUAGCCCGAAUUCCUUCUAAAAUAUUGUUACCUUGUGCAUGAAUAAGCAUCCUUGAAAAUGCUUCCAUGCAAAAUAGGAACAAAUAAGGGGAGAUGGGAUCCCCUUGACGGAGUCCGCUCUCGAGAAUUAUAAUAUCCGAUAAAAUAUUGUUACAUUUAACCAAGUAUCUUACCAACCAAAUGCAUCCCAUUAUUUUGUCAGUCCAUUUCGCAAUAAACCCUAUUUUCUUCAUAACCGUCUCGAUAAAAUUUCACUCCACUCGAUCAUAUGCUUUGCUCAUAUUGAGUUUGAUAACUAACCCUUUAUUAGGGCUGUUUUUGGAUCUUUGAAAGUAAUGUAAAAGCUCGUGCGCAAUCAACAAAUUAUCAUAUAUCAUUCUCCCCGGGACAAAGGCACUUUGAUUUUGAUUGAUACAGCUAGGAAGGGCGACCUUAAGCCAGUUGACCAGAACCUUUGAGAUAAUUUUGAAAAUAAACCUACAUAAACUUAUAGGCCGGAAGUUAAUGAUAUCACAAGGGUCACGAAUUUUGGGAAUUAAAAAGAUCAUCAUUUCAUUAAGGUUAGAAAUAUCUUUUUUUGCUAUUAAGAACAUCCAAACAGAACCGAAUAGUAUUAUUUCGCACUAUCUCAUAGUGAUGCUUGAAAAAACUCUCCGAGAGACCGUCGACACCAGGAGCUUUACGGGGGUUCAUUUGUUUAAUAGCUUGGAUAACCUCGUUCUUCGUGUAAUCCAUAGUGAACCAUUCAUUUGUCUCUAUAGUAACACACUCCUAGAUAUACUCUAUGUCAUGGUUAUUAGUGUUAUGACCAUUUGACCGAAAAAGUCUCCAAAAAUAGCUUUUAGCCAUAUUGCAAAUAUCCUUACUGUCAGCCACCCAAUUUCCAUCCACAUCCUUGGGCUAAUCAAUAGUAUUCUUAUUUAAUCGACCUGUAGCUCUCACAUGAAAGUACAUUUUGUUCCUAUCGCCUUUCUUGAGCUAUUAAGACCUAGACCUUUGAUCUCAGUAUUUUUCUUUUCUAGCAUAGAGGUGGCUAAGUCUGCAACACGCAUCUCUCAAAAUAAUCAUAUUAUCAACCCUAUGAGUAGAAUCGAUAACCAUAUCAACUUUUUUCUCUAAAUUUCGGAUAUCUCUCUUUAUUUUGGCAUAUUUAUCACGCUACCACGGGCCAAGGACCGCACGAAUCCUCUCUAGCUUAUUAACAUAGUUUAACGUAUCCCUAUUCCACUUACUACUAAUAACGCUUUUAGCCUCUCUGUCAGUAACCUAACAAUCAUCAAAUUUGAAACACAACCUAUGGUCUCUAGGAUAAUCUUUAGGCUUCUGACUCCACAUGUCUAAAAGAAUUGUAUUCUGGUCAGAUUAUGUUUGCCGUACCACAUUGGCAGCCAUAAACGGAAACUUCUCAAUCAUGAAGACCGAAGUUAAUAACAUGUCUAACAUCUCCUUAAUCAAGCUACCCCCACUCUUGUUGUUGACCCAAGUAAACCAACCUCUAUUGGGUUUGAUGUCCACGAGGGCCAAAUCAUCCAUAAUGUCUUUGAACUCAUUCAUAUGCGCCCUCCCCAUUCUUUGACCAUCGUCUUUUUUAGUUUCAUUCAGUAUCGCGUUAAAGUCCCCCCCAACCACUCAAUCCUCACUUAUCGAAACACCAACCUUACAUAACAUAUCCCAUAAGCUACUUCUAAAGGUAGGAUUCGUAUGCCCAUAGAAGCCAGUGACAAGAAUAUUAUUAUGAUUUUCCAACUGAAAAAUGGAGUCAAAGUGGUGCUUUAAAUAGCUUUGAACGGAAACGUCCACCCCUUCUCUCCAUAUCAAUACAAGCCACCACUUCGAUAUUUAAAGCUCACAGUUAAACCAUUCUACAUCCUGAACUUGUUUUGAACAUGAAGAAAAUAAUUAGCCUUCAUUUUAGUUUCACUAAGAAAAAUAAGAUCGGGGUUAUUAGCAAUAAGGAGUUACUUAAGCUCCCGAACUGUCGCGGGGUUCCCUAACCCACGAUAGCUCAAGCUUAGGAACUUCAUUAUUCUUGGUGGGGAUGUUUGCCAACUGCUUCCUUUGAUGGUGUUAAGCAUUCUAACAAUUUUCUACGAACAGCUCUAUUUGGACUUUCUUCGGUUUGCUCCCCACAACUUUCUCUUGUUCUCUUUAUUUUGGUUUUCAUUUUCCUGAGCCCUUUGUGCGUCCCUUUCAUAGGGCGUUUUUCCAGUUGAGUGCUCGAUUCUGACUCAUCUUUUACAUUUUUGACUUUUUCUUUUCCCAUCUAUUUUGUAAGUUCAUUCACCUCUAUAGUUCCUUGUGUCUUCCCAGUUGAUUCACUUUUCUUAACUUUAUUAUCAGUAAUGACUUUUAUUCCAUUUCUCCAAGGCACACGAUUUUGGUUUGGCAUUCUUGUAGGAGUUCUUAACCAAUUUUCAUAUUGGAAUCCUAUCUUGUUUGUUUUGCUACUUUUUUCCUUCUUAUCACACCUUUGAGUGGAGUGAUUUAUAAGCCCGUAAAUGUAACAAAAUCUCAGUAAACAUUUGUAUCUAAUAGCACAAACAAACUCAGCUCCCUCACUGUUAACAAAUUGAACAACCCUAUGCAAAGGCUUGAGAACACGAUUUUAACUUUAAGCUGUAUGUAUCUGCCCAUCCACCAUCCCUGUUGCGCCAGUCUAUGGUAAUCACUUCCCCAAUCGCAUUGCCCAUCUCCAAAGCAAUCAGUCGAUCCAUGUACUCCAUAAGUAUAUUAGAAAUUCUUACCCAAAAUGGAGAAUGGUUAAAGGCAUAAGCCUUUAUUUCUUGGUCUUUGAUGUAGGGUACCAUAUUGAAUAGGCACUGGUCGAAAAGCCAAGGAAAGAGGUUCAGUAUCCUUUUUCUAUCUUCAACGUUACCAAACUUUACCAAAAUAGCACCUUCUUUUAGGGCAACGAAGUUAACCUCCUUAUUUGUGAAUCAAAGUGACUUGAAUACCAGGUACAUUACUUCUCUAUUGACUUUCUCUUCUGACAUUAUUUUCUCAAUGCCCUAGGCUUCAAAAAUCUGCAAACUAUAAGAUCACACUUUUGUGCUCAUGACCCUCGUUGCUUCUUCCUCUGAGAAAAUUAAUUUCAUUAGAAGUCUAUUGAUAUCUUUUGCCAUUAUGGCAUUCACAAAUGCACCAUGCAAUGAAGGUGAAUCACAUUCCAGUCCAACAGAAUGAGUGACCGAACAGAAACAAAAAGAAUAAAAAUGAAACCUAACAAUGGAAACAAACACAACAGUACCCCAAGAAAAUCGAAAACCAAAUGAGUCACCACAAUGAGACUUACCCUUCCAAGAAAUCCCAAAACCUCGAUCCCGCGCAGUUUUACACAAACACAAAUUAUCAAGAAGGUGAAACAAAAGUCAAUUAGACAAAGGACCAAAAACCCUUGCUGCUUCUUAAUACAAGAAAACAAUAGAAAACUUAAUAUAAUGAAAAACUCUAAACCACAUAACCUAAACGCAUUUUUAUAUUAACAUGACGUAAAAUGACUAUAUUUACUAAUAACGUAGAAAAGUCAAAAGGAGAAUAAGCUAUUAAUGUUGUACCAUGCAAAGCGAUAUAACACCAUGCAUGAAAGAUGUACAAAACCAUGCACGCCUGUAAAUUUUUAAGAGAAAAAAUGUUAAUAAAAUCAAGGAAACCAUAAAACCUUAUCAGGAAUAAUGAUUUUUCCCAUCUAGCAGCGCCUAGUGUAGGCAAGAAACUUCACGACUAACCAUGUUAGAGUUAGUAGUUAGUCAAUUAACAAGUCAGUAACCAAGUUGUUAUACAGCUUGAAGUUUGUUAAAGAGCAGUUGAUGGCUAAGAGCUCUCUAUAAAUACAACUACUAAAUGUACAAAGAAAUUUAAGUAAUCAAGAAUCAGAAAAGAAGUUAGUCAUUGCUAUUCCUUUAUUCUAUCAAAUACCAUUUAAACCUAGUAUUUAACAUGGUAUCAUUCGCUGGCUAAUCUUAGGAUCUAAGGCCACUACAAACUCCAAUGAUUUCGUGUUUGUUGAACCUGGUUUGGUUGCCUUCACCGGUGGCCGUGUCGUCAAUUCGUUUCCUCGACAUGAGGUAGUCAAGCUAUAGGAGGGCACCUACAUUCAAUGGAACAAACAAGUGAAGCUCAUUACUGAUGGCUAUGAUCUUACUGGGUUCUUGGAUGGAACUGUACCUUUACCACCAAGGUUUGUCCAAACUCAAGAAGGAACUCUUGUGUCAAACCCAUCGGCUUUGGUAUUCACACAGCAAAAUUGGCUAUUGACAUCGUGGCUCCUCUCUACAGUCAGCCUAAUGCUUUUCCCGUCCUUUACUGAUGUACACACGACUUGCGAUGUAUGGAUUAUUGCGGCGAAUCUCUUUGUGGCUGAUACGGAGGCGAAGUAGUCCAGAAUUUGAUAUGAGCUCCACUUGUUGAGGAAAUGUACGCUCUCUAUUAAGUCAUAUGUUGCUCGUAUAAAAAAUCUUUGUGCACUUUUGGAAUCGUCUGGAUCUCACAUUUCAAAAGAGGAGAGAGUCAAGGUUAUGCUCGUAGGUUUACCGUCAAAGUUUGAGGAGAUCAUCUCCUCCGCUUCGUUGUCUCCCGACGCCGUGUCGUUUUAGAGGUUGGUGGAUGCGUUGGCUAAGUGUGAAAAAAGACAAGUUUGGAUGAUACAUAAAGUCGUCGUCCAUGCGUAUCUUGUUGAGAGUGGCCUGUUGCAAGCGUCGUUGUAAGGGGCAGAGGUUUGGUCACGCCGCUCAAUGCUACUACUACCGCUACCAUUGAAAUACGGAGGCACCGCUGUCAACUACUUUAGUGCCGUACCAUGGUGAUCUGGCCUAUGCUCCACCGAAUCCUGGUGUGCCACACGGAGAAGGUAUGCGUGACUGGGGUCUCUUUAAGUAAAAUCGACUAGGGUUUCAUAUGGCCAAAAUUCAUGUGAGGAUGGGCAAUAUAAUUUGGUGGCCGACUAUUAUGAUGGUGGCAUGUAUGGGUCCAUGCCACGUGGGCCUUCCUUGUCCUAUGCGCCCAAUACAAGUGGGACAAAUUUUGUUCCUAUAAAUGUGGGCUCUCUCCAACAUCGGUAAUACAUGGCACCUCCCUCCAAGUUUGUUCCUAGGACGCAUGCAUAUGGGCCAAAUUUCAAUGGUCGUGAUUUUGGUUUCUCUAGCUGUGAAGGACAGUGUGUAAGUGGGCCUUUCAAUGCUAGGCCAACGGCUCCCAUUGUUCCCAAUACGCCUACAUCCAAUUAUGUCCAGGUCAAUUCGUCUCCUGGAAUUAGGCUAAAUUUUGGAUCGAUUGGUGGUGUUUCUGUUCCGUGGUCCACAAAACCCCGAGCUCGAGUUUACUCAGGAUCUGACCUGUGCAUUGGACUACCUCGGGUAGGCGAUCUACAUGCGUUUGAUUAUUCUGAUACGUCAGGAUCGCAUAUUAAUACUACUCAGUUUGAGUCGACCGGGGGUGGCAACGAUUCCUACAUUCCCAUGCCUGUUGGUACCACAUAUUGGUACACUUACUCUAGGGCUAGUCAUCAUAUCUGCCGGGAUCCGUUGGUUUUACGUGACCCCACUCCGUACUCAGGUAUGUCUUCUUUUUUAAUGGGUGACGGGAUGUAACAUCCCGAAAUAGGGCCUAGUCAAAAUAGUAGUUUCGGAAUCACAAAUCUGACAUCAAAAUAUUUAUUUUAUGAUUAUUAUAAGGCCUAGAAUAUGAGUAUAUGCAUGUGUUAAAGUUUCACGAAAAAAAUUCUAAGUAUAAGAUGUCCAAUUAAAAAUUAGGGACUAAAUUGAAUAAAUUGAAAAACUUAGAUUCUAAAAGAAAUUUGUAUGAAAUUACUAUAGAUUAUGAAUUAGAAGUUCUUGGAGAGUAAUUUUCCCAAAUUCUAAAUUUUUGGACGAAAAUGGGCUUGCAUGGAUGAAAUUUUAAAGAAUUUCGUAUUAGGCUUUUUAAUGAAAUAAAAAGGGAAAAAUGGAGCAAAAAUAUGCUCAUCUUCUCCCCAUAGCUGCUAAAAUUUGGGGGACACCAUAGCUAGGGUUUCUUCAAUUUUCAAGCUCAAUAGUAAGUGCUCCCAAGCAUAGUUUUUCAUGUUCUCUGUAUUUUUGAAAUCCCGGUAGCUUGCUCUUUCCAUAUCUACCCAUAUUUCAUGCUAGGGUUUAUGUUCAAAAAUUUACCCAUGCAUGAGUUAUUGGUAUUUUGAUGGAUUAUGAAUAUGAAAGAUAAAUGUGUGUUAAACAUAUUUUCCAAGUUGGUUUUCAUGAGAAACUCUUAUAGGCACUAUUUUGCAAAAGAUGUAAAUGUGUGGUAAAAAUAAGGAAAAUAAUGAAAAAUGUGGGUUUCCAUAAGAGAGAAAAAUGUUUGGUUAGGCUUGGGUAAGAUAGAACUUGCAUAUGUUUCAUUAAACGAGCCUAGGGACUAAAUCGUAAAAAUAUCGGAGGUUAGGGGCAAACGAUCAUUUGAACCGAGGGUAGAUAUUAAGCUUGAAAUGUAUAAUGUGGGGUAUUAAUGAAUUAAUUUUGCUGUUAUAGACCUCGAGAAACAAAUUUCGGAAGUUGAUCGUGGUAAACGCAAGGUUUCGGAAUAACCGAAACACAAUCCCGUAAAGAAUACCAGGUAAGUUCAGAUAACUUAAAGUAAACCCCUAAUAUGUAUAAUUGAAUGAUUUAUGAAUGCAUGAUGAUUGCAUUUAUUAUUAGUAUGAAACAUCAUUGAAAUGCAUAUUUGAUGGUAACAUGUGAAAGAUGCCUCGGUUAAGGUUGAUAAAGAAGAUUCGAUGGAUAAACCCUGAUGAUAUGUGUAACAAGAUCCUACAUGUGUUGUAGUAAGGAUUUAGCCUGGACAGGUGUUCCUUGAAUGAUCGAACCUCCCGAAGAAUAUAUGUGCAUUACGGAUUUAGCCCAGACGGGUAAUCUGAAUUGGGUCUGAAUUUAGCCUGGACUGGUAAUUCAGAUCCGAGCUCAUUAAGAGUGUUUGUCGCUAUAAGGGAUUUAGCCUGGACUGGUAAUCUCGACAUCACUUUACGAGUUCAUAUAAUGGGGGAUUUAGCCUGGACUGGUAAUCCCGCCAUAUGAUGUGAGGUUCGCGGGAGUGCAUAUAUAGAAUGAUCAUUCGUAUGAAUUGACGGAUAAUGAGUAUUCUAUCGGGAUUUCUUAGAAACUCAACGAGAUUAACAUGGGAUAUACAUAUGAAUGAAAUGUUGAAUGAUGAACUCAUCUAGUUAAAUUACAUGAUACGUGAUUAUGUGACUAACUUAGUGAUUGAGUGCAUGUGAUAGGAAAUUAUUUCAUAAUGGAUGAUUUCAUGAAUUAAGUAUGGAUUUAUGCUAAUUACUCGGUAAGUUUAUUUUCCGGUUAUUCGAGCUUACUAAGCAUGAAAUGCUUACCCCCUCUCAUUUCCCUAUUUUACAGAACUCGAGGACUCAUAAGGAUUGGAAGACAGUUGGAUAAGCAACACACUAUCAAUUAGUCAAGCUUUGGUAUAAAGACACUUUUAUUUUGUUAAUGGCAUGUAUAGGGCUUUGAGUAUUUUGUCAUAUGUGUCAUUUGAAUUGCCAAAUGAAGGCAUGUAAAGAUACAUUCAUAUUUUUGUAUAAGGCCUUAGAAAUUGGCAUAUUUGAAUGUAGGCUAUGACCUGCCUUUAUACCCAUGUUUAUGCUCCAUUAUGAUUAGUUGCUACAAGUGGCAAUGAGGUCAAAAACGAGCCAAAUUUUGAAUGUGCUACAAUAACAUAAGAACCCAUAAAUACUAGAUGGGAAAUAACCUUUUUGUAUGAAACCAAUGAUAUGAGGUUUCCAUACAACUAACUUUAUCAAGAUCAUUUACAAGUGUAUAAUCAUGUUUUACUUUGAAUUUGGUAUCUUUUAAGAAAAAGAAGUAAAAAGGGGUGACUAAAGGCUUGGAAAAUAGCCUAUUAAAGUCCACAUGGUUAGACACACGGGCGUGUGUCUAGGCCAUGUGUGACACACGGUUCAUCCCCAUGGGCGUGUGGUAUGGCCGUGUGUCCCCUGCACCUAAAACUUUAAGUCAAAUUAGUACACGGGUAGGACACACGGGCGUGUGUUUGGGCCAUGUUUAUUUAACAGAAUGCUCAUGUUUUGGACACGGGGUGAGCCUACGGGCUUGUGCCUUGGCCGUGUCUAAAAGUCAGUGUUGCCCACGGCUUAAAGGCAUGGACGUGCCCUAGACCAUACGGGCGUGGGUGAUCAUACGGCCCCUCAUACACGGGCGUGCGACACUUCUAAAUAAGGAAAUUUUCUAAAGUUAUGGAAUGUUCCCAGUCCUAUCCCGAAUCAUUUCUAUGUAUAUUUAGGGCCUUGAAGGUCCAUUUAAGGGACGAGAUGUGAAUGCUUGUAAGUUUCAGUUUUGAGCUAAACUUGGUGAGUCGAUUCAGUAUGUUUGAAAUGAAAAAUUCUGGUAAUGCCUCGAACCCUAUCCCGGUGCCAGAUAUGGGUGAGGGGUAUUACACGGGACUCCUGCUAAGAUUUCAUUGGUUGGCAGUAGUGUUUUACCUACUCAGUCCAAAUUACUGCGUUUGUCUAAUGUUUUAUGUGUGCCCAUAUACGAAAGAAUCUUCUGUCGGUGUCACAGUUUGCUAAUGAUAAUGCUGUAUUCUUUAAAUUUCAUCUGACUCAUUGUGUAAUUAAGGAUAUCAUGACCCAGGAAUUUUCGCUGACGGGCAUCAUUCGUGAAGGACUAUAUCAUUUUCCCGUACUUGUGGUCUCUGCUCUAUCAACUGAAGCUCCUGAAGCUCAUUUUGUUGCUCAUACAAAGGUUCAAAAUAAAACUGCUGAUUGUCCUUUUUUCGUUUGUGGCAUAACCGCCUUGGCCACCCAUCUGCGUCUGUGGCUAAGAGUGUUUUAGAAAAUGUAAUAUUGUAUCUACAAAAUAUUGUUUUGAAAGUAUAUGUACUGCUUAUCAACAAGGACAAUCGCAUAAAUUGCCGUUCUCCAUGUCUAACACUAAAUAUCAACCUUUCGAUUUGAUUGUCUCUGAUCUUUGGGGCUUGGGUCUAUUGCAUGUGAUAAUAAGUGGUAUUACGUGUCGUUUAUUGAUAUGUGCACUAGAUUUACAUGGAUCUACCUUAUUCGCCAAAAGUCUUAGACAGUAGAGUGCUUCUCUCAAUUUCAACAACUGAUAAAAACGCAGUUUGGCAAGUCUAUUAAAUAGUUUCAAAGUGACUGGGAUGGCAAGUACUGGGCUUUUACAUCUAUUUUAGCAUCCCUAAGGGUUGUUCAUUUGUUAACCUGUUCGUAUACUUUCGAACAAAAUGGAAUGGCUAAGCGCAAACACUGACGCAUUGUUAAAAUGGGCUUAAUGUUGUUGGCCCAAGCUGGCCUAGCUAUGGAUUAUUGGGGGUAUGCUUUUGCAAUGCAGUUCACCUUAUUAAUCGCCUUCUUACUGCGGUUCUCAAAGGUCAGUCUCCGUUUAAAGCUCUUUAUGGCUGUGAUCCCACUUACGAUCAUCUUUGGGUUUUUGGCUGUUGUUGUUUUCCAUACUUACGUCCUUUUUCUGCACAUAAGUUAGAAUUUCAUUCUCAACCUUAUAUUUUUUUGGGCUAUAGUGCUCAACAUAAGGGUUAUCAGUGCCUCUUACCGAAUGGUAAAAUAAUCAUUUCUAGACAUGUUGUAUUUGAUGAGAAUAGGUUUCUAUCCUCCGAGAGAGGUUUACAGGACAUAGAAAAGGCCUCUGGUACGCCCGUUUCAACAAUGGUACCUCUUGUUCGGACUGUUUCGUCUCGACAUGUGGAGCCAGUAAUAGCACCACCACCUAUGGUCAAUUCACUGCCAGCAAUAGUUUUGCCCCAUCUCCAUCGAGUGCUGCUCUUGUGACUCAUCACCCAUGUGUGUCCAAUAAUGAGGGUAUGUUGAAUAAUGAGGAUUUAUCGACUGGUGGAACGAGUUCUGCCUUGCCCACGGUCAGCACUCAUCCCAGGGCAACUCAGGCUAAAGUAGGUAUUUUCAAACCAAAAGCAAUAUCUGUUGAAGCUGUGGAACCAUCUAUGGUUGAGGAGGCAUUGUCUACUAUUGAGUGGCGUACUGCUGCUUAAGCGGAGUAUGAUGCUCUUGUUAGCAAUUCUACCGGGAGCUGGUUGCCCUACCACUAAAUCGCAAUGUCAUCGGAUGCAAAUGGUUGCUCAAAAUCAAAAGGAACCCUGAUGGCACUGUUGCCCUUAGGAAGGCUCAAUUUGUAGCAAAAGGUUGUUCUCAAGUUCCUGGCUAUGAUUUCAAUGAUAUGUUUAGUCAGAUUGUGAAACCUGCCACUAUUAGAGUUAUCUUGACCAUUGCUAUUUUCAAGGGAUGGUUAUUUCGACAGCUUGAUGUCAAUAAUGCAUUUUUAAAUGGUGAUUUGGAUAUUGAAGUGUUUAUGGAAUAACCUCUAGGUUAUGUUCAAUAUGAUUCGACUGGCCUCCCAUUUGUGUGCCGUCUGAAGAAAGCUCUAUAUGGCCUUCGACAAGCCCCUCGCGCUUAGUUUGAAAAGUUGAAGCAUUUUUUUGUGUCUGUUGGUUUCAUCGUCUCGAAGUCUAAUGUGUCCUUGUUUGUUCAGGUUACAGCUAACUCCACACUCUAUCUUCUGGUAUAUGUUGAUGACAUUAUUAUUACUAGAAGCGUGCCUACUACUAUUGAUUGGUUUUUUCGAUUGUUAAAUGAUGAAUUUUCGCUUAAGGACAUGGGUAAUCUACACUAUUUUCUCGGCAUGGAGCUGACACGCUCUUCCUCAGGAUGCCUUCACCUUUGUCAGACCAAGUACAUAUGUGAUAUUCUUGCUUGAGCAUCCAUAACUGAUGUAAAGAGUGUUCACACUUCGAUGAUUAGCUCGUCCAAUCUCUCCAAAGAGGAUGGCAAUCGUUUAGAGGAUCUAAUGGAGUAUAGAAGCCUUGCUGGUGCACUCCAGUACAUUGUAAUUACUAGGCCCAAUAUUGUAUAUGCAGUAAACAAGAUAUGCCAAUUUAAGCAUAAACCUACCACUACUCACAUGAAUGCCCUAAAAUGCAUCUUGUGGUAUUUGUGUGAGACUCUUGACCUUGGGAUUGUGUUUCACCCGUCUGCAUGACUUUCUUUAGUAGCAUAUGCUGACGCUAACUGGGGGUUAAAUUUUGACGACCGUUGGUCAACUUCAGGGUAUUGUGUUUAUUUUGGCUCCACUCCUGUGUUGUGGUGCUUUAAAAAGCAGCAAAUGGUUUCUCGCUCCAUGACAAAGGCAGAAUAUAGAAGCCUUGCUGCAGCCACUAGUGAGGUUACUUGCCUACUUUCCUUGUUUCAGGAACUACGGAUUAAGUCUGAUGAUACUCUAAAUAUUUGGUGCGAUAGUUCUAGUGCUGUGGCAGUUGCAGCCAAUCUUGUCUUACAUUCUAAGUUCAAACAUGUCGAGCUUGACUUGUUUUUUAUUCGUGAGCGACUUGCGGAUGGGUCUAUUUUGGUUGGUUAGGUUCUCGCAUGUGACCAAGUAGCAGAUGUUCUCACUAAGCCUCUGUCAGUGAUGAUUUUUACUCGGUUUAAAACCUUCUUCGCGUCUUGCCCGUUGAUAAGUUGAGUGAAUGUUAGAAUUAGUUUUGUCAGUUAACAAGUCAGUAGCCAAGUUGUUAUACAGCUUGAAGUUUGUUAAAGAGCAGUUGAUGGCUAAGAGCUCUCUAUAAAUACAACUACCAAAUGUACAAAGAAAUUUAAGUAAUCAAGAAUCAGAAAAGAAGUUAGUCAUUGCUAUUCAUUUAUUCUAUCAAAUACCAUUUGAACCUAGUCUUUAACAAACCACGUAUGAAUCAACUGUACACCCUCGGGUAGCACGCCACCACUUCAACGCAAACCCCACCGCAUGUAAAGACCCUACCACAUUCAACCAUCCGAUUAUUCUUUUAGAAAGAAUAAAGAUGGACACAAACACCAAAAAAAAUGGAAAACCUCAAAAUCUUGGAGAAAAUAUUUUUUCUACGCUACUAGUAGAGAUGUGCAUGGGUCGGGCCGGGCCGGGUCCAACUAAAAAUUUAUGCCCGUUUGCUAGGCCUGAGCCCGGCCCAGCCCAAAAAAUAGGCCUAAAAUUUUUCCCAAGCCCGACCAGAAUAAAAAUGUUAAAACCCGGGCCCGACCCGGCCCGCCCAUAUUAAUUUUUAUAUAAUUUUAAAAAAUAUAUAAACUAUCAAAAAUACUAAAAACAUCAAAAUAAAUAUUUCUCAACAUAUUGAAAAUAAAUUUAAAAAAAUAUGUAUACUUAAAUAACACUAAAAUAGAUGCAACUUAACAAGCAAAUGCUUCUAAAAUAAUAACAAAAUUAACAAAUGUGUUUAAAAUAAUAAAAAAAUAACAAUAAAAUAAAUUUUAUACAAUAUCCAAACAAUAACAACAAAAUAGUUGCAACAUAAUAGUAAAAUAGUAGCAAAAUAGGGAGAAAAUAAUAAGGAAACAAUAUUAAAAAAAUAGAUUUUUUGUCAUGUAGUGAAUUCGGGUCGGGCUCGAGUCGAAAAUGCCUUACCGGAGGCUCGGCCCGUUUUUUAAAUGAGCCUAAUUUUUUUGUCCAAGCCCAUUUUUCGGGCCUAUAUUUUUGCCCAAACCCUCCUAAAUUUUGGGCGACCCUUCGGGCUGGGCCGAGUGGCCCAGCCCAUGCACACCUCUAGCUACCAGGCGGAUUUUUUUUUUUGAUAAUAUUAUCUAUUAUGCUUCUACCAGGGGAAAAACUGUAUUGAUUUGAAAGAACCCAUUUUUGCAUCAACGGCCUCAAUCUAUUCACAAUGACUUUUGAAACAAAUUUAUAUGGUACCGCGCAGGACGAAAUUGAGACAAAUAUUCAGGGCAACCUUCGAAAUCAACACAAGUAAGGUAUGAUUAAGCCAACCUACAAAGCUGCCACCAUUCCAAAUAUUCUUCACAAAGUCAGAGACACUUUGUCCCACCACUUCCAUUUCUCUUGAUAAAAAAUUGCAUGGAUUCCAUCGACACCAAGAACUUCCAAAGGAUCCAUAUAAAAAACAACCUUCUUGAUUUCUUCAUUCGUUACAGUUGGCUUUAAAGAUUUAAACUCAACAUCAAACAUCCUAUAAAAUAAUCCGCAUUGGAUAGAACCAUUACUCAGCAACAUUUUAUUUUGUAAAAAAGGUUUUGUAAAAAUCAGUGGCCAUAUUUUGUAGAACUCCAGGGUCAUCAUGCCAACUAUAAUCCCUAAGUUUUAACAUUGUUAUCGUAUUAGCCCUUCUCCCAGUAAUAAUGCUAGCAUGAAAGAAUGUUGUGUUGCGGUCACCUUUGCACAUCUAUUUACAACGGGUUUUUUGGAUGCCACAAAUUCGCUUUUUAGGUAAUCACCUGCUUUAAUUAACCUCUAAGCUCUUUCUCUAGAUUACGAAGAAAAUAUGAAGGAUACUUAUCAAGUCUCUUCUUAAUCCCCUUCAGCCUAGUCAUUAGUACCCUUUUCCUAUUUCCAAUAUGCCCAAAGGAUUGAAAAUUCCACUUAACUUUAGAACAAAAUUUUUUCACAUUAGUCACCACGUCAUUUCCUGAAGCCCAAGAUGAUUUAAGGAGCGUAUCAAAUUGGUCAUGAUCCAGCGAAGAAGCAACAAAUCUAAAAGGCUUUAGCAUAUUGGGAAUACUCUGAAUAACAUUAGAGAAACAAAUUAGUCGGUGAUCAGAACCUGUACGUUGAUGAUGAGCCACAGAAGAAUCAGGAAACAAAUCCAUCCAAUCUCUAUUACAAAUGAACCAUCCAGACGUUGGAAAAGCAAUCCCCUAUUCCAAGUGAAAGAUGACAUUUUAUGACCCAAAUCAACCAUUCAUGAUCAAACAUAAAGUCCCAGGAAAGCACAUCAAUACCCAAACGCACCAUUGCCCCUGCUUUUCUCUCUUCAUUGGACACAAUCACUUUAAAAUCUCCUCUAAGAAGCCAUGGUACAUUCCCUUGAGGCCUUAAAGAUGCAAGAUAAUUCCAUAAUAACUUACGCUUUGACACGAUGACAAUGGACGACUUGAUUCGACACCUCAACGAUAUCAGUCAUCAAAUUCUAAUUCCAGAGAAUCCCUUUGCUUCUACUCUGAAUGGACAAUCAAACUUUGUUCUCCUUAAUACCUCAUCCACUUUUUUCCCACUUAUUCUCGUUUCAGGUAAAACUAAAAUAUCCAAUUUAUGAUACCUCAAAAUAUUUUGUAAGAUAGCACCGAAUUUGGAGCUCGCAGCCCAUUGACAAUUCCAGCAUAUGAUUUUAAUAUCCAUAAAAAAAGAGAGUAUAGACCACAAAAACUGUCAGAAAGGAAAACCGCCAGUCACUAGAGUUACCACUGUACUUACUUCGACAUAUUCUCCAUAUUCGCUCGGUCCCUCCCAACCGAACUCCCCACCACAGGUCCAACACUCCUGCUACAAAGUCCUAUCAAAAAUCAUUUCCAUAGAAGCCUCACAACCAUUCCCUGCAACAAUAUCCUUACUUGACUUAUUUUGAGAGUGACUUAGUCCAUUCGGCCAGUACUAGUUUAGCAGGUUGUUUUUGUUCUAUCCUUUUACGAACUUUAUGCUUUUUUUUUUUGAUAAAAACUUUACGCUCAUUUUUAGUAAUCUCCUUCAUGGCUAAAACCUUGUUUCCUUUUUGUGUUGAACCACCUUUCUCUAUGCCUAGUUCAUGCACGACACGCAUAACCUCAAAAUUCACAGCACUAUCUUCAACAGUGACAACUUUAUGGCACGCCUUAUUUCUCUUCACCAUCACAUUUACUUCACAUUUUUUUUAUCCAAUUCCUUAUUUCUCUCCACCACCACCUCAUUUCCUUGAAUUUCAACUCCUCUCACUCUUUUUUCCAUAUAUAUUUUUAAAAUCAGCCGUUAUCUUCUCUUUAUUAGUGUCAUUCAACUCUACAAAUCUCGGGUCUUCCAAAUCCACAAGGAUAUUGAAUCGAGUUUUUUCCGGUAAUUCCUUCUCACUGCUAGCAUUCUUUCCAUUAUUGUUUGGUGUUGUUUGUCUAGUUGGACGUCGUUUCUAGUCAGGUGCUUGCAUCCAAGGACCAAAACAGCUUUCCCCCUCUGUAAUUUUCUCAACAAUAGGUGGAGAUGGACAAGAUUCACUUGCACCAUUCCGAGCCAAAUCCGUAUCAUUGACCUCCGAAAGAUACCGCUUUUAUCUAUGACCAUAGCAUCCACAUUUGUAACAGAUUGAAGGGAGUCUUUCAUACUCAACACAAUAAGGGAUACCAUUGAUUUCAACAAAAGCUUUUAGAGGUUUCUUUAGAUCCACCACCAAUGCAAAUCUAGCAAAUUUCCCUCUUCUUCCUACUGUUGUAUUGUAAUCUAUCUUAACCACCUUCCCCAACAUCCCUGCUAUGAUCCUCAGAAGCUUCUUAUUAUUAUACCUGUAUGAAAGUCCCAACAAUCUCAUCCACACAAUUGCUUUAGAGGGAUAACAUUCCUUCGUGGAGAAAUCACGACUCCAAGGCUGAAUCGUAAGGUAGUUCCCAUAAACCAUCCAAGGUCCCUCUGUUAAAGCCUUUGUGUGGUCUUGGCUUAUAGAAAAUUUAACAAUAUAAUAGUCAUUGUCUAUAUCAAUUACUUGGAACGACCCAACCAGUUUCCAAGUACCUGUAUUCUGUUGAAGAGGGCUUUAUAACCAAUCAAACGUCCCAAGAGCUUCACCACCACUUUCUGUUCCAUACUUUUAUCCAAUAUUUCUUGCACCCUAUCAAAGAAGAAAACCUCUGGAUACGGUCCUUCCAAUGAAACUCUUACAUCACCUACCAAUAUGUCCAAGUCUUUAUUCUUUAAUACUGCAUCUGUAUCUCCACCCUUGUUACCUACAUUCACCAUAAGAAUCUCCUUGAAUGAUUCUUUACCCUGGUCGGAAUCCUCCAUAGUCAGGUCCCCUGGAGAAUUCGCAUCUAGAUCCUUGUUCCAAACUUUCUUGGUUGCUCUUUCGAUCCCUGAGGGGAUUGGAGAGCCAAGACGCUCGAGAGCCAACGAAGUGUUAACCAUCGGAGAGAGUGUUUUUAUAUAAUUAUAUUACGUCAUGCAACCAUAUAUAUGUAUAUAUAUACGAAUGCUCCAAUUAUACUUAUGAAAUACAAAAGUUGAUUCUUAAAUCAUACUUACUUGAGAUAAGUUGUGUGUAUACACCAUACAUUUUUUAUGUGGCACCCUACUUAUACAAAAUUUCUGGUGUGGUAUUAUUUUGUACUAUAUGCCAUGCCAACAAAACAAUUAAAACAAUUAAUAAUUAAUAAUUUUUUUUUAUUUUACAUCUUCAAUUAAUUUUAGUUUAUUUUUUUUUUAUUUUUAAAAUAUAACAUAACGAGUUUAUUUCAUUUUGAGUUUUUAAAACUCUUGUUUUCUUUUUUAAUAUUCAUUCGUUUCUUGAAUAUGAUUUUUCUCUAAUAUUAAUGAUAUUUUUGUGGAAUUGAAGGCUUUGUGAAGACCAGACCGUGAUUUAAACAUGAGGUUCCUCUUAAAUUAUUCUUGUCAUUAACAGAAAAUGUAAUUUUAGUCCUUAUGAAAGUAAAAUUUGAAUAUAUUGUUUGGCGAAAUUGAAGGAACUUAGAAUAUAGCUAUGUUUGUUCACUCAUAAAAAAACUAACACAAUUUGUAUUUUGAGUAAUUUGUAUAGUAUUUGGUAAGUUCAGAUACCAAAAUGGAAAAAAAAAACUUAAGUACCAAAUUAAAAAAAAUUGUCAAGCUUAGAUACCUAAUAUUAUAUUUAGCCAAAAAAAAAAACACCAAGAAAACACAACCGAGCCCCGGAGCCCGGAUCAAAAGCCGCGUACUUGUCUUAGGGCAUAUAUUCUCUUUCAGUCGAAAUUUGAAAGGCAAACCAAAGAAGAAUUUUUGUAUAAACAAGUUUCUACCGAUUUACUCAGCGACAAAAUCGUCCUGGUUUUGCUUUUUCUCCCUCAAAUCUCUUUGAAUUGGUAACCUUUUAGCACUUUCUUUUGCUAUAAUGAUUUAUGCUUUCGGAUAAAUUCCUGCUCAUAAUUUUACUUUCUGUUCUUUUUUCCCUGAAGAAAUUGUUCCAAUUUGCUGUAAUCAAUCAUUUUUGUAUGAUAUAUAGUUUAUAUUUUCAUUUCAUUUCAUUUAUAUAUCUUGUUUAGAAAUGUAGCAAGAGAUUAAACCUUGCUAAGGAAAAAAAAGAAAGUAAAAUUAGGUAAAGAGACGUAUAAUCUUCCAUUUUCGUGUUGGAGAAUUUCCUAUUGAACUAUUGGUUUUGUGUUUCUGCCUUGGAGUGGAUCCUUUUGAUAGUUGGUUGUUUCAUGUUCCGUUCGUUUUCUUUUAAUGUUGAGAGUUUAGAGUGAUAUAUGUUUCAUUAUUGAAGGUAGUGUCAUACUUUCUUUGGUAAAAUGAUGUUUCUUUUCUAUCUAUUGCGGAUAUAUAUGGCAUUUUAUUUAAAGUAGUUCAUGAACUGCUGAUAUUGCAGGGUUGGGUGAAUAAAUAGGACAUUUAGAUGUUGGGGAAAGGAAGGAAAGUGUCUGGCAGAGGAGAGACGGUCACGGCAAAUUAUGCUUUUGGCCCAGCUGAAGAUGAUGCUAUUAUAAAACACAGGCUUCUGACCCGUACAACUACUACGAGAGGCGAACCACCAUUGAAGAAACUUCAAAGGAAGUUUACCUCAUUUGUGUUAGAGGUUGAAAAAGAUGAAGAAAACUAUAAUGAUUGCGCAAAACUUUCCAAGGCUUUCUUACAAGAGUUGUCUACUUUUGAGAUUCCUUUACUAAAGAGUAAAGCUGUUAUUGAUGCAAAUCUUAGAGAGAAGGAGAACUUCAAUGAGUUAAAAGAUGAGAUAAAUAGGCAGAUAUCGCUUGUGCAGACUGACAUAGAAGAGCUAAAGAAACAACUAGAGGAAAGUAAGAUUGAAAGGCAACACAAGGAGGAGUGUGAGGCUAUUAGGAAACUGAUCUCCGCACAGCCUCCAAGAUCUGAGACACAAAAAAGCAUAAGAGAGAUAGAGAAAGAGAUUGCGGCAUUGGAGGCAGAGAAUACUGCUGGUUCAAGGUUGCUGGAGCUUCGGAAAAAACAGUUUGCGUUGCUGCUGCAUGUGGUAUGUUUAAUUCCGCAACUUACAUGCAGUUUUCACUGUUUCUGUUCGAAACAUGAUCGAAUUGAAACGGCUUUUGUGAUGCUUGAAAUUUCUUGUUUGCUAAUAUUUCUUGAUUUGAGAAUAUGAUCUCCUGAAAUCCUGUCCAUGAACACACAUUCUUUCUUUCCAGGAUAUUGUCUCUGUAUUUAAUCUCUUUUUGAGUCUUAUGUAUUUCCUAAAACUGUCCUUGCUGCUGGUUUUGUUCUUAGAAUUUGAUACAUGUUUACCUCAUUGCCCGGGGUUAUCUAGAUUCUGAGUUUGUCUGUUUUCUUCUCACAAGAUGGAGAUGAGACAGCAUGUGCUGUCAUAAAUCUUGGAAAAUGGGGACAAUUCCAUUAAAAGUGGAUGGAACUUAUUGCUGAUUUCUUUCGCUUUCUUUUCUGUACAAAAUUUUAUUUUUUCUGUGAUCUAUAAAAUACUUUUUUUUCCUUAAUAUAUGCUUUCAUGGGAAACUUCAGUUGUUUGAGCUGGAUAAGCAGAUUGCCACUAGGAAAUUUCAUAUUACAUUUGUGACGAAUGUAGCUUGGUCUUUCUGUUGACAAAUGUAACUUCUGCAUUGAACUUCUAAGAUCAUCUAUUGACAUACUACUUUAUUGUUGAUCUCGCACAUGUCACCUUUAUUGGUUCCAUAUUCCUUAAUGACUUGCGUGAACAUAUUUUGGAAUAAAAGGAUAUGACACCAUAUUCCUUAAUGUCUCGCACAUAUACUUUUUUUUUUUUUUUGCAGAAUCUGCCUUAUCUCAGUAUGUUUUCUUGUUUUAAGUUACAAUUUAAAUGGAGUGGCAUCAUAUUGUUUUAGUUUUGUGAUUGAGCUACUAGCUUGAGAUGGAUGUGUCACCAAUCUCAUCUAUUGUUCCUGUAUGAUUUGAUUCUGUUAUCCUUGAUGCAGUGCCUUUCCAUGUCUUGCAUGAUAAUGGAUAAAAUGUAAAACUUGACGGAUCUUUGUUCUGCAGUACUCAAAACUGCUUAAAAGACUGGUUGAAUCUGUAUGAUCUGUUACUAAAAUUUCUUAUCGUGUUACUUUACCUUUAAUGCAGGUGGAUGAGUUGCAAAAUACCAUAGAAGAGGAUCAGAAGAGUUUGAUCGAGGAGAUGAGAAUGGUGACUGAAGAGCAGAAGAGUGGGAUGGAAGAUGCCAGUGGGGGCUCUGAAGCCAUGGCUGUUGAUUAGCUGGGUGCUGCAUCCAAGUUUUGCAGUUGUAAGGUUUUGUAAAAUCAUGAUCCUUUCCAUCCAAAUAGUAGUUUUGAAGUUUUAUGUAGUGGAACAUCAGAAUAUUCUUAAAAGUGUUGUUUGUGGCUUUUGAGCUAACAUUUGAAUUACUAAUGGUCCACAAUCGGAGUAGGAUGUGGAUAGUUGGCUUGAUACUGCUUUGUUACUAAUUGAUCAAUCUUUCUUUUAGUCUCAUGAUACUCUUUUAAACAGAAAUAAUGAAACUAGUUAGUUAUUUAUUUUUAAAUUUCGAUUUCCCAGUAUAUAGGGACUUAAAACUCAGUGAACACUUUAUUUGGUUGUGUCAGCAAGAUCUUGUAUUUUGAUGAUCUUCAAAUUGUAUCAUGUUUGAUAUUGUGAAUGGUCUGUUUAGGGUGAUCGAAAGCUCCCUUUGCUUAACUGGCUAGUACAUUGGCUUCCAGCUUUAUAUAUAAACUUUGUCCAAUAUCUUAUAGCUUUUGCAAUUGCAAUUUGGAAUCUUUAUUUAAGCUUAAGGUAAUUCCUGUGUAGCGGGCCUUGUGGGGGGAAGGUGAGUGGACUUUGCCUGCACCAAUUAGAUACAAUUCCUUCCCAAACUGUAGAACCAAAACGUAGCACCUCCUAAUACAAAUUUAUAGUUUUGACUUUUGAUACUGUGUAUAUACAUAUUUAAAAGAAAGAAUAUAAAUGGAAAUGUUGUAUCUAUAUUUUGUAAAAGAAAGAAUAUAAAUGGAAAUGUUGUAUCUAUAUUUUGUAUCCCUUUAAACCAUUAUACGCAUUAUACACAUUCAAAUAUGCAUUCCUUUAAACCAUGGGUGUGGUGUGGUUAUUCUUCAUUUCUAUCUCUUAAUUGUGUGAUUGGAGGGUCGAUCCCCAUUCAUGGGAAUGAAGUAUAUUUUAUGGUCAAUCGUUUUUCUUUCUGUAGAGCACUCGGGACGAGGGGAUUAGUCAUUGUUACCAACUGUAAAUAUCCUGGUUACAACAAAAAAUAUGCAUUCCUUUGAUGUUAAAUUUAAUCACAUUCAACGUGUUUGAGACAGCAUAGUAUAUAUCAAAGUUUUAGGAGUAGAUAAUCAGAAUUGAAUAUCUAGUGGUAGCAACUAAUUCACCUAUUGUGAACAAAACCAUGACAUGUUUACAAACAAUUUUGCACAUUGGUGUGGACGUAAGCAAUAGUUGUACGCCAAGAAUGGUGUCAUAUCCUUAUAGAAGUAUUAUCCAUACAAAACGAGACAUUGAAGUUUGAUUAAUAGCCCUUUUUGUUUCCUUGUCUUUUUUUGCAUUGAAUCAAACAAGUUACCUCUGCCUCGCUGUAAAAUCUUGAAAAAUGUAUAAUAAUUACCCAUAUCAUGUGGCGAAAAAGGAAAUUUCGUUAAACUUGAUUAAUUUGACAUCAUAAAAUCUUGUGAUUUAGAACUGUUGAUCAACAUAUUUGGCAAAGGUAGGUAAGGGUUGGUUGUUUUCAUUAAAGGUCAAAUAGGAUAUACAUUUACCUACUAAAUAUAAUGAAAUCCCUUCAUGGACAAGGUUAGCUUGUCAAUAGGGAUUUCUCCCCCAAGCCUCUCUUCUUUCAAUCAUACUUAUCCUUCUGCUUACAAAAUCAAACAUAUUGUUGUGUUUUACUUUUUCAUCUUUCCCUUCAAUCUUAAGCCAAAUAACAGAUACAAUUAAUCUUAAAGUUUGAAAUUACUGAAAACCUUCAUUAUAUACACCCAACGUUUUCAACAUCAGUAAAGAAGUUACAUGUCAGCUUCUUGUGAUCCCCUCUCAUUUCACCACACUUCAUUGUUCUAGAAAAAAAUAGACUAUUAGGUUUUGGAUAGCUUGCUGUUAAAGCGAGGACGAAGUUAAAAAAAUUACUUUAGGAAUUAUAAAUUAUUGAGAGGUCAAAGUAUAAUUUUAUCGUUGUACUAAUAUGUAAUUUCAUAAAAAUAUAAGGAAUUAAAUAAUAAAAUCUACCACUUUUUUAGGGGUCCCUUUGUUAAAGGUUUGCAUAAAUUUGAUUCUAUUGAAUUCACACAAGAUAGUUGGGAGUAUUCAAGGAUCAAAUGUUCAUUUCAACGUAAAUCCUUUGCUAUUACACCACAGGCUUCAAUAGUUAAUAAUGAUAAAAUAUGAAUUUUGUAUUAAAAAGGAAAUAGUCUUACCUAAUGAGUAACAAAUAGUCUUGACUUUUUAUCAUGAGACAGAUAUAACAAUCUACUAGUUUAGCAACAAUAUGGUUUUAUAAUUCAUUUUUGGGUGCACUUUACAUGUAAUAUAAUUAAAUUUCAAUUAGGUCAUCGUUCACGAUCUUCAUUAGAUUGAGACAUUUGUAAGCAUUGGUGUUUGGGUUUGUGAGUGUGUAAUAUUAAUACAAGUUUGACAUGAGUUUGUCCCCCUCUCCAAUAAGGUCAAACCCCAUUUUCUAUUUGGAGAAAAAAAAUUUAAGUCUUUUUCACUCAUUUCGUGUCUAAGACUAUCUACAACUAACUUGUUUUAUAUUCAUGGAUCCACCCUGUGGUCCUCUUGUUUCUUUCUCUAAUUGACAUAAUUUACCAAAAAAUGAAAGCGUGCAUCACUUGUUCAAUGGAUUGCACAGAGAAUAAUGCUUCAAUCCAAGUUUAUUACUGAAAUGAAAUCAAGCAAAUUCAAACUAACCAAGAACAUGAAUAUUAUUACAUGGAACUUCGUUUGUUCUUUACACAAUGGCACCUGGCCUGUAUAUUUUUGUUCUUUCUGUUUAAAUCUAGUGAAAAACCAAGUGUUACUAAAUCAAACUCCUGACGUAUUCAAUCCCAAAGCUCCUUUAAGAGAAGGGCCAUGUCUGAGAUGAUGCCUGGCUGCAAAUCAACAAAAAUGACUCAUAAAUAAAUGAAGAAAUUGUAUAUACAGAUGUAGUUUAAAGAAAAGAUAAUAAUUUAUUCUUACUCUUAUGAUAUCUCUCCAGUAAGAGUCACUUUCUUCAUCAUCCAUAAGAUCUCCCCAACCUUCAAAGGUGGUUGAAGUAGAUGAAGGGUUAGAUAUAUUAAUUGGGUUGAUAUUCUUGUUUUCGGUUUGGGGUCGACGUUCGGGUGAGGCCAGAACUAAUGCCGGAAGCUGCGAUUGAGUUAAAAGUGGUGGAAUAUUAGCAGGAGAUAGGGAUGAGAAUUGAUGGUUGUUGGAGUCUUCCAUUGGCUGGUUAUGAUAUUCAGUAACCUCCGGUUGAUGUUGUUGUGGAGCUUCCGAGUUGAGAAGAUUUGACUGUAAUUGAGUAAGUUCUUGCGGAGCAAAACCCAAUGAGAGAUUACUAAACUGGUGAUUUGCCCGGAAAGUUGGUCCUGCUAGAAAGUUGAGUGCUUCCAUAGUUGGAGUAGUACCCAGAACUUGAAUUAUGUUAUGCAACAAUUGGAGUUUAGCAAGGUGUGCAGCAUCCAAAGGAAUAUUAGUCAUCAUGAGGUUAGUAAAGUUUGCAGCAGCAAGCAACUGAGGCAGGUUGGGUAGAAUGUUGAGAUCAGUUCUUGGUCUGUGAGUCACUGGAUCAAUUCCCAUUUGAAAUAGCUUCUUCCUCAGAUGAGUGUUCCAGAAAUUCUUAAUUUCAUUAUCUGUUCUUCCAGGGAGAUGAGUUGCUAUUGCAGACCACCUGCCAAGUAUAUAAUAUAAUAUAAUACCCAAUUAGGGUUUUUAAACAAGUAUAAAACAGAGAGUUUAUACUUACUUAUUGCCAAGAGAAGCAUGAAGGUUGAUAAUGGUGUGUUCUUCUUCCUCGGAAAACCUUCCUCGUUUAAUAUCAGGCCUGAGAUAAUUAGUCCAUCUAAGCCUGCAACUCUUCCCACACCUGUUCAAUCCAGCAAGCUUAGGAAGUGCUCUCCAGCUUCCAUGCCCAUGUCUCUGAAUGUAAUCUACAAGAAUCCGGUCUUCCUCAGGCGUCCAAGGCCCCUUUUUCAGGCCAUUUUCAUCACGACUACAAGGCGGUGGUCUCCCCAUCAUCCCUUACCUGCAAUAGCCAAACCACCAUUUAUAUGAUCACAAAACAUCGAAUCAAGAAAUUACAAGGAUUAAUGGAAGGAUUGAAACCUUUGAUUGGAUUAGGAGAAAUAGUUAGCAGUUGAAAUGUGAGUGAAUGGAGCUUCUUUAUGUAGUGUGUGGAUCGGUAUCUGCUAAGGAAAUUGAACACAAAAGUCUAUGGUAUAAUACAAGUAUUUGGCUUUUAAGAUCAUAUCAUACGUCGUAUUGAUUUUGAAACUAUCUCACAAAAAUUACUAAGCUAUCCUUGUCUACAAAGUUGAUUUUUUUUUUUUAACAAUUCAAAGCAUUUCUCAAGUUUUGUAAUGAAAAUUAUAAAAUUAUACAUUUUUCUUGUUAUAAAAUUAAUUAAUACGAGCCAAGGAAAGAAUUUUUUUUUGGAGUAAAUCUUAAAAUUAUACAUUAGCUUUAAUUCAAUAUGCAAUUUGAUACAUGAAUUUUAAUUGGGUCAAAUGUAUAUAUAUGAAAUUUUAAUUUUGAUUCAAUAACACACAUUUUAAGAAAUAUAUAUAUUAAUUUAUUUUUAUUUUGGAUGAAUAUGAUUAUUUGUUUACAAAAUAUAUAAACAUAAAACGAUGUUAGAUCAAUAAUAGUGUUAAGCCGAUUCAGUGUUAGCUUGAUUGGUAUUGGCAUUAUUGUUAGUGCAAGAGGAUAUAGGUUCGAGUGCGCUAAAGCACAUUGUCCUCUUAUUUAAGUGUAGAAGAUUGAGUUAUGAAUAGUUCUAGACAUUAUAUAAAAAAAUAAUUGUGUGAAUAAUUUGUGAUAAUGAAAUAAAAUCAAAAUUUCAAAAAUAAAAUUAUAUGAAAUGAAAUUAUUGUUACUUAUAAUUUAAUAAUUAUUAAAUUAUUAAAUUAAAAUUCAGACACAAUAAUAUUAAAAACAUAUAUUUAUAUGCGAAUAAUACUUUUUUUAAAUCGCAGGAUUCUUUGUUUUGCUUACCAUCAAAUUUUAGAUUUAAUCUUUUACAUUUCAUCGUAUAACUCAAUUAUAUAUAUAUAUAUAAAAGCAUUUAUGUAGUUUAGAAUUUAUUAUAUAAAAAGUUAAAAACUAUCCACUUUUAACUAAAAAUUAUUUAAUUUAUCACUUUAAAUUAACAAAAAAAUAAAAAAUAAAACCCACAUCCAAUGUACUAGAUUCCAUAUGCAUAAUACAUACAUACCUAUUUUCUGGUUUAAAAUAUUAGUUUCCCACCAUUGACUAGUGUCACGGACUUAGAGUUUUCCCACGUGAUCCGUACGGCCUUAGGCAGUUUCUCUGCUCAAAACGCCUAAGUCAGCCUAACUUGUAACAAAAAAAUAUUCAGCAGCAAAAACGCCCAAGUCAACUUCACUCGCAACAAUAAAGGAUUCAAUAGAAUUCCCUUAAGAUUUUCACGAAGAACAACAAAAGAACGAAGUAAGAACGAGCCUUGAAAGAUGAACAAAAGCAAGAACACUUGAGAGAAAAGUUUGAGUGAAUACUCUCAAAAUUCUUAUUAAUAACUCAAUGAAUAUACAAUGAGCAAAGAGGUCUCUAUUUAUAGUUGAGCCUCACAGUAUAUCAAUAGGUAUAAUUAAAAGCUGAAUACAAUUAGAACUCUAAGCUUACAUAACCAGCUAUAUACAAAUAGAACUCUAAGAUUCCAUAAUUAUAUCUUCUAGAACACUUCCCAUUUCUAUCAGGCUCUUGAGAUGGGCUUUUAAUCUCUCCAAUCACCGGGCCAGUUUGGUUGGGCCAGUUUGGUUGGGCUAAAUGACCUCCCUCGAACACGAUGGAUCGCACCAGUUUGUCAUGGUUGCGAGCACCGACGCGCAACCCAUGACAUUCUCCCCCACUUGUUCUAGCGACGCCCUCGUCGCAUCCUCCUUAUGGAACUGGUCAAUCUUCCCUUGGAACUGCCACAAUGCCUCAGUAGGUUCCCAACUUGCUUCGCUAUCAGGAAGUCCCUUCCAUCGAACUAAGUACUCAUGCUGUGGUCAGUGGUACUUUCGUCUAAUUACCCGAUCUGCCUCAAUGUUUUCUACUUCACGAUCAUACGAGACUUUUACCCCCAUCGGUGCUCGUUCGGACUUGCCUCGAUUCGGAUCUUCUUGAUCCUCAUGAAACGGCUUAAGCAUGCUUACAUGGAAGACUGGGUGUACUUUAAGUUUUGGUGGCAACUCCAGCUUGUAGGCCACCUUGCCCACUCUCUUCACAACUUUAAACGGCCCUUCAUACCUUCACACAAGACCCUUGUGCAAACCAGUAUAUCGUAAAAUCAAGUGUAGUUUAGCAAGGACUGAGUCACCCACUUGAAAUUGUACAUCCCUUCGGUUCUGAUCGGCCCACUUCUUGCUACGCUUACUUGCCUUGUGUAAACAAGCUCUAGCCAAGUCAUUCUUCUCUUGCCAAUCUUUUGCGAAUCUAUAGGCUGCCGGAUUUGGUCCUGUGUAAUGGGUCACAACAGCGUUGGGUGUGAGUGGCUGUUGACCCGUCACUAUUUCAAAUGGACUUUGAUUCGUGGUCCCACUUUGCUGCAAGUUAUAUGAAAAUUGGGCCACAUCUAGCAACUUUGGCCAAUCCCUUUGUGUGGCACUCACAUAGUGCCGAAGAUACGUCUCCAACAGUGCAUUUACUCGUUCAGUUUUCCCAUCAGUUUGUGGAUGCAUGCUCGUGGAGAAGUUCAAAUCUGAGCCCAUUGACUUGAACAACUCCGUCCAGAACCGACCAGUAAAUCGACCAUCUCGAUCGCUGAUAAUAGAUAGUGGCACUCCCCAAUAUUUCACCACGUGUCUAAGGAAUAACCGAGCUGCUUCCUCAGCAGGGCACUCUUUGGUCGCCGGAAUAAAAGUCGCAUACUUUGAAAACCUGUCCACCACAACAAGAAUACUAGCAAACCCGUCAGACUUAGGCAAACCAAUGAUAAAAUCCAUGGAUAAACUCUCCCAUGGCCUUUCUGGGACUGGCAGGGGUUGAAGCAAGCCGGCUGGAAUCUUUAACUCAACCUUGUCUUGUUGGCACACUAGACAAGUUUUCACAUAGGUUUCCACAUCAGCACCCAUGUGAGGCCAAUAAUAGCGAUCCUCCAAAAGGGCCAAAGUGCGAUGCAUCCCUGGAUGGCCUGCCCAUUUCGAGUCAUGACAUUCAUUCAUGACUUCCUUACGGAGUUUCCCAUAAUGGGGCACAUAGAGGCGGUGUCCAUGAGUGUAUACUAGCUCCCCAUCAAGCCAAAAUCUUCUUGUUUUUCCCUCCUUGGCAAGCUCAAUCAAAUUUUUGGCCGUAGGAUCAUGGGACAAUCCCUCUCGAAUGCGUUCCAACAAAGAGCCAUCAGGUUGACUGAUUGCUGUGAAUUCCAUCUUUCGACUAAGUGCAUUAGCAACAUUGUUGGCACUUCCUGGUUUAUAUUCCAUUGUGAAAUCAAACUCUGCUAGUAAAACCUGCCAACGAGCCUGCUUGGGAGACAACUUUUUCUGGGUUAGAAAGUAACUAUUGGCAACAUUGUCGGUAAGGACCACGAACCUGGAACCCAAUAAAUAAUGUCUCCAUGUGCGCAAGCAGUGUACUACCGCAGUCAUCUCUUUCUCUUGGACCGUAUAUCUACGUUCCGUCUCGUUAAGCUUUCGACUCUUGAAAGCAAUUGGGUGUCCAUCUUGCAUCAGCACUCCCCCAAUAGCAUAAUUUGAUGCAUCUGUACGUACCUCGUAAGGCUUCGUAAAAUCCGGCAAGACAAGUACGGGCUCCCUCGUCAUUUCUUGCUUCAAUUGGUUGAAGGCCUUCUCACAUUCUGGAUUCCAAUCCCAUACCUUCCCCUUCUUCAACAUGUCCGUCAAGGGAGUGGAAAUUUUGGAGUAGCCUUCGACAAAGCGGCGAUAGUAAUUUGCCAAUCCAAGGAAAGAUCUCAACUCUGUUACCUUGGUUGGAGGCUCCCACUCUGAAAUGGCUCGAAUCUUAUUUUUAUCCAUUCGGAUCUUACCGCCUCCCACAAUGUGGCCUAAGAAUGACACCUCUUGUUGGGCAAAUGAGCAUUUCUCCUCCUUGACGAACAGCUCAUUUUCCCUCAAAGUCUGGAACACCUCCCUCAAGUGUCUUACGUGCUCUUCAAGAGACUUGCUAUAGACCACAAUAUCGUCAAGGUAAACAACCACAAAACGAUCAAGAAAGGGUUGAAGUACCUUAUUCAUUAGGGUGCAGAAUGUAGCUGGGGCAUUCGUGAGUCCGAAAGGCAUCACAAGGAACUCAUACGAACCGUACCGUGUCACACAAGCUGUCUUUGGUUCGUCCCCCUCGACUAUCUGAACUUGAUGAUACCCCGAUCUCAAAUCUAACUUGGUAAACCAUCUUGCACUACCAAGCUGGUCGAACAAAUCUGCGAUAAGAGGAAUAGGAUACCUAUUCUUCACGGUGAUCUUGUUUAGAGCUCGAUAAUCGAUGCACAUUCUUAAGGACCCAUCGUGCUUCUUUUGGAACAACACUGGCGCACCAUAUGGGGAUUUAGAUGGUCUAAUGAAUCCCGCAUCCAAAAGUUCCUUCAAUUGUUUCCGCAACUCUUCUAAUUCUGGCGGAGACAUACGAUAGGGGGCCCUUGCUGGCGGCACCACAUUGGAUACUAACUCGAUUUUGUGGUCCACCUCCCUCUUGGGUGGCAAACUUUUUGGCAACUGAGCAGGCAUUACAUCUCGAAAUGAUUGUAGCAAUUGUCCCACUUCUUUCGGGGUCUCACUAACAGACUCAGCGGUCUCUUCGAUCUUCAAGGUGGCUAAAUAUGAGACUUCAUUUCUCCGUACACCUUUAGCAAACUGAAUUGCUGAUAGUGUUUUUCCCUCAAAGCUUCUCUUCCUUGUCACUUUCACCAUGCAUUGAUGUUUCGCAUCUGAAAUCACCAUGUAAUUGCUCGAAGGGGCAAUAAGAGCUUUAACCUGAUCAAGGAAGCUUAGUCCCACCACAAAAUCAUAGUCAUCAAGUGGUAUUACCUUAAUGGAUACCUUCCCUGACCAAUUGCCGAGCUGAAGAUCCACUCCCUUUGCAACCCCCUUGAUUGGAAUACUUUCCAAGUUCACUGUUUUGAUCCGACCCCGUUCAUUAUCUAUCUUGAGGCCUAGUUUACAAGCAGCCUCCUCAGACAUGAAUAAAUCAGAAGCGCCUGUGUCGACGAGCGCAUUUAAUUUUCUGUCGGCCACAAUGAUGUCUACAAACAUCAAACCAUGGCUCAUUCUAUCUUUGACACCCCCUAGUAUCGAUCCAAGGUUGUUAUCCUCCACAUCGGACCCCCCCUUUGCUUCCAUAGCCUUGAGAGCGGCCUUCUUUGGACAGUCCUUGAUCAUAUGUGGACCCUCACAGUGGAAGCACCUUAUAGGCCCACUCUUUCUCUUGUCCCAAGGUUUCUUACCAUCGCCGUUCCUACUGGGCCUUUCUUUAUCUCCCCCACUAUUACCCUUUAAUCUGGGUUUAGAAGAAUUGGAAUUGUCUUUCCUCCCACCAAAUUCAGCAAGUGAUUCUGCUACUGACAUAGCCUUGGUGAGCUCUUGAACUCCUCGGCGCUGCAACUCUUGCUUCGCCCACGGUUUUAAUCCGUCCAUAAAGGAAAAGAAUGCCUCUUUCUUCCCCAUAUCUGAGAUUUGGAGCAUAAGCUCGCUAAACUCCUGUACAUACUCCCUCACAGUGCCUUGUUACGCAAGCCGACGUAACCUUGCCCGAGCCUCAUCCUCGGCAUACUCUGGGUAAAACUGUGCUUUGAACUCACAUCGAAACUCCUCCCAUGUUCCGAUUUCAGACCCACCACGUCUCACAUCAGUGGACCUACGACGCCACCACAAUAAAGCAACGUCAGAUAGAUACAUCGCAGCAGUAGUUACCUUAGUGACAUCCUCCGUGAUGCCUUUGGCACAGAAGUAUUACUCGAUUCCCCAUAAAAAGUUGUCCACAUCUCUUGCGGACCUUAUUCCCUUAAACUCUUUGGGCUUGGGAACAUCAAUAUUGGGCUUGGGUGCGGCAGCCGCUAACCCACCAUUGCCCAAGGCAACCUUGUAGAUUGUGAGUUCACCCUUGAGCUCCGCAAUCUCUCCCUUCAAGGCCACCACCAUAGCCUCAAUGGCAUCAUCUCUACCAGUCAACUGUUUCAUAUUAUCCGUCACAUACUCUUUAAGCUGCUCCUGCAUGGACUGCAGCCCAUCAUGGAGCCUAUCAUCAACAUCUUCAACCCUCUCCUUGAUAUCCCCCAUUGAACUCUCGAGAGUGACGACGCGAUCCUCUAAAGCUGACAAUAUGUCCCUUAAGCGACUGGCUUUCCUAGCCCUCCCACGGGUCUCCACUCCCUCAACUUCUUUUGACAUCUUUCAACGGUGGCUUCGAACCUUAGCUCGGAUACCAACUGUCAUGGACUUAGAGUUUUCCCACGCGAUCCGUGCGGCCUUAGGCAGUUUCUCUGCUCAAAAUGCCUAAGUCAGCCUAACUUGUAACAAAAAAAGAUUUAGCAGCAAAAAGGCCCAAGUCAACUUCACUCGCAACAAUAAAGGAUUCAAUAGAAUUCCCUUAAGAUUUUCACGAAGAACAACAGAAGAACGAAGUAAGAACGAGCCUUGAAAGAUGAACAAAAGCAAGAACACUUGAGAGAAAAGUUUGAGUGAAUACUCUCAAAAUUCUUAUUAAUAACUCAAUAAAUAUACAAUGAGCAAAGAGGUCUCUAUUUAUAGUUGAGCCUCACAGUAUAUCAAUAGGUAUAAUUAAAAGCUGAAUACAAUUAGAACUCUAAGCUUACAUAACCAGCUAUAUACAAAUAGAACUCUAAGAUUCCAUAAUUAUAUCUUCUAGAACACUUCCCAUUUCUAUCAGGCUCUUAAGAUGGGCUUUUAAUCUCUCCAAUCACCGGGCCAGUUUGGUUGGGCCAGUUUGGUUGGGCUAAAUGACCUCCCUCGAACACGAUGGAUCGCACCAGUUUGUCAUGGUUGCGAGCACCGACGCGCAACCCAUGACACUAGGAUAUUCCUAAAUCAAAUAUGCAUGGAAGACAUUUAUUUUAUUUGUUGUUAUAUAUAUAUUAGGCUUUAUACUUUAAAAACUAUUGUUUAUAGAUGCUAGGUAAUCAAAAUAUAAUUCCUUAUUUGCUUAUAGGUAAAUUUAAAUGUUUUACUAAUAUUGAGUAGUGUGUUGAGGGAAAAAAACAGAUGAGCUGUGCUUAUCAAUAAAAUAAAAUUGAUCAGUUAUUUUGCUUUAGCCGGGGGAGUAUUGCAGGAUCGAACUGAAAGAUGGAUCCUAGGUUAUAACGGGUAUUUGGGAUUUUGUCCUGCUAUUGAAGUUGAGUUGUAGGGCAUCAUGGAUGGAUUAACGCUUCUUUUGAAGCAGAGUUAUGACAGUGUGAUAAUUCAGAUUGAUAGCAUAGAGACAUUCCUAGCAAUUCAAUACCAAUCUUGUAAUGAUUUAGAUUCAACUUUUGUUAAGAGAAUUCACCAACUUUUAUCAAGAAUAGGACAUUGGGUUAUUUGACAUAUUCUUAGGGAAGACAAUGGAGAAGCUGAUGGGAUCGCUAAAUUAGUUCAAGAAAAGAGAGAAGGUCUUCAAGUGUCUAAGGUUCCCCCUUUGGGAGUUUAUUUUUAUUUUAAUGUAGUCCUUGUAGUUUUUUUUUUGGUCUUUUCACCAAAAAAAAAUCUUGAUAACAAGAAGGGUAAUUGUUCAGAUUAGGACUCAACUUUUUAGAGGUUGCUCACAUAAGGGCCAAACCUUUCAAAAUGAUCAAAUAAAGGAUUAACUUUUACAAAAGUGCUUAAAUAAGGGCUUUUUACGCACUUUGGCCCAAUUUGUAGAAAAAAUAGGUAAAUACUGACAUGUUUAGAUAAAAUAGAUAACAACCGAAUUAGAUAUAACUUGAAAAGAAAAGAAAUAGUUAGAACAUAAAUUGAUACAUGAUAUACUACAUUCCGGAAGCCCUUAUUCAAGCACUUUUGAAAAGGUUUGAUCCUUAUUUGAACACUUUCGAAAAGGUUAGGCAAUUCUUUGACCUUUUUUAGUGGUUUGGCCAUCAUUUGAGCAAUUUUAUAAAUGUUAGGGCCUUAUAUGUCUAUUUUGAAAAUUUUGAUCCUUAUGUGAGCAAUGAUUUGUCGCAAUUCGGUGUAGCAGAUUAAACUAGUUUUCACAUUUAAGGAGCUUGAAUACAAGUAUUUUAUUAUGUUUUAGUUAAGUUUUCUUAGUUUUAUUUAUAUUCAAUAUAAUGUGCAAAUUGAGUAUUUUUUUGACUUUAGGGGUCGAAUGGGGCCUAGGGGAGAGCUAGCGCAUUUUGUGUGUGUGUAAGAGACCUUUGGAAGGUGUACUAAACUGAUACUAGUCACUAUGUCACAACACGGGAUGUUCGAUGUUGCAACAUAGGGAGCAGAAUGGAGAAAGCUUAAGACUGCCUUCGAUGUCGCGACACAGCCUAAAGGUGCCACGAUACACCCCUUAAGAUAUCACAAAAAGAGUAUACUGACUUCUAAGUCGCGACACAGGUCUUGGUGUGUCGCGACAUCAACUAUGGAACGAGAAAUAAAUAUGAAACAUGGACGUUUUGGUCUGCAUAAUCAAACUUAAAGCUCGAGGACGUCAGCUAACCUAGGGUUAAGGACGAAAACUACUUAAAAUCUAUAAAUAGGCUCAUUUGGCACAUGUUAUGGACAUCACUCACUUAGCCUAAAUUUUCUUAGUAAAUUUAGUUUAGUUUUUUUUUCAUUUUUAGGUUUUAGAAUUUAUUUCAGUUAUUUUUCGUGGUUCUCAAGAGAUCUGAAUUGAGGAAAACUUUCAAACUUUAUGGAUUUGCGAUUAAUAUCAAUACAAUCAAGAUCUUUCAUAUACUCUAUACUAUCGAUUUAAUUAGCAUGCUUUAUUGAUUUAAUUAGUAUGCUUUCUCUUUAUAUUGAUUCUAUAUUGUCUAUGAAAACCAUGAGGAACUAAUCCCUCUAUGGGGGAUUAGCGAGUGGAGGUAUGAUCUAUUGACUAUUUUGUAGGGUUACUCAACGAAUCAACUAUUUGGGAAAGGAAGAACGUGAAACAAAACCUAAGCUUGACAACCUCGAGAAGUCAUCAAGGUAGGAAGUAACCCAAAAUUGGUAUGGCCCAUUUGUGAACACCUUCACCCCAAGCUAGUCUGGAUUGUGAGGUAGGAAGAUAAGUAGUAUUUGCUGACUCGUUAUGUUAGUGGAAGAUUGAAAGAUCCUGUUACGGUAGUGACUAGUUGAUUGACGAGGAACCUAAAACGAUAGUUGAUAAGGAUUACCAAAACAUCUACCAAAGUGAUGGAUGGAUAGUGUGAAAGUACUUCGACUAGAUUCCAACCGAUCAAGCUUCCCGAUGAUCUAUAAGAAAGGAAAAACAACUACAUAAGCAAAUAAUGCUUAGUAAGCUCGUAUAAUCAUAAACGUAAACUUACCUAUUAGGCUCAGUUUAUAUAUAUAUGAUGCAUAAUUUCAUUAUCAUGCUCAUGGAUUCAUUAAAUCCUAUACACAUAACAAGUCCCAUAAGUUAGUGAGCAAAAAAGGAAACAAAUAAUCUUAUCAUGUCAUAAAACACAUAAUAGUAACAUAUCAAAUAUACCUUUUACUCACCACAUUAACAGUUUACAUUAGUCAUCCAAAUCAAAACAUUAUGUUAAAAUCUUUCAUUUCAUCUUUCAUGCUCAAAUAACAUAACAUUUCAUAUAAUUAAACUCAUUUGAUUAAGUCUUUAUUAGCAAUUGAACCAAAUGAAAAAACUUCGAAUACACGGGAACCAUGAUCACACAAAGCGCAUCAUUAUCUGUAACUGCAACCAUAUCUAUAAUGCUCACACGAGCAAUGAAGUGGGUCUGCUCACAUGACCUGUGGGUCAGGAUGUCAAGCUACAUGAUUGUAAAAAUUGAAAUAGUAUUUUUGGAACCACAAAUUCGAUGUGAAGAUAUUUAUUUUAUUAUAAAUUAGAGUCUACGAAAUAUCAGUAAGGUCGUAUAAAAAUUUCGUUAAGAAAUUUUAUCGUUUGCAUGUUUAAUUUGGUUAAAAGGACUGAAUCGUAAAUUGUACAAAAGUUACAUUCUAUAAGCUAAAUGGGUCUAAUGGCUAUGCUAUUAAAUGGUUGAGGGAUUUAUGUUGUUAUUAGACCAUAACUAUAUUGAGUGGACAAAUAUGGACAUUAAUUAAGUGGUUAUAAGGUUUACAAUAGAAGGUUAAUUAAGUAAAUUAAUAAUAGGGUUAGUAAAAUAAUCAAAACAAAUGCCAUCAUCUUUGUUUGUCCAUUUUUGACUGAAAUAAGAGUAGAAAGAAUCUAUAGCCAAGCUUGAGUAUUCGGUCAUCUCUUCCUUGUGCAUGUAAGUGAUUUUUCAUCCCGUUUUUAGUGAUUUUUAUGUUUUUGAAGCCGUUGUAGCUUAAUUUAGCUAGCCCAAGGACUAAUUUGCAAAAAUUUUAAAAGGUUAGGGUUUUGCAAUGAAUGUAUUCAUGUGGUUUUUGAUGUUUUAUGGAAGAAAAUGCAUCUUUGUUGUUAGAUAAACAACUUUUGUAAAGUGAUUUUUGUUGAAAAUGUCAAUUAGGGAUUUAAUUAAAAAUGUGUAAUAUUCAUGUGAAAUUUGUGAAAUAAUAAGUUUUAUGAGCUACUAUGGAACCAUAUUAAAUUCGGCUAGCUCGAGUAGGGUGAAAUUGCAUGAAUUUUAAUUUAUGAUCUUAAUGACUAAAUUGUAAAGAAAUCAAAACAAUAGGGGGAAAAAUGUACUUUUGCAAGAAUAUGAUUUUUGGAUUGAAUUGAAUAGAAUGGUUAUUGAAUGGAUUAACUUUGAUUAUUUAAAUCAAGUUAAGCCUCAUAUGGAUUUAGAUCGGGGGAAAGAUAAAGUGUCAGACUAGUUGAUCCUAUUUCAUCAUUUUGCGAUUGAGGUAAGUUCAUAGUUUAAAUAGCGUUUUAAUGUAUUUGAUUUAAAUGCUAUUAUAUUAUUGUCAUAUCAUGUUAUGACGGAAAAUCCAACGAUGUUUCAAUGACAAUUGAGCCCUAUUUGAACCUUAGGAAUGUAUAGGAUACAAAUGACAUGUCAUUAGGGUUUCCAUGUUUUGGGCGCUGGUCCUGAAUGUCCUACCGAUGGUUGAGUUCCGACAUUUGUGCGGAUACUUGUCAGCUUGUGAGCGCCAUUGAGUAGCUAUGUUCCUACCGUCAGCUUGUCUGAGUAGGCCCAUUUAUAGCUCAUAUGAGCAUAUAUGAAAAAGAAAAUGAAUGGUUUCGACCAUUGUUUAGCACACUUUGUGUGAGCUUUCUCGUGUAUCUGAUAUUAUUCUAAGUGGUUCAACGGGCAUGAAUAGAGAUGAACUAAUAAGAGUUCCGACAUAUUUCACUAUGAAAUUAUGAAAUGGUAUGAAUUAUUGAUAAAAAAAGUAUGUAUAUCCAUGUUAUGAAAAGUAUGAAUUCAUAUGAUUUAUGAUUAUGUGAUUUACCUUACCAUGUGAUGAAUUUUGUUAAUUUAUGUGAUUAAACACUAACUUGUGUUGUUGGUGAUGCUUACGCUUGUGCCAAGCUUGUCAUGGAUUGAUUCAUAUUUAUAUUAAGCUUAUGCAUUGAAAUGGUAAGCAUUGUUCAUGAUUUACGAACUUACUAAGCAUUAUAUGCCUAUGUUGUGUUUAUUUUAUAUGUUUUUUUAGAUUAUCGGAAGCUCGAUGGGUUUGGAAGCUUGUCGGAGAACUAUCACACUAUCCAUCGACUAUAUCGGUAGGUUUUGAUGUUUUGAGUCAUGGUUAUAAUGGCAUGUAUAGGUGAAUUGUGUUUGAUGAAAUGGUCAUUAUGUUUGGCUUGUAAAUGUGGUGUUUUGGUUGAUGAACUUUUGGUAUUUUAAUGCUUUGAUGGUUGGUGUUGAAAUGGUCAAGUGAAGUUAUGUUUUUGAAUGGCUCUUUUGGUAUGCUUGAAUGUGAUUUUGGUAUGUGGCUAUUGUUGUAAGAUUUGGAAUGGAAUUAGGUUGCAAAUGUUUGGUUGAUGAAUGGCUAAAUUAUGUUUAUGUCUAGGUGGAUUUGAUGCUAUGUGAUUGAGGUGCCUUUUGGCAUAUUGGUUGUAUGGAUAAAUACCAUUUGAACUAGCUUUAUUGUGCAUGUUUUAGGUAUAUUUUGUAGCUUGAAAUUAUGUGCUAAUUCCUUGUAGGUGUAAGCAUGGUUUGGGUGAAAGAGAUAGCUUGAAAAUGACCUAUUUCUUGUCCAAAAGGCCUAAGACAUGGGCGUGUGUCUUAGCCGUGUGUGACACAUGACCAUGUGACAUGGUCGUGUGUCCCCUAUAGGUUUCAAAGGGUUGCAAGUCAGGCAAUUACACAGCCUGACACAUGGGUGUGUGGCUUGGCUAUGUGACCCAAGUCAGAGAGUUACACGGGGGUGGGCAUGGGCUAGGACACGACCUUGUGUCCCUACUUCGAAUGUACACACGGCCGUGUAACCCCUGCAGUGUGAAAAAUUCUAUCUUUUACCAUAAAGUUCUAAAUAUUUCUAAUUUAGUCCCGAAUCAUUUCUAAAGUGUUUUUAAGGCCUCGAGGGCUCGAAUAAGGGAUGUUAUGCAUGAGUUUGAUUGAAUUAUGCCAUGAUUUAUAAAAUGGUUGAAAUUGAAUGUUUUUAGUUUAAAAUUUUUUGGUAAUGCUCCGUACUAUUCUUACGACAGGUAUGGGUUAGGGGUGUUACAAUGAUGUUGCUCACACGAGCUAUGGAGCAUCCAUAACAAGUGCAGGACUUUAGCCAUCGAUAGGACAUCCAAGACAAGCACCUGAAACCUUAUAACCCCUAAUAACAUGUCAUUUGUAUCCUAGGUAUUCGCAAGGUUCAAACGGGACACUUUUCAUAUCCUUAUCGUAGAACUUCAUUUCCAUUAUAACAUUUAAUACUCACAUACAUGUAAUCCACAUUAUUAACAAUUUCAUCAGUUGAUUAUUAUGGAAAUGUAAUCCAAUUUAACAUAUAGUACACAUUAAACAUUUAAGUUACCUAAAAUAAUUAUACAUUAACAUUUAACAAUAUCACAAGAAAAAAAUUAACUAUUAUAUGAACUUACCUCGACUAAAACAGUUGUAAAAACAAAGCCGAUGACUAGUCCGGUACUUUAGCUUUUCCACGAUUUAAAUCCGAUUGACCCAUUUCUUGAUCUAUAUAAUAAUUUUCAUUCAAUUAAAUAAUUCAAAUAGCUUACAUAAUUAAUUCAAGCCUAUAACCCUUAUCAAUGUAAACUUAUAAAAUUACCUCUGACAUUUUAACCUUUAUGCAAUUUAGUCUUAAAUCCCAAAAUUUACGAAUUAUCCAAAUUUAAUCAAAAAUACCAGCUAGCUGAAUUUCAUAGGGUUCAUAAUUAGCCCAUUUUUAUCAUCAUUUCAUAAUAUUUACAUGAAGUUUCACUAUUUAAACAAUUUAAUCCCUAAACAUUAAAAUUUCUAAAAAUCACUUAACAAAAUACUUCUAUUUAGCUAUUAAACACAAGAACCUUAUCAAUUAAAUUCACAAGCACACCUAAGUCAUUCAUGGUAAGUCCCUAAACUUUUAACAAUUUCACAAAUUAACCCCAAGUUAACUAGAUUAAGCUAAAACGACUUAAAAAACAUAAAAAUAAUUAAAAACAAGAUCAAAAUUGCUUACCAUGCAAGCAAGGUUGUGAACUGAAUUCUCCAAGACAAUUCUAUGGUGUUUUUCAGUUGAAAAUGGGUGAAGGAGGAAAAUGAUUACUAAUUUGUUUUUGUUUAUGUUAUUAUUUUAAUUAUUUACCAUUUUUCUUUUUAAAAACUAAUUAAAUUUCAUGUAAUUAGUCACCAAAAUCUUCCACUAUAAUACUAAAUGGUAUAUUUACCAUUUAAGUCCACUUAUUUAUCUCUUUCUAGCCAUUUGACACUUUUAACUAAUAGAAACUUACUUUUCUAGCUUUUAUAAUUUAGCCCUUUUUAAGUAAUUAACUAUUUAAACAGUAAAAUUUCUUAACCAAAUUUUAAUAUGAAUCUAAUAAAUACUCAUAAAAAUUAAGUAAAUAAUACAAUAUUGACUCACUUGUCAUAAUCGUGGUCCCGAGACCACUAAAAUCGGGUUGUUACGUGAACUCUCAACAGAAACCCGACAUUCCGGUCAAAGAACAUAUGCUUAAGCUUAUGGGAUUCUUUACGAAAGCGGAGGACAAUCGGGUUGAACUAGACGUGAACACUUAGAUUGAAACAAUGUUCAAAUAUUUAACCAAAUAGUUUGCUGUUUUUAGGGUUGCUUACAAAUUAGGGAAUAAUGCGCUUACCUUGAUUCAGCUCAUGAAGGAAUUACAACCCUAUGAGUUGAUGCUAAAUGACAGUAAGCUAGUUCAAGAGAAGCCUAAGGCAAACUUAGCUGUGGGUCCAUUGUCCUCUAAGGGGAAGCAAAAAGCUAAUGGAAAGAAGAAACUGACUAAGUCUUCGGUUCCACCUUGUGUAAAAAGGAAUAAGGCUAAGAAGUUAAAAGGAUCUUAAAAAGAUCAAAUGUUUUUCUGCAACAGGAAAGGGCAUUUCAGGUCAAACUGUAAGUAGUAUUUGGAUUACCUAGCCAAAAAAGGCAAAUGUAUGAAACUCAUUAUGGUUGAAGCUUUCUUAGUGGAAAAAUCAUUUGACAACUAGGUUAUUGAUUCUAGAGCCACCAACCAUGUGUAUGUUUCUUUAAAGGAGUUCAACAAAAUGAGGUGUAUGCAUGAUAGGAGCCUCUCAUUGUGGUUCGGAGAUGAGAGCUAUGUUUCAGCCAAAAUAGUGGGAGAAUUUAUUUUACACUUUGAUAAUUUUAGGAAGAUUGUUUUAAAGAACAUAUUUUAUGUACCUUAUUUUAAGAGGGAUUUAAUUUCUGUAGCACGUUCAUUUUAUGACGGUUAUACUAUAACAUUCAAUAAAAGGGAUUGUGACAGCCCUAAAUUGACCCUAGUCGAAAAGUGGUUUCGGGACCACGAAACCGAGUCUUAUAAAUAAUUAAAAGUUAUAUUCUGUGUUUAUGAUGUGAGUAAAUGCAUGUGUGAAAGUUUCAUGCAUUAAUUUGAUCAUUUUUAUGUGGAUUUAUUAAAAUGGACUUAUAUGAAACAUUGUUGGAAAGUGAGAGGUUAAUCUUACAAUGGUCUAUUAGUACAUGCAUUGAAAAGAGUGGUUUUGCAUGUCAAUUUACCCAUAAUGAACAUAGUGGCCGGCCAAGAAAAGAUAAUGCUCCACCAAUUCAAAUUUAAAACAAUUUUGUAUUAACAAAUGAAUUAAUAAUUGUAAUAAAAGGAAUUAAAUAAAAGUGAAGAAAGAGGAUGGUGUUCAUCUUCUUCUCCUACCUCUCUCAAGCCGGAAACAAAGAGGAAAAAUAAGGGAAAACUUACCUAGAGCAAUUCGGCAUUCAUCUUUAGCUAUUAGGAGGUAAGCUUUGAAUUUGUUGAUUUGGCUUUAUAUUAUGCUAAGUUAAUUUGUGAAUGCACUCUUGGUAAUGUCAAGAAAGUUGAGAUUUCCUAUGGUGAUUUGAGCAAGAUGCCGAAUGAUUAAGUGUUGGAAUUAGGGGUUAUUUUCAUGUUGUAGGGAACAAUGGGGGAAUGACUAGAAUGGGGUAAAGAUUUUUGGAUGAGAAGCUUAGAGACACCUUGUACAUUCUGUCAAAAAUUGAGUCUAUUUAGAAUGUUAACUUCUUCCUCUAUGAUUAUUUUUCCUUGCAUGUUAAAUGGUUCUUGAUAAGGCCGAAUAAGUUAUGAAAGUUUUUAUAAAUGUAUGAAGUUCAAGGUGCAAAAAUUUUAGUCUUGAUGUUAUGGAUAAUUCGGUUGAAAUAAGGAGAAUGGGAGUUGUCAUUUAGGUUAAGAUCAAAGAAAUUAAUCUUGUUAAAACUUUAAACUAAUAAUGCCCAUAUGUGUGAUAGCCGAACAUAGACUUUGUUUAAAGUCUUGGUCAAAGGCCGGUUAAGUGUUUUGAAUGGAUAUCUAAGUGUUAAAUAAUAAAACUCUUGAUGACUUGGGUUAUAUAGCAUUCGGCCAAAGACUAUAUGGGCUUGCUAAUUCGGUUUAAGUGAAGAAACUAUGAUAGAGAGAUAUGACUAAAUUGUGGACUUUGACAAUUUAAACGAUGCAUUUGACUUGUGUACCGACUUGGGAUGAUAUGUGUUUCUAUAUGAAGUUAGAUGGUGUUGAUGAAAUUCGAUAAUGCAUGAUGUUUAAAUAGUAUUGAACAAGGUCAUUGUACUUAGAUUGUAUGACAUACAUGUAUUGAAUGGAAUUGCCCAAGUGAAAAAUAAUUAAAUAAAUUUAUUUGUUUAAAUUUAAGCUCAAGAGCAAAGGGGAACUAAAUCUGAUAAAGGAAAGGAAAAAGUGGUCGAAUAGCUGUUGAAAUCGUUCGACAACAACCGAGGUAAGUCUUCGAGUAAUGGAACUUAGUUUAUGAUUUGUUCAAGUCAUGACAUAUAAGCAUAACAAAUAAACGGUGAUAUAAUGAAUCUACUUGAGUUACAUAUAUUGAGGUAAUUAGUUUAUACUUAUGACGGGCAUCCGAAUGCGAAUAGAGGUCAUGUUAUGAAGCAAGUCAAAAUCAUGCUCUUUGUAUGUGGCUAUUGAGCCGAAAUUGGUAAGGUUUGAUAAAUGUCUUGUGUUUGAGCUUUAGUAAUAAAAAUGAAAUAAGGAUGUGUCAUGAUUUAUUGAUAUAUGUGCAUGAUUAUUCAGAUGAUAACCGGGCUAAGUCCCGAAGGCAUUUGUGCGAGUUACUAUAACCGGGCUAAGUCCCGAAGGCAUUUGUGCGAGUUACUAUAACCGGGCUAAGUCCCGAAGGAAUUUGUACGAGUUACUAUAUCCGGGCUAAGUCCCGAAGGCAUUUGUACGAGUUACUAUAUCCGGGCUAAGUCCCGAAGGCAUUUGUGCGAGUUACUAUAUCCGGGCUAAGUCCCGAAGGCAUUUGUGCGAGUUACUAUAACCGGGCUAAAUCCCGAAGGCAUUUGAGCGAGUAGCUAUAUCCGGCUAAUUCCCGAAGGUACUUGGUUUGGGAAUGAGCAAUCUCGCUGUAAUAAUUUCAAUUAAUACGCUCGUAAAACCCCAACGAUGAGGUAUGUUUUGUAUAUGCAUUGGAAUAAUUGAUUCCUUUUAAAUAGUAUUCGCUCAAUCGAUUAACAAGCUUCCGGCCUUUAGUCAAGUUGAUUCCUUAUGUAUGAAUAUAAGGGUUGGAAAUGUGAAGUAGGUAUGAUUGUGAGAAUAUGUGUAUAUGAAAUUAUUCGUUUAGUCAUAUGAAUGCUAUACUUCAGUUGUGCAUGAUUUCAUUACUCAAAAACUUACUAAGCAUUAAAUGCUUAUUCCGUUUCUUUGAUUCUUUGUUUUAUAGAUUUUGGUUCGUCAGCUAUCGGAUUCGGGAGUGUCAAAGUCGAAGUCAUCCACACUAUCAAAGCCCUUUUGGUACUCUUUUAGUUGAACUCUGAAAUUGGCAUGUAUAGGACUACCCUUUUGUUGUUGGUCAUGUACCUUUCGGUAAUGUAUAUAUUUGGUUAGCCAUGCGAAAAUGGCUUAUAUAUAUUUUGAGCAUAGCGUUAUAAUCAUUUUGUAUGUUGAUCAUGGAGUGUUAUGGAAAUGUUGGUAACGAUUAGCCAUUGGAAUGGUUAAUCACGAUCAUUUUGGUGCUAUGUAUGACAAAAUUUUAGUUGAUCCAUGGAAAACCAUGAAAUAGGUAAAGUUUACCUUAAAAAUAGAUGCUGACAGCAGCAGUGAUGUGGAUUUGAAAAAUCUCUAAAAAUAGUAGGAAUGGAAUUAAAUAGUGAAUAAAUUAUGUAAUCGAACCUUGAUGAAUCUAUUUUCAUAUGAAAGUAACGAAACGAUCAUAUGAGCCAUACUUUGUGAGAUGUUUAAGUUUUCGUGAAAUAGGGCCAGAUCGAUUUCUGGAUCCCCUGUUCUGACUUUGGAAAUUCACUAUAAAUUAACCAGAGAUAACUAGAAGUCAUGCCCUAUGUGUACAGAUUCCUUUUCGAGUCUAGUUUCUUUAGAAACAAACGGCAUAAGUAUUGAAGCCCUGUACAGGGAGAUAUCUAAGUCGUAAUGCAUGAAGGUCAGAGUAGUCAAACCCUGAAACAGGGGAUACUUUAACUAAUAAACUGUACUAAUUGGCUUGACCAAAAAUUCUAGAAAAAAAUUUGUAGAUGGACAUAUGAGUCUUUCAGGAAAAAUUUACGGAACUGGUUUUCGAGUUUUGGAACUUGAGAUAUGAUUUUUAAGGUGACAGUGACGCAGUUAGCCAGCUUGUCUGGAAAUUUUUAAAAUGGACUGUGCAAAUAAAUGAAUUAAGUCUGUUAGCACCUCGUGUUCGACUCCGGCAACGGUCUCGGGUACGGGGUGUUACAGAGAUUGCUAUUCAUAUAAAAUCAUUCUUUAAUAUGUAAUGGAUUGAUAGAAAACAAUCUCUACUUUACUGAACAAAAUAACUACUCGAUGUUUUAAACUAAAAUAAUGAAUAAGAGGCUUAAAACUUCUCACUAUAAUGAGGGGUACCUAUUGCGCUAAAACUUGGUCAUAUUAACUAAGAAAGAAUCACUAGACUCAUGAAUAAUGGUUCCUUAAAUAUGCUUAAGGAAGUUACUCUUUCACAAUAUGAAUCUUGUUUGGAAGGUAAAAUAACUAGGAGGUAACCUGAUUUAUAAAUGUUAAUUCCAUACUACCUUAUGAGAAGCGAUAUAUUUAAACUGUAAUUCCUCGCAAGUCUCAAUGACAAUCUUUUGUUCACUACGCUACCUCUAUAAUGACUUGUAACAAAUUUCCAAGUUGUAUUAAAAUUUCUUUCCCAUUUGUUACGCGCAACAUAGUAGUUAGUCCGCCACAGGAAGAUGCUAUAACCACUGACAAAUUAAAGGAUUGGCUAGUUUAUAUCGAUGGAUCUACAAUGAGGAUUAGAUCAGAAGCAUGGGUACUCUUGGUGGACCCUAAAGGAAACGAGUUGCAAUAUCAACUCUCUUUUGGAUUUUAGGCAUCUAAUAAUACUACAGAGUACGAGGCAUUGAUAUUAGAUUGCAGUUAGCUCGCCAGCUUGGGGUAAGAGAACUUGUUUUUCAUACAAAUUCCUAGUUGGUCACCAAGUAGUUAAACGACUAGUAUGAGGUCAAUGAGUUAGGGUUGAAGAGAUACCACACAAUCGUAACCUAGUUGUUAGUAGGAUUUGAUAAAAUACAAAUAAAAUAAGUCCUAAUGAGUGAAAACACACGUGCGGGCGCUCUGUCCAAGCUAGCAUCUUCAAUUUUCAUCGAGCAGAGAGGAAAGAUUCUGUUGGAGCAUGGGGAAGCCUCAAGUUACGACGCAUUCUAAGUAUGUAGUAUAGAUCAAGAAAACACAUGGACGACUUCUAUAGUUCGCGUUUUGCAAGGAAUAAAUAACCACUCAGAUAAAAAAGAGCUUGAAAAACUACAAUGCAAAGCUGCAAGGUAUGUAUAUUUAUAUUAGGUGUUAUACAUAUCCAAAUGCUUUAAGUCCAUAGACUACAUAACUGGAUAAUGAAUUAUUAGUCAUUAAACUAUUUGAUUGCAUAGGAACUUAAAGUGAUUCAUUUUGUUCUACAAUUGCUAGUUAUACCCUUUUAAAGGGUGUACUGUAUAAAAAAUGGAUUCUCACAGCCACUACUAUGAUGUUUAAUGCCUUCAGAGGCUGAGUAUGUGAUGUGAGAGAUUCAUGAAGGCAUUUGUGGCGAUCACCUGGGUGGAAGAUGGUUUUCCCAAAAAAUCUUUAGGUAGGGGUAUUACUGGCCCACAGUUUAGAAUGAUGCACAUGAGCUAGUUCACACAUGCGAUUGUUGACAAAGGUACGUCCAAGUACAAUGACUGCCAGCAAAAUGUCUUCAAAUCAUGUUGAUGCAUCGUUGAAAGCACCAAAAAUAUCCUAUCCCUAUAAAAUAAUGAAAAGAAUAGUAUAGGGGAAGUAGGGUCAAAUCCUCAGAGAUCGAAUUUGCACAAAUUCCUGUUCCUGGAUAUCUUGAACAGAUUCGUGCCCAAGAAAACCUGCAUUCCUGGAAAAAAAAUAGAAUUAAAGGUUUGAUUGAAUUGAAUUUUUGAAAAUUAAAAUUAAAAUUGUAAAGAUAAGUAGAGUUAAGGGGAAAGAGUUUUUUAUGGAGAGAUUCUAGCCUCUGGUUGUCUCAAUCCGCCUUGUGUUUUAUCAUCAGCUUUUAGGUGAUCCUUCUCAAACAAAAUAAGUCAGUUAUAGUAGAAGAAGACGCCUAUGACCACCAGCUCUACUUAGAUUUUAAACUUACGAUUAGAGGAACCUGACUCUAGCCAACCGUCACUUUUGUGUGACCGUCUUACACUAGAUCAUCACUUCUCAAUGGCAAAUGCCACGCCAUUUUGUCUCUUGGGCUCGACAACCACUGACGUGGUAAGCUAACAAAUCGACUGUGCAACCUUCCUAAAACAUACAAAGCGGUCGCCUUUACACAAGAUGAAAAGAUCACUUUUGAAGGGACAUGGAUGGAAGCGUCAGUCCCGUAGUGCGGAGAAGCGAUGGAUACUCGUUGAGAAGGCUAAGCGUAGAUUCUAAGCCUCAUGAACCCUUUUUGGGGAAUUUCGACAACCUUUGGAUAGAUAAGUUUAGUGGCUCAUGAUUUUUUGGGAAAAAGAAAUAAAUAUAAUGAAAAUGGAAUUUUAUUAAAUAAUAUGAAAGGAAUAAAGGCUAAGUUUUUUGGGAGAGGGAGUGUUUACGGAAAAGAUGAGUGAAAUUUGUGUCACUCCAUCCCCUAUUUAUAGUACUAGGAAACCUAGUCUAUUCCUAAUUAAACUUUAAAGGAUAAAUAAAGAUAAAAGCUAAAAUUAAAUUAAAUUAAUACUCUUUAACAAUUAUCCUAAUAUAAUUAAAAUUUAAAAAGAGUGUUGUGUUUAUAAAAUCUCUUCUUUGCACUUUUGCACCCAAAGUCUUCCACACUUUGCACUUUCGACACAACUUAUUUCCUAUUUCGCAUGUUGGCCCAUUUUAUCUUUAAAUUCACACUUUUUUCCCAUAAAUUUCCUUUUUGCCUUCAAUUUAGUCCCUGCAAGAUAAAAAACUAUAAAUAGCUCAAAUUAGUAGGAUCAUACUCAAAAUAAAUAUGUAAUUAAUACAUAAAAAUAUGUCAUUUUAGAGUAUUUUCAAAUCCCCCUAUUCUAGAUAAAAAACCCUUUCGAGGAUCUCCUUGUUCUCUUUACCUUUCUGACAUUGGUUCAAUCGCCUUGGAAAUAGAGGUUGAAUUUUAGGCAAUGGAGGUUUCAUUCGGACUUGUUCGUCGUUCUCGUGCUUUUCUUUGGCGGAAUCUUGGCCAAAAUUUCUUCCAAGAAUUGGUUCUAGUACCUUUCCACUUCGCAACGUCACUGCAUUUGCGUGUUGUCUUGGAUUAGGUUCUAUUUGUGACGGCAGCUUCCCUUGUGAGUUCAUUUUCUAAAUUGAUAUAGUCAAUUCUCUUAUAAAUGCCUCGGUUUUCUGUUGAAAAUCAAGCAUAUUAGCUGCUAAUUUAUUGAUCAUGGUUUCUAGAGAGGUAUUUGAAUCUUGUGACUAUUGUGGAAACCGGUUUUGGUAUGGCUGGUUAUACUACAGGUUUGCCCCAUAAGUCAAGUUAGCACGGUCUUUGCAUCUUGAGUUAUAUGUAUUUGCAUAGGGGUCAUAUUUCCUUUGUGGUGACCUAAGAAAGUUUCCCACAACAUCCAAAUGAGUCAUAGUAUCAUCAUACAAACGAGGACACUCAUCAGUUUUAUGUUCAAGUAUAACACAUAUUUCGCAUAAUCAGGCUGGUUUUGCUUUUUCCGCAAUAAGAGAAUUCACAAUAUUAGUAAGUCUAUCAACUUUUUCUUCUAAGGUUGAAUUACUUAGCUGGUGAACCCUUUUAGGGGCUCAGGAUUGGCUCGAAAUUGCUGAGUAUUUGCAGACAUAUUGGAUAUCAAGGCCCUUGCUUGUUGGGGAGUCAUGUUGACCAACGCUCUUCAAUUGGCGACAUCUACCAUAUUCAUCUCUAUGGGCUUUAAGUCCUCAUAGCAGUAAUAGAGUAGAGACUGUUCUGUUAUCCCAUGUUAUGGGAAGCUUGCACACAACUUCUUAAAUCGCUUCCAAUAGUCGUAAAGAGACUUUACCUCUUUUUUCCUUAUCCCAACGAUUUCCCUUCUUAACCCAACUACACUCGAUGUUGGAAAAAACCUGUUGAGAAACAAAUGAGAAAGGUUAGCCCAAGUUGUAAUAGAUCUAGGACGUAAAUAAAACAAUCAUUCCCUAGCAGAAUCUGCUAAGGACAAAGGGAAAGCACGCAAUUUGAUUUGAUCCUCAGUUACCCCCUGAGGUUUCAUGCUAAGACAAACCAUAUGAAACUCUUUCAGAUGUUUGUGGGGAUCUUCAUUUUGCAACCAACGAAAAGUUGGCAGUAACUGGAUUAAACCUAACUUCAGUUCAAAAUCAGUAUCCAUAGUAGGAUACGUGAUGCACAAUGGCAGUUGUUCUGCCAGAGCUUCAACCAGUUGCCAAAUCGUUUGAGCCAUUGGUUGAUGUGUUAGAUUCGAGGUUUCGUUAGCCCUAGCAUUAAGCACUUCUUCUGGUGAAUUGACUUCUACUUUUUUGCUUUCAAGUGUUUGAGUAGGGUUUUCGUUAAUUCUAGACUCAACUUUGUCGUCGACUUCGAUUUCUGAUGGUGGGCUACUCUGAGUCCCAACUGUUCCUAACUGCUUUUUUCGUAACUUUGUCUCCUUGCGAUUAGCUCUCGCAGUCUUCUCUAUUUUUGAAUCAAAUGCAAGAAUACUUAGAACAGAUCUGGUCAUAAGAAACAAAGGAACAAGAUUAGUAAAUUACCAGUCCCUGGCAACAGCGCCAAAAUUUGAUACGUCGUUAAAAGCACCAAAAAUAUCUUAUCCUUAUAAAAUAAUGAAAAGAAUAGUAUAAGGGAAGUAGGGUCAAAUCCUCAGGGACUGGAUUUGCACAAAUUCCUAUUCCUCGAUAUCUCGGACAGAGUUGUGCCCAAGAAAACCUGUGUACCUGGAAAAAAAUAAAAAAAUAAAAUUAAAGGUUUGAUUGAAUUGAGAUUGCGAAAAUUAAAAUUAAAAUUGUAAAGAUAAAUAGAGUUGAGGGGAAAGAGUUUUUUAUGGAGAGGUUCCAGCCUUCGGUUGUCUUGAUCCACCUUAGGUUCUAUCAUCGGCUUUUAAGUGAUCAUUCUGGAACAGAAUAAGCCAGUUAUAGUGGAAGAGGACGCCUAAGACGACCAACUCCACUUAGAUUUUAAACUUACGAUUAGAGGAACUUGACUCUAGCCAACCGUCACUUGUGGGACCGUCUUACACUAGAUCAUCACUUCUUAAUGGUGAAUGCCACGCAAUUCUGUCUUUUGGGCUCGACAGCCACUGACGCAAUAAGCUAAUGAACCGCCUGUGCAACCUUUUUAAAACAGACAAAGCAGCGCCUUUGCACAAGAUGAAAAGAUCACUUUUGAAGGGACAUGGAUGGAAGCGUCAGUCCCGUAGUGUGGAGAAGCGAUGAAUACUUGUUGAGAAGGCUAAGCAUAGAUUCUAAGCCUCAUUAACCCUUUUUGGGGAAUUUCGAUAACCUUUGGCUAGAUAAGUUUAGUAGCUCAUGAUUUUUGGGGAAAAAGAAAUAAAUGUAAUGACAAUGAAAUUUUAUUGAAUAAUAUGAAAGGAAUAAAGGCUAAGUUUUUUGAGAGAGGGAGUGUUUACAGAAAAGAUGAGUGAAAUUUGUGUCACUCCAUCCCCUAUUUAUAGUACUAGGAAACCUAGUAUAUUCCUAAUUAAACUCUAAAAUAUAAAUAAAAGAUAAAUAAAAAUAAAAGCUAAAAUUAAAUCUAAUUAAUAAUCUUUAACAAUUAUCCUAAUAUAAUUAAAAUUUAAAUAGAGUCUUGUGUUCAUAAAACCUCUUAUUUGCACAUUUACUCCCAAAGUCUUCCAUACUUUGCAUUUCCAACACCCCUUCUUUCCUAUUUCUCAUGUUGGCCCAUUUUAUCUUUAAAUUCACGCUUUUUGCCCCUAAAUUUCCUUUUUACCUUCAAUUUAGUCCCUACAAGAUAAAAAACCAUAAAUAGUCAAAUUAGUAGGAUCAUACUCAAAAUAAAUAUGUAAUUAAUACAUAAAAAUAUGUCUUUCUAUAGUAUUAUCACAUGUCAAGCCCUUGGCCGUUUAUGACCUUGGGAGUCGAUAUCCUCGACCCAUUCGCCAUAGCCACAAUGCAGAAAAAGUUCAUAGUAGUCAUGGUGGACUACUUUACCAAGUGGACUAAAAUUGAGGCCCUAGCAACCAUCACUGAGAAGCAAAUGGAAUCUUUUCUUUGGAAGUCAAUCGUAUGUAAGUUUGGCAUAUCGCAUUUGAUAAUCACAGGCAAUGGUAUGCAAUUCUAGGGAAAAUUCAAGAACUUUUGUGUUAAUCUUCAUUUUUUUUAGCUUAAAGCUCUGUUAAAACACCCUUGACAAAUGGGCAAGUAGAGGCUAUAAAUAAGAAGAUUUUGAAAUCUUUGAAAAAGAAAGUAGGAGAGGCUAAGGGUGCUUUGUUAGAGGAAUUUCUUAGAAUUUUGUGGGCCCUAUGAACAUCGCCUCAUACUACAACAGGCGAGACAGCGUUCUCGAUGGUUUACGGUGUAGAGGUAGUAAUUCCCGUUGAGAUUGGCAUGUUGUCACAUAGAACAACACACUUUGAUGAAAAUGGCAACCAGGAGGCUAUGAAGAUCAACCUUAAUCUCAUUGAUGAGGUUUGAGAAGUAGUAGAAAUUAAGAAUACGGCAUGCGUUUAGCAAGUAGCUUGUUACUACAACUCCAAGGUAAAAAAAAUAGUUCCAAGUUGGCGAAUUUCUACUCAGAAGUACUAAGGCUAGCCUCCCAGCUUCGUAGCAAGGAAAGAUGACCCCAAGCUAGGAGGGACCAUACUAAGUUACAGAAAAGAUAGGCUGCGGACUGUAGAAAUUAGCGAGACUAGAGGGCACAAUUCUAUCGCGCACAUGGAAUGCGUGUCAUCUUAAAAAGUAUUAUAUAUAAAUUCUAAUACUUUAACGAAAAGGUGUUCUUUCAUCAACAUGCUUACUUUAUAUAGUCCCUCCCAAAUAGUUAGCGAGAACUCAAGCUCCUAGCUGUAAUUUUAAGGCUCGUAGGUUCAAUACCACAGACCCCAAAAUAGUUAGCGAGAGCUCAAGCUAACACUUGUAAUCUUAAGGCUCGUAGGUUUAAUACUACGGCCUCUAAAACAGUUAGUACGAGCUUAAGCUCUCAACUAUAAUCUUAAGGCUUGUAGGUUUAAUAGCGCAACCUCAAAAGUAGUUAGCGCGAGCUCACGCUCCCAAACUGAUGUUAUUAACAUUAAAAUUGGCCCAAAAAUUGCUUAAGUCUUUGAAACUUGUCUAAAAUGAAAAUUCAGUGGUAGUUUGAAAUUUUGCUUAAAUUCGAAGGUUCACAUAAGUUUGAAAAUUUGCUUAAGUUGAAAAUUUGCUGCAGUUCACUUAAGUUUACAAAGAGAUAAAUCAUCAUGAUACCAAUAAAUAAACUUAAAAUUUUUCGAAACCUCAAUUCUUUCAUAAGGAAGGGUAAUACAAAAUUACAAAAUUACAACAUAUCAUUAACUUGUCCUCUUUUCCCCUUAACAACUUUAGUCUGGUAAACAACAGGAUCAACUGUGGUGUCAUCAUCGGUAGGCACAAUGGCUGGCUCAAAAGAGCCCUCAUCAAGGUAAAAAUCCUUUAAGCUCUUCCACUAGGAUGUGAACUUAUCCCAAGCAGCUCCUAAAGGGAAACGAACAUCAAAGCCAAGCUGGUCCACCUCUACCUCUAAGAGAGCAUCAAAAUCAACCUUGGGAGCAUCAAAGACUCAUCAGUAACUUGAGCAUGUAGAAGAAUAUUGGAUUUGAUCUCAGCAAUAACAUCACUCAACAUUCUUAGAGUGUUCUUCUUAAAUCCUUCAAGGGCUUCUUCUUGUUUUCACUUUAAGCUCGCCAUCGCAGCUUCAUGCUCUGCUAUAAUUCAGCUAAAAGUUGCCUUAUGCUCUUCAACAACCCUCUUCAGCUCAAUACCAAGGCUGUGACCUUGCCAGCUAGUCCAUUGUUCUUUACUUGUUCAGCUCCUAACUUUUCGAUGAACUCAUCAUUCUGUUUGUAGAGCACUUCAUUUUCAUUCCUCAUCUUUUUUCAUCGCUCGCGAGUACUCUCAAGAUAUUUUUCAAGCACUUUCUGAGUAGCCUCUACGUCGACAAUAUUCUCCUCAAGAUCUAAACUGAUUACAAAUGCCUCAAUGAGGAAAUCUCAUAGAGCAGAGCUAUGUGUUAAUAGCUCAGACUUCUACGAACUCCAAGAUGAGUCAUCAGCACAUAUAUUCCUUUUUGCAGCCUCUAACACUAAAGCUUUCCAAUUCUUAACAAUACCCUCCAGCUCAUUAGUGCUUAAAUUAUGGUGACUUGGAGCUAGCUUGUCACUGUCUUCGGCAGUUAGCUCUUCAACGAGAGGUAGAGGAGGAGGAGAAAUAUAAGGAGGAGGAGAGCUACUGUGAGCAGCGAUAGGAGAACUUUUGUGACCCAUAUUUUGUGAGCUCGCAGAGGGAAAAGUAGGGGUACUAGUCGUCACAGCAAAAGGCCCAGCAUAAUUUUCCCUCUUUUUGUGACAAAAAUCCAUCCUACAACUGUAUCUCUUUCUCGCUGCUAACUACCACAUUAACAGCUCUCGCAUUAGUCCUGUGCUUCUUCCAUCGAGCCCUCAGAUCAACUCGCAAAUCCAUAACCCUAGUAAUUUUCAUGGCUUCAUUAAUUUCUCGUGAAGUGCUGGUACUUUCCUUCGAAUCACUCCCUGAACUAUGAACAGUGGCUACAUCACCAACAAUCCUAAUAUUAGCAGGAGCAGCUAACAAAUUAAUAUCAGUAUCACUUUCUGCCCACGGUGAGGCCACCACCUCCCAGAGACGAGGCCUUAUCCUACAAUAAAUGUAAAAUAAAUUCUUAUGCUCUUUUUUUAAUCCCGUUAGAAUUUGGUCUACCUCAUCAUCGUCACCAUAGAGCACGUGUAGCCAUGACCGCCUCUCAGAUACCGUACUUAGUUCUUCAGCAACUUCCCUACUGUCGCCUCGCCUAUAUCUAUUGCGGCUAUGACCCUCCAAGCAGUAUAGGAACACAUUCCUCACGGUUAUAAAAUCUUCAAUAACUAGGGAACUACCAACACGGAACCUCUUCAACUAGGCUUUACCACCAUCUGUCCUAAUAGUUCACUUGAAUAUGCACAUAUCCCCACUCAGUGCGGACCACUUUGUAGGAAAGCCAAACCCAUUUGUGAGUCUACAUCUCACCCUAAUAUACUUCCUCAAGUUUAGCCAAAGGUUAACACAUCAAUUUGCAAUUGUUGUUGCACCUUUUUCGCGGGGAGAGAAAUAAUAUAAACCCAUCAAAUUUAAUCAAUUUUGGGCCUUUAGUAGAUACAAGAUCAAGAAAACUGUGAGCUGUGGUUGUAACACCUCUUACCUGUAUCCAACGUCGGAACAGGGUACGAGACAUUACCGGACUUAAAACUCAAACAACAUUCCAAAUCGAGACAUAAAUUUCCACUCAAAUUUAAAACUUUUCGAAAACAUUCAUAUCGUCCCUUGAACCAGCCUACAAGGCCCAAAACAUGUAUUAGGAGGGUUCAAGAUUAAACCGAGAACUUUAGAAAACUUCCCAACACUUAAAAUUUUUUUCACCAAAAUAGGGGUCACACGCCUGUGUGGCUUUAGGACACGCCCAUGGGGGUAGGCCGUGUGGACACACGCGUCCGUGUCCCUAACCCGUGUAACUCUUUAUUUAUGACGUCAUCAACAAAUUGAAGUUACACGGCCAAACCACACGCCCAUGUGAUAGGCCAUGUGGCGAAUUUAAUUUUUGAAAUUUUUCAUAAAAUAGGUGCAGAGAUCACAUGCCCCUAGGCCGUGUCUGUUACAUGCCCAUAUCCCUAGGCCGUGUCUGUCACACGGCUGAGACACACAGCCAUGUCUCCGCCCUUGUGGACAAAAUAAGGCUAUUUACCAAGCCAUUUUGCCACCCUUACUUGCAUCAAUCUACAAAACAACAAGCAACACCAAUAAGCAUAUACAUACAACAAAAUUAGCCACAAACAAGAUAUCAAUACAUCAUUUACACAUACCAACAACUAUCAUGCAUAAACAUCACAUAUUUUCCUUUUCAUUCAUGUCAAUUUCAUCUUCAUGAUAAGCAUUAUCACAUAAACAUACCAAUGAUCAAUAAGAAUAAUAUUAGCCAACUUCCAAUGACCAUAUACAAAAUGAAUCAUUAGCCAUUACAAUGCCAACACACUUGGCUAAACCAAUAUGAUGCGUAACAAAAUGACCAAGUCCCUAUACAUGCUAUACUCAAAAUAUUGAAACCAAAUAUACCCAAAACAAUCAUUUGAUAAUGUGAAUCGAGCUCUAACGUUCCUCGAUCUCUGAGCUAUCUUUGCGACACUAUAAAGAAUGGAAGGAAAAAGGGGAGUAAGCUUUUAAAGCUUAGUAAGUUUGCAUGCAAAUAAUAAGCAACAUAAUCAUACAUUAUUCAUAUAACUACUAAACAAAAAUUAGCAUAAUUAUCAUUAAGUAUUUUAGGCUUAGCCUACUCAUUAGCAUUCUUACCAAGAGUUCAUCUCAUACUAAAGUCCAUACUCAUGAGUUUUACAUACAUACCUGUACCAACUCAUAACAUAUUUGCACACUUUGUCAUCUUUGACAUACUUUUGGGAUUACCCGUUGAACACUUGGAAUACUAUCGGAUACACGGAAGGUCUUACACAUAAGUGCCACAUAUGUACCCAAUGCUACCUCAUAUUUCAUAACACAUAGGGCUCACACUCGAGCUAAUUACGGGCCUGCUCACACAAGCUAUCAAUCAAGAUGUAGCUACGCAGGCUGCUCACACAAGCUGUUAGGUAUCCGCAACACAUGCCGGACUACCUAGCCACUGGUAGGACGUACAUGACCAGCACCCGGAUUCACAUAAAUCACAUAACUCAUGGUUUUCUAGUGACAUGUCACUUGUAUCCUAAAAUAUUCCUAAGGUUCAACCGAGAUUUUUCUCAUCGUCGAAACUUCGUUGAAUAUUUCCAUAGAAACAAUCGUACAAUUUAUGUAAUAUUAAGCAUUAAAUACAUAAUAUAACAUUGCACUAUUUACACACAAACUUACCUCAAUACAAAAUGCUAGGAAAUGGACCUAAUCAUCAAUAACCUUAUUUUUCCUUCGAUCAAGGUCCGAACUUCAUUUUUCUUAAUCUAUAAUAUCAAAUUUAACUUAUUAAUUAUCAAAUUAUUCAAUUCUGUCUAAAAAUAAACUUAUGGAAAAAUUAUAUUUUUACCCCUAAACUUUGUCAUAUUUACAUUUUAGUCCUUAGGCUCGUAAAAUGAAAUGCACUCAAUUUUUUUUAUUACCCAAGCCUAGCUAAAUCAUGCUCAUAGCAGCCCAUAUUUUUCAUCAAAUCAUAUUUCUACUAUCCAUUUUUACAACUUUUACAAAUAAGUCAUUUUUAUGCAUUUUCACUAAUAAUCACUUAGUAAAAGUUGUUUAUUACACCUUAAACAUAUAAUAUCUUCCACCAAACAUCAAAAUACAUGCAUUUCACACAUGGUUAAAUUUUUAAACAUGAAUCCUACUUCAAAAUAAUGGUAGAAAUAGGUAAAUCGGGUUACGAGGACUUCAAAAAUGCAAAGAGCAUUAAAAACUGGGCUAGGAUGUACUUACAAUCAAGCUUGAAAGAUGAAAAAACCCUAGCUAUGGACUCCUUGAAAAAUUCAGCCAGGGUGAAGAAGAUGGACACCAAUUUUGACUUGAUUUUCCCUUUUUAUUCUUUUAUUUACCAAAUGACCAAAUUGCCCUUUUUACCAAACUUAAAAAUUUUAUCUCACCAUGUCCAUUUUUGUCCACUAACUUAAAAAAUGGUCUAAUUAUCAUAUAAGGACCUCUAAUUUAAAAUUUCAUAGCAAUUGGACACCUUUAACAAGUAGAACUUAACUUUUUCACUUUUUACGAUUUAGCCCUUUUGGCUAAAUUGAGUGCCCAAACAUCAAAAUUUUUGAAUGAAAUUUUCACAGAAUAGUUCUAUAAAAUUGUAGACCAUAAAAAUAUAAUAAAAUAUGGAUUUUUUUACAUCAGAUUUGUGGUCCCGAAACCACUGUUCCGACUAGCCUCAAAAUCGGGCAGUUAUAGUGGUGCUUCGUUACAACAAAAAUAAUCAAUAAAAUAAGCCAUCGUGAUCCACUAGAAAAACCCACAAAGUUGACCAGGAGUAAUUUGGUACUUUUGAAGGAGAUGGCAAUAGAAUGGAUGUAAGGGCAAGUAAAACCCGACUUCCAAGGCAUGGAGGGAAAGCUAAAAACUAUUAUCAUUGGUAUCACUGAGCCUGUGUGGUCCCUCAAGAAUGAGAAUUCGUAAGUAAAGUUGCGGAUUUGAACCCCUUGCGCACGCAAAGCUCGACUCAUCUCUUUAUAUUUUAUAGUGCAGGUGAAAAAGUUGGCUUCAAUGAGGACCUUAGAAGUGCGCUCUCGUGGUGGGCAACAUGGAACUAAUUGGCCUUGAGCUUAUCUCAUUCUCGUCAUAUCUCCGAUGCAAAAAGAAGAAGAAAAAGAUAAAGAAAAUUUAAAACCUAUAAUGAGGAGUUACUAAGAUUUAUCUUGAAGAAAAAAUUGAUUCUAUUUACAAAAAUGCUAAGUUCGUGAGUUUUAGGGCUUCAGAAAAUCCCCUUUUAGAAGAAGUCUCUUCCCUAUCGUUUUGACGGUUUAAAUAACCGAGGGGCACCGAGGGUCAGAUUUACACAAAUGUGAUCCACCCGUAUUUGUGGCUAAGAUAACAUCAUAUUCCAAUAGACGCUGCAUAUUCUGCAAGCCAUAAUAAACGCGAAGUGAUGGCCCUAAUGAGUGCCACUUUAUAAUCCUCCUUAGGCCCACUAUGGGGACUAGAUUGUUAUACACCAACGACCACCAAUUCAAAACCCAGAUAAGAUCCGGGUUGCCUACCUGCGACCUAGAUCUGCCCUGCUAGAUAGAUGUGUGCGAGACGUAUAGCGAGAAGAUAGCCAGGGGAGCUUUAGGUAUCCACUUACACGAUUCGACAGGAGUUCGUAGUCUCAAUUUGCACAUACCCAAGGAAUUCGCAUGUGGUGGAUUAUGAGGUUCAUCAGGUGACCCAGAACGAUACACGUGUCUAGCAUUCCCAAGGCCUGCUCAGAAUGUCAAUCCUAUGAAUAGUAGGGUCAAGUUUAUGAAUAGUGGAGUCAAAUCAUGAACAAUGAUAGUAUGUAUAAAUACUUGAAUGUUCUCUUUAAUGAGACACACAAAAAAUUACUCAACAAAAUUAUAAAGAACCAUGUAACAUUUUAAUUGAAAAGUUAACUAUAUUAACUGCUCGAACUAAUUAAUAUCAUUAUAAAAAUAUAGAGACCAAUCUAUGUUAGAAAUUAAAGUAUAAUGAUUAAAGAUAAAAUUUAAGUCUAUUAAAAGGAGCAAAACUGAAAAUUAACCAUUUUUUAUAAAGUGAAAAAAAAAAGAAGAAGAAGAAGAAGAAAAGAAUCAUGGUGUGUGUCACGUAUCAGAAUGAGGAAGGUCCAAAUAUAUAAUUAUAUAAAUUUUGAGCAUAUUUUGGGGACUAAAACUAAUAUUAUAUCAUUGUUUGAAAAUCUAAAGGAAAAAAAAAAGAAAAAGAAGAAAGGAAGCUUUGUUUGAUUUUUAAGGGGGGGGGGGGGGGGUUGUUGAAAGAAUGAAUGAUUUUGUACACUGCUUUUAUAGUGCAUAAAACGAAUAUUAAUUUCCAUUAAACUAUAAUCGUGAAAAACCAAAUUAUUUUAAAUUUAGAAAAGAAAAAGAAAAAGUUUGGAUAUGAAGGGUAAUUAUGGGAAUAAAGAUAUAAAACAAUUACACGUACCCAAAAUUUCAACCCUAUUCCUUGUGGAACAAGGCAAAUGGUACCCUUUUGCUACAUUUCUGUGUAGAUUACUCUACCAAAGCCACGUCAGCAACUAACACGUAGCGAAUGCACCACAUUGUUUGGUUCAGUUGAGAAGAAACCACCUUAACAUGUAGAUCAUAAUAUAGUUUUAAUUCAUUUUUCUUAUAUUUUAUGUUAUUACUCAUUUAUUUAUUUGUUUGUAACAAGGUGGAAAAAUGCACGCAAAAGGCAAAACUAAUUCAGUCUUUACAUUGGACCCACCAAAACUUAACGACUUGCUUUUGAAAUUUUAUUUGGAUUUAAAUUUUAACUUAUACUUUAUAUUAUUCCGCCACAAUAUUUAAAAUCAAGUUGAAGAAAUAGUUCAAACAAUUUAAUUUCGUCUUUAAAUUAUGUUUGAGAGUUUAUUGCAAUUUAUUGAUCGAAAUAAAUAAUAGGUUAGGUAACUCAUUAUUGUUCGAACAUCCAUUUGAAAAGUAGGAGGAUUUGAAUAAAAAUAUAGGUCCAAAAAAUAAGGUCUAUUUUCUAAAGCAGUUAAGCUUCGAGCAAUCCAGUUCGAAUCAACCUAAAUUUUUUUUUCUUAUUUUGGUGUCAUUUUACUAUUAUAUUACUACUAUUUUAUUGUUAUUGUUUGGAUAUUGUUUAACUUUUAUUUUUUUGUUAAUUUUACUACUAUUUUAGAAACAAUGUUAUUAAGUAUAAAUUUUUUAAGGUAUUUUAUAUUUAUUGGGAAACAUUUAUUUUAAUAUUUUUUGUAUAUUUGAUGUAUUAUAUUUUUUAAAUUUACUUUUUAUAUAAAAAGAUAAUCUAAAAAAUAAUACGGGCAGACCAAGUUAGGUGGGGUUUAGUAUUAUUAAUCUGAACCGGGCUUGAACAAAAUUUUAUUCCAAUUUUUGAGACUUAAAAUUUUGCAUUGAUCCAAUCUGGACCUAACCCAACUCAUAAUUAAGUCUAAAUUAAAAGCCACGUUUAUGUAGUCAACUUGGAUUUGAUUUAAAUAAUAAAAUUUCAUUAAAUUGUUGUUUCAUUCCUAAAAGUAUAAAUAUUAGUUAUAUUUUUUAUUCCUUCAAAAAAAAUAAAUUUAUAAAUUAAGUAUAAAUAAAAACAAUUUAUUAUAUUCCUAGAAGUAUAAAAUUUUAUUUUAAAGAGGCGAAGUUUACAGAGUGUGAAAAAGUCGUGAGGUAAUAAUAAUCUCACGUAAGUGCCUCAAUUUGGUGAACUAAAACAUUUAUUCAUCUUAAGUACCUUUUAUUAUUAUAUAUUUGUAUAAUGCAAUCAUAAAUGCACAAGUGAUCUAAGAGAGAUGAUUUAGAAAUAAUAUAAUGAUUUAAACAAUCCGAAUUUAUACAUAUAAAAAAGUGCAUUAAAUCAGUCCUAAUAAUUUAAGAUCGAGCUCGUAAAUAUUUAGACUCAACUUUGAUAAGGAGAAUUCACCAAAAUUUAUCUAGAGUAAAAUAUUAAAUCAUUCCAUAGAUUCUAAAGAAGAUAAUAGAAUUACAAAAAUAAUUCAAAAGUGGAGAGAAAGUCUUUAAGUGUUUGAAGUUUUCCAUUAAGGAUUUAAUUAUAUUUUAUUUUAAUCUUUUAAAAAAAAUGCAUUAAAUCAUGAUAAUUUGUUUUCUUAAUUAAAAUAUUUUUUCAAACCCAUAAUUUAAUCAAAUUUUUUUAGGAAGGAUGAAAUAAUAGUUAAAAGUUUGUAAAAUAGAUAAAUAUUAUAUGGCGUGAGACCAUCAAAUUUUAAUUUAGUUUUAGUUAUUUGAGUUUGAUACUUUUUUUAACCUCGUAUUUAUGUUAUUUUUUCGUUUCGUUCGUGCUUAUAUUGUUUAGAAUUUAAUUUAGUUUAGGUUGGUACUUGAGUUUGAUAUUCUUUUUUCCUAAUGUGCUACUUGUGUUUUUUUUUUGUUCAAUAUGGUACUUGUAUUUGACAAAAGUUAUAUAUUUCGGUACCUAAAGGUAAUGAUACUAACUUUUUAGUGUUUAAUUCAGGUUUUAAGGUUGAUUUGAUGAAACUUAAUUGCUAAUGUUAUUAUGUUUUUUAAGGUUAUAUAACUUUUGUCAAAUAUAAGUACCACAUUGGAUCAAAAAAUAACACAAGUACCACAUUAGAAAAAGAAUGUCAAAUUCAAGUACCAAAUUAUGUAUUGAGCCUUUAUUUUUAUUUUUAUUUUGUAUAAAAUCGUUUUUAAGAAUUAAUUUGAAAUUCAAAUGUUAACUACUAUAUUAUGCAUGCUUUGACUAAGUUGGUAUCACACAUCAAUCAAGCCCCAACUUAAUGUGAAAUUACCAAAAGGUUACUUCUUUUACAAAACAAUAAAUAUUAUUUUGAGAGUAGUUAUGUCCUUUUUUAUUUGAUAAAUCUUAAAAAUACAUAAAUUUAAUGAAAAUGAUGAGAUUUAAACCCAUGACCUCUACUAUCUUAACUUUAACAUUUCAACCAAAGCAAUGUUUGAUUAUCAUAUCAAUUUUUUUAUAUACAUACUUUCACCUAAAUUGUGGGUGUGCCAUAAUCUAGUAUCUGCAGUCUCUUUAUUUAAUUUCAAAUUGUGAGCUCCCUUUAAAAAAAUAAUUAAAUGGCAUUCUGGUUUGUUAGUGUUUUGUUUUUGAAUGCAAUCUGGCGUACUCUUAUUAAUAAUGAAAGAGAAAAAUAAUAGUCAUAAAGCAAAGACAAUACGGUUCUCGGGCAAACCAAGAAAAACAAAAAUGAAAGAAAACAAAAUCCUUUCCUCUUUUUUGCCCUAGGGACCUCUCCAUGCCAAUAUGAAAUCUCAUAUCACAAAUUAAAACAAUGAUCUGGCUUAAGUCUGAGACAAUCAGUUUUUUGCUAGAGAAUGAAUAAGACCUUCUAGCUCCUAAAGACAUUUGUUUCGUGGCACUCAGCUGGGAUGAUGGAUGUUCUGUCUGUCUGUCUUCGCAACCUUCUGAACCACCACUGGAGCUUUUUCGAUCCACCAAACAUCUUGUUUUCGCCAAAAUCCUUCCGUAGCCAACAGGUUAGCUACUCGAUUUCCCCCUCUCUUUAUAUGUUGGAACUUGAUUCUUUCAAAGCCCGCAGAAAUUUGUUUCGCAUCCCAAAUGAAAUUACUAAUAACCGACAUGUCAAUGUAUGUCGCUUUAAGCUUCUUUAUCACCACCAACGAGACGUUUUCUACUUCCAUAGACCGAAAACCCAUCUCCUAAGUGAAUCUAAUUGCUUGGGGUGCUUCCUAAGGCCUCUGCAGUUAAAACAUUAGGUAUGUAUCGAUUCCAUAAGCAAGUUGCAUUCAUGAUAAAUUCUUCACUGUUUUUGAUGAUAAUACCUAUAGUUGACAUUUCCAGAUCCUUUUAAAAGCCCACAUCGAAGUUCACCUGAACAAAAGGCUCUAAAGGAGGUCACCACCCCAUUGGCUCUAUUGACGUAAUGUAACAACUCAUUUUUUAGUGGUACCGAAAAUGGUGGUUUUAGUACCCCAUUUUUUAAUGACUGAGUUAGUAAAUAUUAUUUAUAAUAUUUACAAUUCUAAUAUAGUAUAAUAUUGAUAUUUGAUCAGGUAAUUUUUAUUGAACAAUUAGUAAUUAAGGUACAAGGGCUAAAUCGAAAAAACUGUAAAAGUUAAUUUCUAUUGGUUUUUAUUAUAUUAGUGGGCUAAAUAAUAAUUAUUAAAGCUUGUAAAACGUAAUUAUUAUUAUUAUUAUUACUAUUACUGUUGCAUUAUUACUAUUAUUAUUAUUAUAUUUUUCUUUUUGUAUUUACUUAUACGUUGUUAUUAUUAUAUUAAUUAAUUUAAUAUUAUUAUUACCAUUAUUAUUUUUCUUUUUUAUUUUUAUUUAUUUACUUUUUAUUAUUGUCAUAUUACUAAAUUAAUUAGUUUCACAUUAUUAUUGCUAUUAUAUUUCUUUUUUAUAUUUAUUUACAUAACAUCUUAAAUACAUUGAUUCUAUUUUAUCAUAUUAUAUAUAUUUAUUCAUAUUCUUUUGUAUGAUUACAAGCCUUAUGGAUCUGCAUUUCUAACCCCGAUUUUGAUGGAGAAGUCAAGGGAUCUCAUCAAUGUAUUUAGCAGAAGUAACUUUCUCGUUUUCCUUUCUUUUUUUAUUUAAAAAAAAACUAAAAACAUGCCAUAUGCAAAAGAGGAAAAAAAAUAUUGAGGACAGAAGAGAAAAAUUUAAAAUCACCUUCGGAUUUUUGAUUCUUAGUAUUGGAUUUUCUCAGUGUGUGUGUAAGUUUUUUACAGUUACAUUCGUCGGAUUUUAUAUCCGAAUUUACAGAGUAAAAUAAAAUAAAAAAUAAAAAAUAAAAUUACAUUUUAUUGCUGUUAUUUGCUGUAGACUCUGUUAUUCUCCUUCUCGUAUGUUCCAUUUGCAGGAAAGGCCGUACACAAGCAUGAGCGGAGACGCGCGCGAGGGGCUGGUGGCCCACGUGUGGUGCUGGAGACCGACUGUUAGUUGCGGCGUGAGGGGAGAUAGCUAACUGCUGGUGUUUUCCAGAAACCUCUAGGGUUUCUGGUGUUUCCAGUUAUUGGGCCUUUUUUCGGGUCAUUUUGGGUCUUUGGUUUGGGCUUGUUUAAUGGACUAUUAAUUUGGACUUUAUUUUGGUUUUUUAUUUAUUUAUUUUGAUUUAUUUUGUUUGUUUUUUAGUUUUUUGUGUAAGCCCGGGCACAAAUUGGGUCUUACAGCUGCCCCUCUUUGCUCAUUGUCGUGUAACGAGAAUAUAGCAAAGACUUAAAAUAGGGCCAAUUUUGCCCGAUUUUGCUAAAUUCUGACUAUAAGGAAAUAGGACUGAUGACUUAAAUAUGCCCCAUUGCCAAUACAUGGAGAUAAGAUUCACCAUCCUCAAUCUGCUCCACAACUGCCUAGGGAGAUAAGAUCUGUAAUCUUCAGUCUGCUUCCUUGCUACCUCAGGAAGAUAAGACUACAAUUUUCAACCUGCUCUCUUGCUACCUCAGAGAGAUAAGGUCUUGAGGCUUAAAUCUGCUCCAUUGCCGGUACAUGGAGAUAAUAUUUGCCUCUUCCAAUCUUCAAUCUUCAGUCUGCUUCCUUGCUACCUCAAGAAGAUAAGACUUCAAUCUUUAAACUGCUCUCUUACUACCUCAGAUAAGGUUUGGGGCUCAAAUCUACUCCAUUGCCGAUACAUGGAGAUAAGAUUAGCCAUCUGUGAAGAUCUACUUCGCUGCAAUUUCAGGGAGAUAAAAUCUUCAAUUCACAAUCUGCUUCCUUGUUACCUUAGGAAGAUAAGACUUACUCUUCAACCUGCUCUCUUGCUACCUCAAAGAGAUAAGGCUGGUGGCUUAAAUCUGCCCCAUUGCCGAUACAUGGAGAUAAGAUUAGCCAUCUGCGAAGAUCUGCUCCGCUGCAAUUUUAGGGAGAUAAAAUCUUCAAUUCCCAGUCUGCUUCCUUCCUACAUCAAGGAGAUAAGGCUGGUGACUUAAAUUUGCUCCAUUGCCGGUACAUAGAGAUAAGAUUUGUCGUCUUUGGUCUAUUCCACUACUACUUAGGGAAGUAAGACCUGUAAUCUUCAACCUAUUCCACUGCCACUUCAGGGAGAUAAGGUUUGUCAUCUUUGAUCUAUUCCGUUGCAACUUCAGGGAUAUAAGAUCUGACUUCACCAAUGUUACUACACCGUCCUCUUGGACCUGUCCUAUAGACUCGAUUUCAUGUAUCACGUUUAUGCCAACUAAUUAGAAUGCUAUGAUCAAAAUGAAUCAAAUACUCCUAAUUAGACGUGAUGCUUAUGACACAUAAUUGAGAACAUAAAUGGGCAAGAAAGGAAUUAAUUGAGAAUAUUUCUCGAAUCAAAUAAGCAAAUGCAAGCAAGAAAGAAACUUAUUGGACGUGACCUAAAAAGAAUAAAGUAAUCAAAGAUAACAAAAGAAACAGGCCGUGUUUGAUCCGUUAAAUUACACACGGCCGUGUGGGUCAAUAGCCAGGCUGUGUGAAUCAUGAGAGCCUUGGUCGACACCCUCGAAGGACACGGACAUGCGAGCAGCCCGUGUGGCAAGGCUUAGGCCGUGUGAUCUUCUUGAUUUGGUUCAUUUUGUUCCUUUUUAGCUCAUUUUUGGCUCAUUUUGACUCUUGGUGCUCUCCUGAGUACAAAACACGAAAUAACCGGAUUAAGAGCACCAAAAUCCACAAAUCUAGUAGUAAACAUCCAUAAAUAUGCUAAGUAUUUGGGGUAAAACAAUGUAUAAUUUGGCGUUUAUCAAAUACCCCCACACUUAAGCAUUUGUUUGUCCUCAAGCAAAACUCUCAUUUACUGCUAGAAUUCAUUCCUCUCAAUCACAUAAUCAUUACUGAUAAUGUUACAAGUUAUUCCAUAGAAAAUCAUAUAGUGAGAAUUCAACUAUAGGGGGAUUAAAAACCUCAAACAAUCUAAAUUGAAUACUUUGAUAACAAAAUUAUAGGUAAUCUCCUUCAUUCAAGUAAUUAACUUUAGUCUUAAAUAUACAAGAGAUGACAUCCUCACUAACGAUUCACUCAAAUCACUCAAAGUGUUUAAGGUUCAAGAUUAAACACUCGAUUGUCUAACAUGAAAAGUUAUUACCAUAGGCUUGCAUUAAAAUCAAAUCUCCACCACUUGUAAAUGAUAUGAUACACUAAUCAAAAGGUCUUUGCAUGGUUGUAAUGGGGUUUAGGUUACAGGUAUGGAUACAAGUUGAAGAGACAAGGGUUAGAAUCGAGAUAAUUUCAAUAUAUUACCCCACUAUCAAAAAAUUAAUUACUGAACCACAAACAAAUAUCUAGAACUAUUUUACAUGAGUUCAUGACAACUUUAGCUUGCUGAGGAUUACAAUAAUAAUACUGAGUUUUUUUUUUAAGAACAAAUCAAGUCAAUACAAUAUAGAAAUCAUACUUUAUGAUUCAGUAACAAAAAAUGGUGAACAUAUUGAGGUAACAGUAUCAAAUUUAAUCUCGAUAAAAAAAAGUAAAUUAAGUAAGAGGAUUUCAACAAUAAUAGGUUAAUGGGUUAAUGAUGAAGGUUAAUCAAUAAAAAAAAGGUUAGUAGGCUCAAAGAGGGUUUACUAAGGGUUUAAUUAUGUGAGAAGGCUUUUUAUGGAGUAAAUGGGUUGAAUCCUAAGUGCCUUUAUCACCUCAGUGUAUCAAAUCAUACGUGUGAUCUCGAUAUGCAUAAUCGAAGCAAGUUCUAGAAUAACAGUUCAAUGUUGACACACUUAAACCACAAAAGAAGUGAGCAAGAAAGAAAGCUAUAUGCUCAAAAGGCUCAAAAAUCUCACCAAAAAUUUAGGUUUUUGAUGUCAUUCCUGUAUACUUAAGAUUUCAAGAUAAUACCUCAAUUUAGGAAAAUAGUCUAAAAAUUUUAGUUCUCAAAAUAUCAACUUAUCAUGCUCGAUUCUCUAAUGUCCUAUAAUCAAAUAAUCAUGCAUACUUCCCAUGGUCUAAUUCAUGACAUAUCAACAAUAAUUAUAGAUCAAUCAGAAUUCAUUCGAUCAAGAUUAUGAGAAAAUCACUUAAGCACAAGACCAAAUUCAGGGAUUCGAGAAUAAUACAAAAAGUUAGGUUUCAUGUUGACCCCCCACUUAAGAUGUACAUUGCCCUCAAUGUACAAAGAUAGAUUAUUCAAAAUAAAGAAAAUCAUAAGAGGAUAGGAGAUGAAACUCCCUGUUAUAUGGAUGCGGAGCUUGAUUCUGAAGCUGGAGUGUUUGGGGAAAGUAGUAACUGCAAUCGUUGUUGGCUAGAUGAAGAAAUUGGGUCGUUGAACAUGGCACUCGUGAGGUAUUGUUUCCCAUUUGUUUCCUCAUUCCGUAAAAUAUUCCUAGCAGCUUUGCUUGGAAGUCUGUAGAAUCAUGAAGAGCUUAUUAAGAGUUGGUGUGGAAGAGAGUGUAGUGGGUUUACUUGUUAAAAAUACCAGAAAAUAAAAAAAAAAUAUUUACUAAUAUAGAUAUGUCUUGUAAAAUAAAAUAAUCAAAUUGAAAUGAAAAUAAAAAUAAAAAUAAAAAUAAAAUCAAUAAAUAAAUAAGAAUAAAAAGAUAGGAGGAUUCAAUGAUCCUCGUCAAUAGGGCCCUCAGGUGGUAGCGUUGGGGUGGCAAUGUGAAAGUGCUGGCACAGCUGCUGCAUCAUGGCCUGCAUAUCGUUCAUCUGUCAGUCCCGUCGUCGAUCUCGCUCGUGAAUCAUCUCGAACUGUGUAGUGUAAUACUGCUUAAAGUGGGCGAGUCGGUCGGAAAGGUGUGCCAAUGAAACAGCCGCAUGAACUAGUCGUUCCCUAGGUGGCGUGGUGGAAGGCUCCUCAUGAUGUGGGGGAACAUUAGUAGGAAUGUCCUCAAGAUCCUCCUCGUCAAUGGCAUGAGAGAGACGGUAUUGAGGAGGAUCGGUCCCAUGUCGGUGCUCGAUCAUCCUCAUGUGUAACAUAGUCGUGAUGCCCUGUGGGGACAUCUGACCUAUCAGUGUAAGCACUGAUGACUAGGCCACGGUGUUGAGGAGGCCGAAGUGUCUAGCAAGGCGCGUCACAUAGGGGUCGGUGGACAUCACUCCCUUCUUAUGCCGCUCGGUCUGAUGGCGAAUGGCGAAAGCAAUGAAGUAUGCCAAGUUAGUCACGUGUGCAUUCUCUAUGCACCAUAAAUAAUAGGCGUCGUGGGUGUUGACGACACCGGUGCUCUCUCUCCUCCUGGUCAAUGUGUGUGCCAAUAUGGCAUGGAGAUAGCGUAGGGAAAGAGCGAGACUUAAGGCUUUCGAGCGGCUGGGGUUGUAGGUGGAAGAGAGUGGUGCCAAAGCUUUCCAGCACAAGGAGAGAGAAAUAUGGAUAUUUCGUAGUAAUGCAUUCAUGUCUUCGUCCUCCAUAAACUCAUCGGUGUAAAGUCCUAGAGCGACUCCAAACUCUGGGACACUCAUUGCGUGAACUAGACCACAUAAUCGGAAGUGAAUGGUGCCUGGGUUGUCAUUGUUCGUCAUCACCACCUGUAAAUGAAAAGUAGAGCAUAAUUUUAAAGUUAGCUCUAAAUAAGUGGGAUCGGUAAUAGAAAAGAACCGUUCCCAUGUGUUUGUGGAUAAGAGGGCGCGGAUGGCAUCAACUAGCUGAACUUGCUCGACGGCAGCCCAGUCAAUGCAGUAACCUGUAGUGAGGGGUCGUGCACGUAGUAUCUGAAAUAGCUCCUCCUGCGAAGCUUGCAGAAAUUCAAGGAACGGGUGCCGAACUUCGGCUGUAGCACGUAUCGAAGAAGAACUCGGUCCCCUACAUCUCUUUGAGGAUGGGACCGCGGCCUUCUUGCCUCUCAAUGGCGACAUAAUGUUCCUAAAAAUACAUGAGCAUUGAUAGAAUCUAAGCUACAUCAGUAGUUAAGCAAGAGACCUAAAACUAGUAUAUUCUAUUUAGUAGCUUAAACAAUUCAAAUAUAGAAAAUUCUAAAGCAAAUUCCUAACUUGUCUAAAACAUAUUUUUAAUAGUAACAAUAUCUAUGUAAAGCAUAUAGAAUACUAAUGUAGCAACACAAAUUGGAAAAAUAAGGUUGAGAAAGUGAACCAAAGGUUGCUGUAGGGCGGUGCAUGGGCGUGUUGGUGGCGAGCAUAGGCGUGUGACGCCGGGAUAUAGCUGUGUGGAGGAAAAAUAGAGGGUAUAGAGAGGGGAAAGUGGGGAUUAAUGCAAGGGGAGUGGAUUUGAGGGUGGUUUGGGGGUUGGAGAAGUGAGAAUCUGGGGAAUGGUAGCUGGAAUAGGGAUUAGGGAAUGGGGAAGGGUAGAUUUCGGCUAGGGUUUUAAAAAGGGGAAGAAGAUGAACAGUGGUUUACUUAUAUAGGGGAGGUUCACACGGCCUAGGGCCACGCCCGUGUACUUUGAAGGUGAGCCCGUGUUUUUCGAAUUUUACAAUUUAGGUCGUGCCCGGCUACUAUCCCACUCCCAUGUGUCUUGGACGUGUGUCAAACACGGCCAUUUCGCACGGCCGUGGGGAUUUAUCACACCCCGUGUUUUGGGGAAAUCAUGUCCCGCUUAAACAAGCCAGUAUCGUACAGUCGUGUCUUUUCCCUUAUUUGGCCAUGGCUUUAGGCACGCCCGUAUGCCUGGCUGUGUAUGCUGAAAAACUUUGCAAUUCAAAAAUUAAGUUAAUGAUUCAAAGUGUUAGAAAUUAAAAAUAAAGAAAUCAAAAUAUGUUAGUGCUCGGGUUGCCUCCCGAGAAGCGCUUAUUUAUAGUCUAAGCUCGACUUACCUCUCCGUUGAAUGAUCAUAGUGGUUUGAGGAGUUCAUGCUCCUCAUUCCUGCUGUCAAUCUUAAAAUAAGGUUUUAAUCGGGUGUUGUUUACCUUAAAAUUGCCGAACUUGGGAUGACUCACCUUCACCGUACCGAAUGAAAAAAUACUAAGUAUCGUAAGAGGGAUUUCCUCAUUUGGUGUAGUAGUGACAAUGUGGGGAUCUGCGGCAUCUAGUAAGACUUUAUCGCCAAUCUUAAGUUGAUUAGGAGAGGUAUCAGGCUUGUUUUGGCAUAGUUUCGGUUUAUCAUGUGUUCUCGAUUUGUGUGCUGGUCAUUCAUCUAGCUCCUCUAUUUGAAGCCUUCAUUCCUCAUGGGUGUCUUUGUUCGCUACUUGAUAAUAGUGCACUGUCUUCAUUGUCUUGGUUCGAGGAGGUUCCUGCAAGGACAAUUGAAUAUUAAUUUUAUCAUUGACAAAUUUCAUAGCGUUAUCUUGAGUUUUAGAAGUUUUGACUGAAUCGCGUGCUUGAAGUGUUACUGCGUCAUCUCCUGCACGAAGUAUUAGCUCUCCUGUGCCUACAUUAAUAAUGGUUCUGGCAGUUGCUAAAAAGGGUCGUCCUAAAAUUAAAGGUACCUCGUUAUCCUCAUCCAUAUCUAAGACGACAAAGUUUAUUGGGUAAAUAAAUUUAUCAAUUUUAACAAGAACAUCUUCAAUAAUACCUUUAGGAAAUCUAAAUGUUUUGUCAGCCAAUUGUAUGUUCAUCCUAGUCUGUUUGGGUUUACUGAGACCUAGUCGUUUAAACAUCUUAUAUGGCAUAACAUUUAUACUUGCCCCUAGAUCAGUUAAAGCAUUAUUCACAGAUAAACUACCAAUUAAGCAAGGAAUUGUAAAACUCCCUGAAUCUUUCAAUUUGUUAGGUAGCUUAUUCUUUAGAAUAGCUGAGCAGACUGCAUUGAGUUCCACAUGCGAUGUAGCGUCUAAUUUUCUUUUAUUGCUCAGAAGUUCCUUUAAGAAUUUUGCUGAGUUGGGCAUCUGGGACAGAACUUCAAUAAAGGGUAAGUUAAUAUGUAAUUUCUUUAAGAGUUUGACAAACUUACCGAAUUGUUCUUCUGUUUUGUCUUUCGUCAUUGCUUUAGGAUAUGGCACACGAGGUUCAUGAUUCGUACUUACCUAUUUAGGAUCAUUAUCGUUUACCUCUUCUCGACCUUUGUUCAUCGCGUUGUCUUGCUGUAAUUCUGGCUCCGGUGCAAUGAAUCCUUCCUUAUUUUGAGUACUAAUUGCAUUGAGGUGUUCCAUCGGAUUAGGUUCAGUAUUACUUGGUAAGCUACCUUGUGGUCAUUCGGAGAUUAGUUUUGAUAGCUAGCCUAUCUGAGUUUCGAGUCCUUGGAUCGAUGCUUGUUAAUUCUUAAGUACUGUCUCGGUAUUUUGGAAACAGGUUUCUGACACUGAGAUGAAUUUAGAAAUCAUCUCUUCAAGGUUUGGUUUCUUCUCUUGUUUAUAAGGUGGUUGUUGAAAACUGAGGAUUUUGUGGCUUUUGAUUCCCUUGACCACCCCAGAAGAAAUUUGGAUGGUUCCUUCAACCUGCAUUAUAAGUAUUACUGUAUGGGUUAUUUUGAGAUCGGAAGUUAUUGUUACCCAUAUAGUUGACUUGUUCUUCUUCAGUUGUAGAAUUGAAGGAUUGGUAUUCUAUAUGCAUACCUCCGCCACUUGAGUCACACCUCAUUACUGGAUGUACCUGCGUAGAACCAAGUAAACCGUCAAUCUUUUUAUUGAGAAGUUCUACCUGAUUAGAGAGCAUGGUAACUGAAUCGAUGUUAUAAACGUCGGCUGUUUUCGUUGGCUUUGUCCUCAUAACUUGCCGCUGAUAGUUAUUCAGUGACAUCUCCUCUAUAAAUUCAUAGGCAUCUUCCAGUGUUUUAUUAUUGAUGGUUCCGCCAGCAGCUGCGUUAACCAUUUGCCUAGUCGAGGGAUUCAGGCCAUUGCGGAAUAUUUGUACUUGAAGCCAAAGCGAUAACCCAUGGUGAGGGCACCUUCUCAGUAAGUCCUUGUAUCUCUCUCAUGCAUCGUAAAGUGUUUCUAAAUCCAUCUGCACAAAAGAAGAGAUAUCAUUACUUAAUUUAGCUGUUUUAGCCGGCCGAAAAUAUUUCAGUAAAAAUUUCUCGGUCAUUUGUUCCCAAGUAGUGAUAGACCCUCGUGGUAACGAGUUCAACCACUGUUUAGCUUUGUUUCUCAGUGAAAAGGGAAACAACCGAAGAUGUAUGGCAUCAUCAGAAACGCUAUUGAUUUUAAAUGUAUCGUAAAAUUCCAGAAAGUUCUCUAAGUGUGCGUUGGGAUCUUCAUCCUGCAAACCAUCAAACUGAACAAACUGCUGUAUCAUCUGAAUAGUGUUAGGUUUUAAUUCAAAAGUAUUUAUAGCUAUAGCAGGUCUAACUAUGCUAGAUCCAGUUCCUGUUAAAGAAGGUUUAGCAUAACCAUACAUAGUACGUGGAGCAGGAUUUUGAUUAGCCGCAAUUGUAGGAGGUAACUGAUUGCCUUGGUUUUCAGCCAUCUUGUCGGUUGGAGGUUGAGUAUCGUCUUCUCGCUCGUUCUCCGUGUAUCGUAAGCUACGCCUUAUUUCUCUUUGAUUUCUACAAACUGUGCAAUCGAUUUCUUCAUCAAGAAGUAAUGGUCCUGACGGGUUUCUUCUAGUCAUAAACUAUAAAAACCUGCGAAGAGAAAAAAAUAAGUAAAUUAAUAAAUAAUAAUAAUAAUAAACUAAAAUUAAAUUGCAAGAAAAAUAAAUGGCUAAAGUAAUAAAAAUUUAGCGCUCCUAAUAUUUUGAAUCCCCGGCAACGGCGCCAAAAACUUGAUCGUGUGAUUCGUAACAAGUAAUAAAUAUUUAUAAUAAAGAUCAAACUUAAACUAACUAUUAUCACGACGAAAAGGCAAGCACACCUAUCGAACAAUAGCAUAGUAAUGGCAAGACCAGGAUAUCGUACCUAAGGGACCCAAAAGUACUAGUAAUAACUAUCUUUUUAUUAUCUAGCCUAAGAAUAAAAGGGUCUAUUUAUAAAACUAAUUAUCUAAACUAAUUAACUAAUUUAAUUAAAGCAAAGAGAAAAUUUGGAAAAAGACUUGAAGAAAAGCAAUUGAUAAAGACGACACCCAAGGAGGAAUCCACCUAGAUUUCACUUGUUAUCUGACUCUGAAUCAGACGAUUUAUUCACUUGACUUGAUCCGUGAGAUUCCCUAACCUAUGUUAUUAUCCCUUUCGAGACUAAUAACGUCUAACCCUCAGUUGAAUUAAUCAAAAUUUCUUUCUUAAUUAAAACCCCUAGGGAAGCAGUAAAUCACUCUAUGGACUCCCAUAUUAGGUUCCACCCUAAUUCGGCAAAAUCUCGUAACCCUAUUUCUAGGCGUUCGAUCAACUCCGCUUAAUUAUGCCAAAUCUACUCUUAGGCAAGGUCUAUUCCUCCUCUGCAUAAGCACAUCAAAUCAUGAAUUAAUACCCGGAAUAUUAACUCAAGCAUUAAGAACACAUAAUUAAGAACAAAUCAAGUAUUUAUCAUACAGUUCGGAUAAUAAUAACAAGAUCCAUCAUAGGUUUUAUCCUCCUUAGGUAUCUAAGGGGUUUAGUUCAUAAUAAAAUAAGAGUACAUCUCAAAAGUAUAGAAAUAACAAAACAUGAAGAAAACUCUAAAACCCCUGAAGGAAUUCUGAGAGAGAUCUUCAGUCUUGGAGUAACUCCGGCUUUUGGGAUGGAUCGUCUGACUUCUUUCAAGUAAUUCCUAGCAUGUGGUUCUGUAUUCCAGAAAAGUUCUGGAAGAGGCUCCCUUAUUAGGUCACACUUAGGGUGUUUAUAUAGGCUUUGGAUUAGCUCUCUUCCUCCCUAAGUACCCUUUUCCGUGUAAAAUACAACUCUUUGAAAAAGGGGCACGCCCGUGUGCCACGACCGUGUGACGUGUAUGCCAGAUCGUGUUCGAUCCAUUAAAUUGCACACUGCCAUGUGGGUCAAUGGCCAGGCCGUGUGAAUCAUGAGAGUCUUGGUCGACACCCUCGAAGGAUACGGGUGUGUGAGCAGCCCGUGUGGCAAGGCUUAGGCCGUGUGAUCUUCUCGAUUUGGUCCGUUUUGUCCCUUUUUAGCCCAUUUUUGGCUCCUUUUGACUCUUGGUGCUCUCUUGAGUACAAAACAUGAAAUAACCGGAUUAAGAGCACCAAAAUCCACAAAUCUAGUAGUAAACAUCCAUAAAUAUGCUAAGUAUUUGAGGUAAAACUAUGUAUAAUUUGGCGUUUAUCAGUAAGUGAUUGAAUGCCGAAAGGCUGGCUUUCGGCUUUGUUAAGGCCUAAGGUUUGUAGUUGUUGUCAAAUUAGUGAUUUAGAUUUAGUGUUUCAUUACUAAAAUUGGUCGUUCAAAUGUUGAAUUUAGGUUCUAGCAUUCUCGUUGUUGGAUUUGCAUCGAAAACAAACCAGGUGUGUAAUGGAAUCCUCGAAAAACAGUGAAUGAUGUGAUGCCAAAAAGCCACUACUGAUGUCACAUAAUCAUGUGAGCCACACAGCCGCGUGACAAGCUGUGUGAGCCACAUGGGCUGUGUAACAUCCCGAUUUUGGGCCUAGUUGAAAUAGUAGUUUCAAGACCACAAAUUCAAAGUAGAAAUAAUAAUUUUAUGAAUGUGUUGAGAUCAAUGAUAUGCUUGCAUGAUUAUAUGAAAGUUUCGUUAAGAAAUUUUGUUGAUAGAGUGUCCAAUUUGAUUUUUAAGACUAAAUUGCAAAAGUUGCAAAAUAUGUGAUUCUAGAAGCUUUAAGUAUGAAAUAGCUAUGGAUUAUUAAUUAAAGGUCCUUAAAUAGACCAAUUUCUAUUUUUAUAGACAAAAAUGGGCAUUAAUAAGUAAAAUUUGAAAGUUCAGUAAAAGGGCAUUUUGGUCAUUUGACUAAAAAAGAAUAAAAAGGGAAAAUUAAGUCAAAAUUUGGUCAUCUUCUGCAUUCCAUAGCCGAAAUUCCUAAGGUCAUCAUAGCUAGGGUUUCUUCAACUUUCAAGCUUGAUUGUAAGUGCAUUCUAACCCCGUUUUUAAUGUUCUUUACAUUUUUGAAGCUAUUAUCAACCGAUCUAGCCAUUUCUACCAUUUAUUUGAGCUAGGGUUGAUGCUUAGGGUUUGAACCAUGUGUGACAUACAUGUAUUUUGAUGUUUCAUGGUAGAUUAUGAAAGUUUGAUGUGUGAUAAACAUCAUUUACUAAGUGAUUUUUGAUGAAAACACCUAAAAAGGGCUUAUUUAUAAAAGUUAUAAAAAUGGGUAGUAGAAAUGUGAUUUGAUGAAAAAUGUGGGCUGGUAUAAGCAUGAUAUAGGUUCAGGUAGGCUUAGGUAACAAAGAAAAUGAGUACAUUUCAUUUUACGAGCCUAAGGACUAAUUUGUAAAUAUGUGAAAGUUUAGAGGCAAAACUAUAAUUUUUCCAAAAUAUGGUUUUUGGACUGAUUUGAACAAUGUGAUAAUUAAACGAGCUAAAUUUGCUAUUAUAGAUCGAGAAAAACGGAGUACAGACCUAGACUGGGGAAAGAACAAAGUUAUGGACUAAAUCGAAUUAGUUAGCUAUAUUUUGUAUCGAGGUAAGUUUGUGUGUAAAUAAUGCAACUUAUAUUAUGUAUUUAAUAUUUUGUUGUUGUAUGAUUUUUACAAUUACCAUGGAUUCGUCCAGCAAAGAUUUGAUACGGCGAAAUUCCCGGCUGAACCUUAGGAAAUUAGGAUACAAAUGUCAUGACAUUAGGGUUAUGAGUUUACGUGUAAGACCAUAUCUGAGAUAUGGCAUUGUUAUGAGAUUUUGUGUAAGACCAUGUUUGGGCUAUAGGCAAUGAUAUGAGAUCCCAUGUAAGACCAUAUCUGGGAUAUGGAAUUGGUAUGAUUCUAUGUGUAUGUGAUUCCUGAGUAUCCUUUAGUAUUCCAAGUGGUUCAAUGGGUAAUUUAAAAACAAUGUCAAAGACGUGAAAGGUUAUGAUUAUGUUAUGAAGUAGUACAGGUACGUACGCAAAAACUCAUAAGAAAUUAUUUCGAUUUAAGAUGCAUUAUUGGUAAGGAUGCAAGUGAGUAAGAUAUGUUUAUGAACACUUGAUGAUUUUGUGCUAAUUUACAUUAUGUUUUAUGUAUGUUAUUGUAUGUUUAAAGUUGUUAAUUAUUUACAUGCUAACUUACUAAGCUUAAAGCUUACCCCAUUCCUUUUCAUUUCUUAUAAUGUCAUCAAGCCAGCUCGGGGAUUGAAGUCGGUCGGAGAUCUAUUCGCACUAUCAAAUUAUUGUUUUGGGUACUUAUGAUUCCAUUAUUUUGAGUUGUGGCAUGUAUAGGGACUUGGUCUUUUUGUGAUAUGUGUUAUUAUUGAUUUGGCCAAGUGUGUUGGCUAGUAAUGGUAAUUGAUUCAUUUUGUAAAUGGCCAUAUGGUAUUGGCUAAUAUUGGUUAAGUAUAUAUACAUAUGAUGAUGCCUUUCAUAGAUGUGGUUAUUGCAUGGUUUGUGAUGAUAAGUAUGAGAUAUUGUAUGUGAUAGAAAUUAGCAUGAAAUUGAUGUGUAGAUGUCUUGGUUGUGGCUGAAUUGGUAGUGUGUAUAUGCUUGGAUGGGUGUUGUUUGAUGUUGUGUAGGUUGGUGCAAGUAAGGGUGGCAAAAAGGCUUGGUAAAUAGUCUUAUUUUUUUCCAUAUAGGUAGACACACGGCUUACCCUAUGGGUGUGUGGUCCGACCAUAUGACCCCUGUAUUUUAAAUUUUAGCUACGAAUUGGCCACAUAGACAGAGACACGGUCGUGUGUCUCAGCCGUGUGAAGGACACGACCUAGGGACAUGGGCGUGCGCUCAGGACGUGUGAAGUCUGCACCAAUUUUAAGAAAAAUUAUGAAAAUUAAAUCACGCAUUGGCCAUGUGACCUUAAUUCGUUGAUGAUGUCAUAAACAAAUAGUUACACAGGUUAGGGACACAGGCUUGUGUGACCACACAGCCUAUCCACACGGGCGUGUCCCAAACCACACGGGCGUAUGACCCCUCUAUUUAUGAAAAAUUUUCUAAGUGUUUGGAGAGUUUCCAAAGUUCUCUGUUUAGCUCAGAACUGCCCCCAAUGUAUGUUUUGGGCCUCGUAGGCUCGUCUAAGGGACAAUACGAAUAUUUUUAAACAUUUUAAAUUUGUGUGGAAGUUCAUGUCUCGGUUCUGUAUGAUUGCUUGUGUGUAAGUCCGAUAAUGCCUCGUACUCUAUUCUGACGUCGAAUACGAGUAAUGGGUGUUACAGCUGGGUUAUUUGGGCGUGUAUAAAUAUAGGAUACUGUGUAAGAAAAUCUAAGUUCGAAUACGUUAAAAUAUACUUAUCCUCUUAUUUAAGAAUCGAAAAGAAUGUAUAAAUAGUUCUUAUAUAAAAGAAAAAUUGCAAAAUUUAAAAUUUAAACUUAUUGCAAAUAUAGGAUACUGUGUAUCAAUUUAAUCAAAUAGAAUUUAAUCAAAUAGAAAGCCCUUUGUGGGUAUAUAUAUAUAUAUCAGAUUUGCUAGCCCUAAGUUGUGUCUAUCUAUUUAUUAUAAAAUGAUAGGCGCUCAAUUUCCAUCGCAUAAUCACAAAUUGAUACUAUUAAUGGUAGCUUUUUGUCGUCUAGACUUGCACAAAAUAUAGUUUUUAGAGACAAUAUAAAGGUAUGUCUAAAUAAUUAUAAAAUCAAAUCAAAUUAAUAUAAAUAAAUAUAAUAAAUAAAUAAACAAAGGUAAGUCCUCCAACCUUUAAUUUCAAUAUAAUUAACAACAAAAAGUUACAACCUAACAUCUUGAACUUAAAUACUUUUUGCAUGGGGAGUAAUUAAUUUAAUUAAGUAGAAAGGUUUGGUUUUAAUAUAAAUAGCUAAAUUAAUAAAAAAUUCAUUAAUUUUUUAUUUUAUUUUAAUAAAUUUAUAUACUUUUAUUACGUCUUAAUAAUCACUUAAUAUUUGUGGGUUGAGUCUUAGCUUGAUUGGUACAAGUAUUGUUGCCAAUGCAAGAGAACAUGAGUUCAAGUGCGUUAAAAUAUGUUAUCCUCUUAUUUAUGGGUUGAGAAUAGACUAUAGGUAGUUCUAAACAUUGUAAGCAAAUAUGAUCAAAACCUAUAAUGAAAUUAUUUAUAAAAAAAAAACACACUUAAUCUUUUAAAUUAUACUCAAAAAUAAUUUAAAAGUUUAAAAUAUAGUCGGAUAAGCCUUUAAUUUUCUAAAUUAUUAUAGCUAAAUGAACCGUUGAAAUAAAAGCUUAAAUUAUGGGUUUUUUUUUCAUAUGAUAAUCUAACAAAAGUAAUUAACAUCGAGUUACAAAAAAUUUAUUUUAUUUUUUAAAAGGAAAAUUGAAGUAAAUAAUUUUAAUAUUUUAGCCAAUAUAAAACUACUAACCAAAACCCAUUUUCCUAUAUAUUUUUUCUUCUUCUUCUUCUUUUCCUAGCUAGAUAGUAUAAUAACAUAAGAAAUCUUUGUUGAUGGUCAUAGAAUUACUUGAGAAAGGAGAUUAUAAACUAAUUUCUCUUUUGAGUGUCAACUUUCUAGUGUUGAGUGUAAUCUUUGGGUAACCAAAAGCUGUCGGCUUGUUAUUGCAUGAGCUUGUUUGUGGUUAAGAAAUUAUAGCAUUUAUGUUUAUAUGGUCAAAUAUUCAUAAUAUUAUUGUAAAAACUAAGAUAAAAGUUGAGUUGACGUGAAGCCUUAAUAUAAUUUUAAAAUUUAUUUAUUAAUUAAAUUUUAAAAAUAUUGAUCACAUGUUUUAAUGUUUACACUAUGAUAUAUAUUAAUGAUACACCUACUAUAUAGAAUAAAAAUAUUUCUUUUAAAAAUUAAUUGUUGUUAAUGUAAGACCCAAUUUGUGCCUGGGCUUACACAAAAAAUCAAAAAAUAAAUCAAAAUAAAUAAAUAAAUAACCAAAAUAAAGUCCAAAUUAAUAGUCCAUUAAACAAGCCCAAAUCAGAGACACAAAAUGACCCGAAAAAAGGCCCAAUAACUGAAAACACCAGAAACCCUAGAGGUUUCCUGAAAACACCAGCAGUUAGCUAUCUCCCCUCACGCCGCAACUAACAGUCGGUCUCCAGCACCACACGUGCGCCACCAGCCCCUCGCGCGCGUCUCCGCUCAUGCUUGUGUACAGCAAAUAACAGCAAAAAAAUGUAUUUUUAUUUUUAUUUUUUAUUUUAUUUUACUCUGUAAAUUCCGCUAUAAAAGCCUACGAAUGUACCUGUAAAAAACUUACACACACACUGGGAAAAUCCAAUACUAAGAAUUAAAAAUCCGAAGGUGAUUUUAAAUUUUUCUCUUCUGUCCUCAAUAUUUUUUUCCCUCUUUUAAUUUGGCUUGUUUUUAGUUUUUUUUUUUAAAAAAAAGAAAGGAAAACGAGAAAGUUACCUCUGCUAAAUACAUUGAUGAGAUCCCUUGGCUUCUCCGUCAAAAUCGGGGUUAGAAAUGCGGAUCCAUAAGUAAAAGUGAUUUUUGAGUGUUGAUUUUCCAUAGAAAUAAAGGCCGAACCUACAUCAAUCACCAAUUUUAAUGGUGAAUUGAUGAUGAAAUAGCCUUAGCAAAUGAAGGCGGUUGAGUUGAAACCCUAAUAAUUGGGUAUUCAAUUCGUGCUUUGAAGAAAUGGCUGAUGGCCAUUUAUUUUCUUUUAGUUUUAGGUGUAUAACAAAAACGGCGCCGUCCAAGCUUUGAGGGUCCGCGCACUAACCCGCUGGGCUACCCAGAUCCACGCCCUGUCCUCUGAAAUGGUCAAUUUUCGCGUGAGGUACUUCAAUCGCGUCCUGUUUGCUACUUUGUUUUUUUUUUUUAAUUUGACCUUCCAAUUUGUGCGUUUUUUCACUUUGAUCCACGGUUUAGUGCAGCAUUAGGGGUUCGGGAUAUUUGUAAUUUCAGUCCCCACAUGUUUGUGCGCUUAGCACAUUGAUCCUAUUUUGCCAUUAUUUUAUUUGUAAAUCGGUUCUCCUGUUUUAACCUUGCUUCAAUUAAGUCUUAUCCACAUUUUUAUUUACUGCACAUAAUUUUUUUUCCUACAUGCUAGAUUAUUAAUUGUGAUAUUUUGUUGCUUUGAUAAUUAAAUUUCGUUUUGAAAAGCAUUAUAAUGAUCUUUUUAUUUAUUCUAUCAUUUUAAUAAUUGGCAUAUUAUUUGUGGUAAAAUUUAUUUUAGUUUAUGAAUGCUGUUAAUUCUAUGAUAUUUUAUUUUUUUAAUAAUGUUUAUUCACAUAUUUUAAUUGUUUGUAUUCUUUUUAAAUUCAUUUAUUUUAUGUGUCAUUUAAAUUGUUAUUAAACAUAUAUUUAGUACUUAU